CACGACAUCGAAUCUCUGGUACCAAUGAAGAGAAUGUAAGUCCACUAAAGUCAGGAGAAAUGUGAUGAUUCAACUCUAUAGUUGCUCUAAACUGUGAUACACCUGCUGUUUGUCUGCGUGAGUGUGCAGAGAGCAGUGCUUUUUUAUUGCUGGGUUUGCAGCAUCAGUGUCAAUAUUGGUGAACAGAGUGUGGUACAUAAGAAGUGGUGACUGCUGAAGGAAAAGUAAAGUAGGGGAGAGUGGGGUAAGUUGAGCCACCUCCUGUUGCUUGGAAAUGGUAAAAGAAAUUGAUCAUGUGACCAAAUAUUUAGGAGAUGGGCAUCAAUUCAAGUUAGAAGCUCAUGGGUGAGAGGGUUAGACAUUUAUUUACAAAAUAAACCAUUUUUUUCACUCUUGAAAGUGAAUUUAGUCUGUUGUAAGUUUUAUUAGAAUUGUGUUCAGACCAAAAAAGAUCAUUUUAAAUUUAACAUUAAAUUAACAUGGCUUAUACAGUGGCCUUUUUGUGUUUUCUCUAAGUUUAGAGGUAUAACACAAGGAGAGAGUUCAAAUGUUCUCGUCUAUUUAAGUAUAGAGACUGUAGUCUGCUGUGUAAAAAGUAACACCCAUGCUGCAGUUGCACCUGGCUCUAUAAGAGGAUGAAAGAUGGAGUUGGUUGGAUUAAUGUUGCGAUCAAAACAUACCUUUGAUCAGUCGAGGAGACCUAACCUCUCUGCAUCCUGUGCAGAGAGUUUUCCUUAUAAUGAGGAGCUGUAUGAGGAUUGAGGAGUGGGAUUAUGGUUGCACUUUUGACUUUACAGCAGUUUCUUUUAUUUAUUUUUUUUACUUCAUCCAAAACGCUGCUUGAUUAAAACAUUAUGCUUUGAAGUUUAAAUAACACAGCAAGGUGUCAUAAACAGAAGCUUAUAAAACCUAAUGUUGAAAGCCUCUAAAUCCUUCUUUGUGCUUGAUACUGGUAGGGUGCAAAAAAAGCAAAUAAGUCAUACUAAUACAAAAGUUUGCAAAAGCCAGAUAAAAGAGAACUGCAAAGAAAGAUUAGUGGUGAAGUCUUUGCAUGGGGUGAUUUGUGCCUUAAAGGUAAAGUCUACUAUCUCCCCAUAAGUAAAACUAUCAGUUAUACGCAGAUAAACAAAUCUGUUAUAUACUGUUGCUCAGAGAAAAACAAACAGUGUGCCUCUCUCUUUGUUGCGACAAACACACUGUAUGUCUACAUACUCACUUUGCUUCUGGCACUGCUCCACUGCUGUUCUGUUGUUUUGAAAGAGGAGUGUAUCCUUCCUAUUGUAUUUGGUAUGAUAAAUCCUCUCUGGAGUCUGAGCUGUGGUGUUUAUGGAUAUGUAGUUGGUUUUUGUUUCUUGCAAAAUGAUCUCCUCUCUAGGCAUUGGCGAGUGACGGGCACGCUGCCUUGAGUCGACAACAUGGUCACAACCUCAGACACACAUCACGGCACUUUUCGCAGUAAAUGGAGGAAAGAUUCAGCCCUGAGACUCUUUGUAUUAGAAAGCAUUUUAAAGGUCCACAAGAAAGUGUUGAAUCCCCUCUGGGCAGUCGGUGCAAAUAUGAAAGGAAGUCAGUCAUACUUAGAUUUUUUUUUAUCAUUAAAGACAAGCAAUGAGGAUUUACUAGGAGAUGUAAUCCCACUUAACAAGCACAGCUAUUAUCAUUAAUCUGUUGUCCAAUACAUACAGCAUAAGCAGGAUGCUGCUGUUCAGCUACAUAUAAAAAAUGGUCCUUAUUAACAACAACCAUGGCUCAUCCUAUCAACUGCUUUUGGUAGUUUGUCGAAACAGUUCCCUCACUUUUAAGAAACUGCGUAUAUAUCAGUGGUUUCACUUUUAACCUGACUGGCAUUCAAAAUGUCCUUGCGAGGGCUUUAACAGCGAUACCUUCACCUGUGGCUCUGUAUCUAAAAUGCCUGGAAAGGAGGUAUUUAUUAAGAGUUUAUCUCCAUGCCACGUUUAGUGUUUCCAAAAGUACAGACCUCAUGAAUAAUUGGUGGCUGAAUCAUUUUAAAGCAAACAGCAGUAGAUGGUGGGCGUCCACUCUGCUCAUUAGCAGGACUGACAGUCGGAAGAGAUGACCCUUGACUGCUUUCCUUUAAAAAAAAGUAGCGCCAGACAGAAAAAAAGCUUGAGGUCCUCAUUACCGACUGCGUUGUUUUUGAAAGCAUCUUCUUUUUUUUUUCUCUCUAUCUGGUUGUUUUUCGCAGCCAAGAGUUAUUUUUUUUUACUGUUGGUGUAAAAAGGGGCAAAGCAGAAAAGAACAAAGACUGAGCAGAGUCUGAUCUGAAGGCAAACGGGUCUCAAGAUGAGUUGUUGGAGAUAUGAUCAAGCAGGAGAUACUCGACGUAGACGUGUGUGUUGUUUUUCGAUCGAGGGAGAGGGAUAAAGGGAGCAAGAGAGCAGAUUAGGAAAGAGAAAAGAGGAUGAAAGGCUAUUGUUUAAAGAGACGGAGAGGACAGGGAAAAAGAGAAAUAUGAGGAAAUGAAGUUUGUCAGAUGUGUUACCACUUUUUAUGCCUCUUUUCUUUUCUUCCAGCAGAUUGACCUGUUGCUAUGGGAACAACAGAGACCAUAUGUGGAAGAAAAAAUAAAUUUCACCCUGUGAUUAGUCGUGAAAGCUAAAGGCCCAGCCAGCUCUUUUAUGGGCUUUCCAGACAAGCUCUUAUGAUGUAAAAAUUAGAUUUGAAGCCUAAUUUGAGUCCAGCAUCACACCCGAUCUUCAUUUUUCUCUUUAAAUCUGAGUGAGUGUCUGCACCUCUUUACACAUGCAGACUGUGCUCACAGUUUUCUGCUGCCUUUUUACAUGGAGAGUAAAACCACCAAACAAGCAGACGGCUGGUUGUUCAUUUAACUUGCUGUGCAGUCAAAUAUUGUUUGGGCAGACGACAUCUUACAUUUUGUCUACAAGGAGAAUACACAACACCUAAAAUAAUGUUUUCAGUAUUUUCAUGUGGCAGGAUCAUGCUUCAUGAGAAAAAUAUGUUUUGGAUUUUAUAUUGUAACUCUGUAUUUCUUAAAUCAGCAGCUUCUACAUGGUCAAAUUAAAGCCCCUCUGAAUUACACAUCACCUCAUUCAGACUCAGUCCAAAACUGAACUGUUUUUAGUUUUACUUCAUAGCCAUUAACAGCCGAGUUUAUAUAUGUGGUGGUAGGACUCUUGUAAGUGAGGUAGCCUUCGUUUACAUGAAUCACAUGCAGGCAGUAGGCAAAGAUCGUAAGUCAGGUUACAGUAGGGCUGGGCGAUAAAUAAAAAAUUUACGGAUACCGAAAUUUAGGUCAAUAACUGAUGUCAUUUUACUCAUGUUAAUAUUAGGGCCCGACCGAUAUGGAGUUUUUGUGCCCUAUGCCGAUAAUGAUCAUUAAUCGGAAAUCUGAUUUCUGAUUAAUUGGCCGAUUUGUAAAAAUUUUUUAUUAAGUUAUAAAAAUUUAUAUAUAUAUAUAUCUAUAUAUCUACCGUCUAUUAAAACUGUAGAUAUACUCUAGGCUACUGCUCUUCAUGCCCCCCCCCCGGUCGCUGUGCCAUCUAUAAGAUAAGUUGGGGAGCGAGUUUUGGCCGAUCAGUCUCAAACGGACUAAUGGGCUCGCCGAUAAAUCUGUCAGGCCCUAGUUAAUAUAUUCGGUGUCAAAAAAAAUAGAUAAAUAAAAGUUCGUUUUGGAUGUGUGUCGGUAGGCUAUGGUCUCAUGUCCCUUUUAAGACGCUGUCCUAUGUCAGAGACGUGACAGAGACGUCCACCCCAUCCAGUCCGUAACAAAGAGGGAAAGACAGGUGAGGAGAUGGAGGACAGUUCAAAAGUUGUUGCGGCUGGUGCAACAGCUGAGUUAGAUAAAGUUAAUGUGGGAGGGUGUGAGCAGCUUGUGGAGUAGUUAAUGUCCAUUUAUCGUUAUCGAGGUGAACUGCUCAAUAUAUCGUGAUAUUAAUUUGAGGCCAUAUCACCCAGCCCUAGGUUACAGGUACUGAGUAAAGAUAAACAUUAGAGUUUAGUUUGGCUGACUUGACCAAAAGUGAAAGUUGAGAUUUUCCCUUGAAUUACUCCCUUCAUUAAAAGUUUUCUGCAACUGCCACAAUUACUCACUUUUUGCUAUUAACUAAUAUAAGCAAACUCUUUCUCUAAACCACAGAUGUAAUAUUGUUACAGCUACAGAAAUCUAACUAGACUGUUAAUAAUUGAUUAUUUUGCCUCAUUAUGAGUUUGCCAAAUGUAAUUAUCUUGAUAAAGUUGAGUACUGGACAGCAAACAAAAACGACCCAAAGUUGACUGAAAUGAUUUUAUAACUUGAACUCUGUGAGAAGUAAAAAAAAAAAAAAACAACAACUUGACUUUUUUGAGGCUAAAGUUGAAUUCCCUUGCUCAGUGAAUGUCAAAAGCAAUCGAUGAGGUGAUAACAGCUCAAGUCUCCAGAUGUCAGGGUCGUUUAUUGGUUUGGGAUUUUAAGCAGAAUCUUCUUGGUCAUGAGCUUCAGCCGGAGUCUGAAGUAGAGUCCACCUGCUCGGCCUUCGCUACACUUGCCCUGUUUGAUCUCGCAGAGCUCUCGGUCUGAGUUUCACGGUUCGAUAACGCUCGAAACUCACCCGGGACCUGUUGCUAUGUCUUCAUACUUAUCAGCAGUCCUGGUCCAGCUGUGGGAGUCCGGACUGUGGAGCCCGCUCUGACCUUUCUGAAGCAGAGUGUUACUGAGGCAGGCUGGGUUGCAUGCAGCACGGAGAGGUCUCAGAGGGGAAAACAGUAACUUAGCAUGGAACAGUGUGUGCCCACAUCAGCAUGCUGAAUGUGUAAAGAAUGAAUGUACCCACAACAAGUCCUCUGUGACUCUCUUACUGCUUCCCUCCUUAUUUUUGUGCAACCUGACCCAAAUCCUUAUCCUCUCUGAGUCUGUUUAGCACACAAAAAAAGCCGUCUCUCUCUCGCUAACAAUGUUUCAUAUGGAAAUGAACAUAAUAAAGUCCUCUGUGUACAAAGUCAGUGGGAGGGAGUGGGUUGUUGAGAGCAGAAGGAAGACCUCUUUAUAAUAGUGAGAUGCUGGUGACACAGCAGAAAUGCUGCACUUACUCCCAGUAUUCAAUUUGAUAAUUGCUUUGACUGCAAAUAUAACAUUAUCAGUAUGCUACACAACACCUAAUUAUUGUCCAUUUCUUCUUGUUAUUGUAAACAUUUACAAGAGGGGGCAUUACAGUGAGGGUAUUGGGUCAGAAAUAUAUAUUAUAAAGUCAAAUAAGCGGGUUAGGACCAAGAACGUCUUGUUGGUGUCGUUAUAAAGUAUAGAGUAGUUGUAUUUGGAUUUGAAAAUGUCAUAUACAUUAGAGCAUGUCUGAUUGAAGAGGUACUCUGAUAUAUUCCACCUUAUUAAAGAGACAUACUGUAAUUUCAGCUACAAUUCACUGCAGACGCUUCAUGAUUAUGUCUGACUACUGAGGUUUGACAGGCUUCAUGAUAAGGCCUAAUGUGUGUUUUAGUAACUUGUCUCUGAGUCAUCUUAUUAUGCAUAUAUCUAUAUAUUUAUUUAAAUAUAUAACUGUGCUUUGACAGUGCUCGUAGUAUGCUAAAAUGCUGAGCCAUCAGAAGCUAAUGGUGUGUGUCGGAUGUAAGAGACAACAUGAUGGAGGAAAUGCACACACUAGGCGAAGUGAAACAGUGGAUUCAGUGAUGAGAGUUUUAAAUCUGCUUCAACAAUCACUUGAUGAACCCUUUUCAUUUGUUCAUCAUUUGUUUAUCUUAAGGAAUAUAUCUGUACAUAUUUCAGACAUUCAUUAAAGCCACUAUAAGGAGAUUUGUGACAUUUACGACUCAGACAGUCAUUUUUGACACCUGACACCAGUGCAAGGGGGUACGUGUCAGUUGAGAAGUGCUUAAUGCUGCAUUCCAGUUGUAUUCCGAAGUCGGAAUUUCUGAGCUCAGAGUUUGAAAUUCAUCUGGAACGCCCCCUUUAAGUCGGAUUUUGUACUCGGAAAGUUGGACGAUCCUCACCAACCCCGACUUGACGACAACGUCAUAAUCCAAGAUGGCAGCGCAGUGCAUCAACAAUAAAGAGAAACAGCAAAACAUCUCGUAAUGUAUUAUUUAUUAGCACUUCUGUUUUGUAUUUGUGAAAUUGAAUAAGUGUUUUAUGUUGUACUGCCCAACUUCUAACUGUGAACAAUGAUGCUAUGGUGUUUGUAGGAAUAAAAUACUGUGUUAUGUGUUGUUUACAACUAUUAUAGCUAACAACAACUGACAACGGCCAACGACAGCUGACAAUUGUAAAUAACAGCUAACUGUAGGCGUCCAUCUUGGUUUUCCGACUUGUGAACUGAAAUGCCGUCAACUCGGGUGUAGCGUCAUUCCCAGCCCCAACUUUGACUUCUGAGGUAACUGGAACGCAGCAUAAGUUCUCGACUUAAUGUCUGAGUUCUUGUAGAUCUCACUGUACUUUUAUUUAAAAAAACAAAAAUAUUUAACUUCAAGUAGAUUUUUUUCUCAACAUGUUUACUUUGUUUUCUUAUUUUGGAUUUUUAGUCACUCUUACUCUUAGAGUAUUUUUCCAUCAAUUUUAUCUUUUUGACCUUAAAACUUACAGAACCCCGACUCAGCACACCGGAAUACAUUGAUUUUAUGUGUAGAGGCUGAUGUUUGAGUCUCUCACAGCAAACCCACAGCACCAAUAAUUGCCCUGCGCUGUGCUGUAAAGUUCUCCUCAGGGACAAAAUAAAAAUGCUUAAAGCUGAUGAACGCAUCAGAGCCAAAUAACAGCACAGCUCUUCCCAUGUUGAGUCUAGUGCGGCGCAGAUUAAGACGGAGGAUGUCCGUGUUCCCUGAGCACGGUGUGCUUGGACACCUGUGUACCAUUUCCAUAUAGAUUGCCUGUCCAUCAUUUCCAUUUUGAUGUUGAGGGAGAAGCAGGACUGAUAGAACAGACUGGGGAAGACGCCAGGGGAGACGAUGUCUGCAUGUAACAGAGACAGAGAGAGAGAGGGAGAAAAGAGGGUGAGCGCGUAUAUUCUGUAAUAGCUAUAUCUGAUAUCCCUGUAGGAAAGCCACAGUUGCAUAUUUCAUGCUAUGUGUCAGAUUUUCUACCUUGGCCCUCAGUGGUAAAGAAAAAAAAUCGAAUGUGUUCGUGUGCACAAAUCCCAGAGCAGGAAAAAAACCCUCGAAGGACAAGUGCAGGGGCUGCUCAGGUGUCACUGAGGUCAGGAGUUUCACAUCUGUUGAUGCUAACCUUCAAUUGAAGAUUCAGCUGAAGUUUUUUAUUUUAUUUUAUUCUUUUUCUGUCCACCAUUGAGAUUAUAGAAAUUUAAAAGAACUCUUAACUUUUGAUCGAAACAGCCGACACCCAUCGAUGAUUAAUGUAGAGACUAUGUUGAUGUGUUGGAUGGUGAGUCGAUGUUCAAUUGUGGUGAUAUCUACCUGUGAAUUGUUGAAGAUCUUAUUUUUUUUUCUCAUGUUAAUUAAUACGUCUGCGCUGCAUGUUGUUGUGCAGACAUUUUUAGAAUGCAGCACAGCUCGGUGUGGCGAAGGUUGAGCAUGUUGGUUCACGUGUGUCAUUCAUGAGAGGGCACCUUGUCCCUUGAACCAAGAGUCUCAUUAAGAAUCCUGCACUGACCCUCCAUCACCCCAAUUAUGGCAUACAUUAAUCCCACCAGGCUUCCUGAUGAAAAUCAAACCCUUAUGCACACCUACAUACAUACAUACACACAAACACACACAUGCACACAGCCUCACUAGAGCUUCCCUGCAUUGACGUCCCUCUGAUUGUUUUGUUUGUGUGGAAAACCAAUCAGGGCAGAGUUUCUUUGCCGCUUCUGUCUUGUACUCUCACUUAGAGUAAAUGGACAUUGUUAAUGAAGAGGACUGUGACUGUCACGUGUUCCCAUGUGAAAUAAAGUACAAACACUGAUUUGCACAAUGAACCUUUAGUGGGUGUCACUUGUGUAAAGUUUCUUAUAUUUCUGACAGCAUUAAUGAGUUCACGCUUGUAAACAGGAGUUGGGGGGAUGGAGUCUGUUGAGCUGAAUAUACUUAUAAUGAACUCUGGAUAUACAGGCAGAGUGCUGGAGAUGAUCAUAGCUGAUAUUCAGUACAACAACCCGCCCUGAAGUACGAUUGUACUGUCAUGAGGACAAUACAGCAAUCAAGAGCAACACAACCAAGCAACAUAAGGGUGUCUCGAUACAACUCUUUUUACUUCCUAUACAAUACCGAUAUUGUAGCCUUCAAUAUCAGCUGAUACCGAUAUUGAUCUGAUAUUGGCACAAACUUGUGCAUGACAAGUUGACAAACAUCUUUUUUGGACUUAAGUGAAAAAUACUGCCACAGGGCUGACAUCACUCCUACUCCUUUCUACUUUGUUAGUACUUUGAUACACACUGUUGUUGUGAUCAUGAGGGCUCUACAUGCUGGAUCUGGGCGCUGCUAGCUAGCUAGAGGUGCCGGAGUGGAGUCUGAAAUGGACUGCUUGUAUCAGAGUGCAUAUAUAGGAGAUUUUAGAUGCAGGCCGAUAUAAUCUGCUGUCUGUUUUUUGGCUGAUAUUGGAUCGAUAUCUGUUAUCAGUAUGAUAUCGGGACAGCCCUAACAUGGUACAGUGCUUUUGUUGGUUUUGUGCAGAGUUGUAUGUCAAAGAUGAACAAGUCUUUGAGUCAGCGUGUUUACAUGCUCAGCUUAUCCGGACUAAGCUCAUAAUUUGGUUGAACUUCUCUCCUUGUCCGCGUAUACUUGCUGAGAAAAUCGAAUUUUUGACGUGAACAUGUCCUCCUUCCCAAAACAAGGGGGCGAUAUACAACUGUCAACAACAACAGCAGGUUCGUGCCAUACGUCAGAAGUGGCUACGACUGCUGCUGGGCAUUUUCGAGCAAAAAGAUGGAGCAUCGUACAGAGUUUUUUUUUUUGUUGUACAUGAUAUAUGCGCUACUUUUUCUGCAGAUGAGAUGCACACUACUCCUCUUCUCUGGUGUUUUUGUUCCGGAGUUACAGGGGCGUGGCGCACGUGCACAUGCUUUGUCCAAUCAUACUCCGACUACGCCGGUUACAUGGUAGAGAAAAUUCCAAUCGCAUUAUCUGGGUGUCUUAAUUAGAGUUCUUCGACUCCAAUUGUAGUCGGACUAAGGUGUUUACAUGCACUUCAGUUGUCCAGUCUUAAUCGGAAUAAGGCAAUAAUUCAAUUUUCUCAAGUGUCAUGUAAACAUACUGAGUGUCUGUGUAUUCUACCAUGUUUGGGUCCCUUGUUACCGUAAAGGUCCAUCUAUAAGCUGAAAGUAGUUUUUCAGUACAUUACAGUCGUUCAUACUAGACCUUCACAGUAAAACAACCUUAAACACAAAGAUGCUCCGUCCUUGCCUCCGUUUAGUUUUGAUCUCUUUCUGCAAACUCGUCCUGCUUUUAAUCUUUCUUUCCUGCCACUCAAAGUCUGACUGAUAGUAUAGUAGUGUGCAGUGACAAGCCAGAGUGAACAUGAUGUGCCCAAGGUUAAAAAAGUCAUCUGGGCGUCUUCUUCCCCUGCACUUUUAGCCCAUAAAAGCCCAUCUGUCUCCUCCUCUCUGAUUCACAUCUCCCUCUCUGCAGCCAACAGGAAGACAGAUAUUCGGUCCAAAAAAUGAGGAGUGAGAGACUUUCACUUUGGAGGGUUUCAUCAGAGUGCACACCGUGGAUGUGCCAGCUGCCAAAUACUCCAGCGUAAAUGGAUAAAAUUCUUAUCUUGGAGGAUGGAUAAUUGUUAACACUCCCCCUUCUCUCUCCCUUUUUCUCUCUCUCUCUCUUGCUUUCUCUCUCUAGGGGUCAGUCCUGAGCUUUUCUGUUGGAGAUAAUUGGCCUUUCUCUGUCAGAUGCAUAAGCAUGCACAGAGGAGAAUCAGGACUUGUUGGUGCAAACACAAAUAUGCACUGAUUAUUCGUUUAAUAACAGAUACUUCUUCAGGAAACAUAGGUCUUUAUUGGUAAAAACAGUGUUUGGAUUUAUAAAGUCAUAAGUUGCGGAAUAAAGAUUUGAUAUUUGGAGUUUUCCCAGUCUCUCCUUCAUUCAAAGAAAAUAAACUUCACUGAUAUACUAACCAUUUGAAUGUCCUUACAAUAGUCGUCCUCACACACUGUGGUGUUAUUCUACUGUAUUUACUCAGGAGCACACAUUGUACAUAUCACAGGUGACAGAAAUGUCCUCUUUAUGCUGCGAUACACAACUUGCGACUGAGUCUCCUGGGACUUACGACUGAGCCGGAUCAUAAAUUGAAAAAGUCAUGUAAAGGUCAGGUCUUGCAUGCUGCAGAGAACACAGCGAAGAAACAUCGACCAAGAGCCUCGUAAAAGUAUCUGAAAAUGUAAGAAUGAUCUGCAGAGCCAUCGUGAGUGAAUGUAAAGCGCUGAUGUUUGGCAGGUUUUUGCUCGCGCAGUCCUGCUUUACUUGCGUUUCAACUCUCUGACUGUUAAACGAGUCCCUUAAUUUGUCUUCUUUCUUGUUGGAGAAUAAGUGGCUGAAAAGGUCACCUGUCAGAGCGCGAACAAAUGACUCAAUUUAUAGAAAAAUCCUGCACUGUGAAAAGAGGAAUUCACUCUAUCUUGGACUUUUUUUUCUUACUGUACCACUUUAAUCCUUUAACAGGUAAAUGAAAGACUUAAAUGCUGGAAAAAAAUCAUAUUAUUAGUCUUUAUUCAUCAGUUAAUAAGAGUUUUUGGAUUGCUAAGCUGAACAUGCACUUAAAGGCUCCUGUGAGGAGUUUUUCGAUGUUUUCAAAAUAGACAGAAAUUCAUAUCAUCACAGGGGACAGUGCUCUCCCCCUUCCUCUUCACCCUGUACACCUCAGACUUCAGCUACAACUCUGGGAGCUGUCACCUCCAGAAGUUCUCUGAUGACACAGCCAUCGUCGGAUGUGUAUCGUCAGGGGACGAGCGGGAAUACAGGACUGUCAUCACUGACUUUGUCAACUGGUGUGGCACAAACCACCUCCAGCUCAACGCCAGUAAGACAAAGGAGAUGGUUGUGGAUUUCCGCAGGAGGGGGACACCUCAAACAGUUCCAGUGAACAUACAGGGUCUGGACAUCGAGAUGGUGGAGUCCUACAGAUUCCUGGGUGUCCACCUCAACAACAAACUGGACUGGUCAACAAACACAGACGUUCUGUACAAGAAGGGCCAAAGUCGUCUCCACCUGCUGAGGAGACUGAGGUCCUUUGGAGUGUGCAGGACUCUGCUCAGGACUUUCUAUGACUCUGUGGUAGCAUCUGCACUUUUCUAUGCAGUGGUCUGCUGGGGGGCAGGGAGCACCGAGAGGGACAGGAAGAGACUGAAUAGACUGGUCAGGAGGGCCGGUUCUGUCCUGGACUGCUCUUUGAACUCCCUGGAGGAGGUGGGUGAGAGGAGGAUGUUAACAAAGCUUAUAUCCAUCAUGGACAAUCCCGCUCACCCACUGCACCAGACUGUGGGGGCUUUAGGCAGCUCCUUCAGCAGCAGACUGAGACUCCCACCCUGCAGGACGGAGCGCUACCGCAGAUCAUUCCUCCCCUCUGCAAUAAGACUUUACAAUGAACAGUAACAAAACUGGAUUUACACCACCACUUUUUUUAUGGCAUUUAAAUUGUGUAUAUUGCAGAAAGCUUUAGUUUUUCUUCUCCCUUUUCUCUUUUCAAUUUUUUUUUUUUUCUUAAUUAUUACAUUUAUUAAGUUCUUAAUAUUAGGACCCUUAUUGUUAUAACUGCAUUUUGCACUUUCUGUCUUGUCUGUGAUGCUGCUGUGACAAAAAAUUUUCCCCCAUGGGGGAUCAAUAAAGGAAUAUUCUAUUCUAUUCUAUUCUAUUCUAUAUUGAUGGCAUUUUAUUAUAUUAAAGAAAAUAAGACCAUCAGAAACAAGAUUGAUGAUUUGUCUAAAUCACUUUCUUUCUCUCUUCACCCUCCGCUCAACUUCCUUUGAGUUUUGCCUUGUACACUGGGAUCAUGUUGUGAUCAGAAUUUAGAUGCUCUGGCCUUCUGAACCUCCGUUGCGCGGUCUCUAGGUGGCGCUGAUUCUGCAUUUCUUUCUCCUUCAAGUUCUGAGAAGCUCCUGAGGGAUGUUAUCCAUCAUCUAAUGGUAAUCACGGCUUGAUAUCAUCUUUUGAGUUGGUGCCGGCGUGACCCCCCACCACAGCUGUUGGUGUUUCCCACAGAGGAGAAUUGUUCAAGAAAACCAACAUCCAUAGAAUCAAAAUUGUCAGGGUAGUCAUUCUCCUAAAUACACUAAACAUUAAGACAGGGCGGGUGAGUCGACUUUAGAAAUUACCCAAGGUUUAACAAAGAUCGGCCCAAACAUAAAUGUUAACGUGAGCGUAAACUCUAUUGUACACAUUCGCAGUCCUUAGCCUUUAUUGUUAGAAAGCCUCUUCCUACAUAUAUGUAUUUCUGCUCACAGAAUUGUAUAAAUGUACAGCAAUCCCCCUUCGUUACAGCCUAUUGUGCGACAGGAAGCCAGAGGACCGCCUCCGCAGGCACUGACAUAUUGAGCCGGCGCAGCCAACGCUGAUUGCAUUGACUGGUGUCACACCUACGACACUGACAAAAACACCAUGAAAGCCUUUAUUAAAACAUCAGAAAUCCUCCAGGUAGGUCCAGUCAACAGUUGGCUUGAUUGAUGCUUGUGUUUUGAUGCAGACAAUUAUGGCUUCGAAAAGUUCCAGGACAGUCGUGUUACUGUUUGUUUUUCUCCUGCCAUUUCUCCUCUACUAAAGAUUGCUGUAGGUGCUGCAUUUGUCAGUAGAGCUGUCAUCAUUAUGGUGACCAUAUGUCCUCUUUUACCUGGACAUGUCCUCUUAUUUUGGGUGCUGUCCAGCCUUGUCCAGCUUCGUCUGGGGAAGUUUAUAACACCCUUCAUAUGUCCGCGGUUUUGUAUGGAAGUUUUGAGUUUGGCCACAUGGACUUACUGAGUUAGGAGCGCGUAAAAGACACUUGAUCCGACCCAGAUUCAGAAUAUGGUCACCCUAGUCAUCAUGAUGUCACAUCCCCUUAUUUGGAAAUUGAACAGCUUAAUAAAUCUAAACUUCUUAUAACAAAAUAAGAAUGUGGACAUAAAUCUGCAUAUUCAAAACGACCUGUAAUGACUGAAAGCAUGUUAGGGAAUAUGUUGUUAUUAUGUAUGCAGUUGAGUUUAUGACCUAUACCACAGCCAGCCAGUAGGGGGGGGCCGACACCAUCUGGUUAUUGACAGCCUGCACCUACAAAUAGAAAUGGUCAAUUAUUAAUACAUCAGACAACAUGAGAGCAUCGAAAUUAAAGACAAAAGUUACAAUUAUUCAGUUUGUACGCCUCUAUGAAAAGUUCAUAUGCUAAACAGAUGGAUCUGUUCAAUGGGGAUUUUGACCAUCUAACAAAACAAACACUCUGUCACUGGAUUUACCCAUUUUGCCAAUUUUAGUAUUUAUUCAGGGCUCGAACGAGAAAACACAAACAGAUUUUCACAAACCGGGGUAUUAGAAACCAUUCCCCUCUGUCAUUCCCACUCUCACUAAUGACAAACACAAGUACAAGGUAACAAAGCUUGCAUAAUUUCAGAGUUUUUGCACACAAACCCAUUGUCUCACCUGUUGUUGUCUUGGCACAUCACACAGCCCCUCAUGUAUGUCGUGAAAUUUUCCCUCCACUGAAGCGAUGAAAGGGGACCUACUUUUGGCGAAGUCAGAGAAAAACAAAAACAUUUAGCAUUCAUUCUCUGAUCCCAAUUUGUCAUGUUAAAAGGGAUUGGAGGAAGAGAAAAAAAAGGGAGCGCCGGCAGCAGACUGUAAAAUGAAUGGGUGAAAGGAAGUGUGAGGAAUCUGCUCGACUGUGACAUGCUGACUAGUUGUGUCAGCAAUCGCAGCUGUUGGUCCUAAUUACCAAACUGUUAUGGUAGAGCAAGUGAAGAACUUUAGGGAGCUGGAAAAAGGGUGUGUGUGUGUGUGUGUGUGGAAGAAGUGUCUGGAGAAUAGAUGGAGCGAAGAAAUCCAUUAUUCACUUUAAACUCCAUAUAUGAAAACAAAACUGAUUCUGUUUAAGGAAAAACGCAAUUAUUCAUCGUUGUUAAAUCAUCCACAAUUUGUAGCUCAGUGGGCCCACUUUUACGAAGGGGAACAGACAGAAAAUGAGAAGAUAAAUUAACAACAGAUAAAAGUUUUAAAGACAUAACUAAACACUACAGUCAAGGGUGAUCCUACGUCCUCUUUUACCCGGACAUGUCCUGUUUUUUGGGGGGCUGUCCGGGUUUGUCUGAGGAAGUCUAUAAAAUUCUUCAAAUGUUCACGGUUUUAAAUGUGUGUCAUGUGGACUUACUGAGUUAGAAGCAUGAAAAAGACACUCGAUCUGACCCGAAAAACUCAAAAUUAUCUUUGUGUGACUCUGUGACUCCACCUUUGCGUAGUCGUGUCCUCUUUUUGAAAGUCAGAAUAUGGUCACCCUACUACAGUGGCAAUUAAGUAUCAGAAAUCAGUGAAAAAAGUGAAACCUCAGUAGGGAUGUCCUGAUACUAUAUUGAUGUCAGAUGUUCGUCUGGAUCGCCUGGAUCUAGCAUGAAGAGCCCACGUAAUCACAACAACAGUGUGUACUAAGGUACUAACAAAGCAGCAAGAAGUAGGAGUGAUGUCGGCCACAUGGCGGUAUUUUUCGUUAAAGUCCGAAAAAGACUUUGCAGCUGAGUGCAAAACUUGUCACGCACAAGUUUGUGCCAAUAUCAGAUCAAUAUCGGUAUCAUCCAAUACAGAAGGCUACAAUAUCAGUAUCGUAUGGAAAAUUAAGAAGUUGUAUCGGGACACCCCUAAAGUUAAGUAUCCAUAGAAACUAAGAGACAGAUUUGACAACACUCUUAGUCUCAACACAGAUCUGAUCUGGUUAUGCAUCCAUUUGCUGUUUGCCAACCACCAAUAAAACUUUAAGAAGACUGAUUUCAUGUUCCCGCUACUUCCUGUCAGAUUUCUCUGGUUGUCCUUGAGCAGUCAACUAAAGAGCCGAUUCUAAGCCGAGAUUUCCACCAUAUCCGCAACGACUCCGAUUUUUGCCGUACGUCAAUUCCUACCGGAUCUGUUUGUGAGACGAAUUUUGUGGCGGAUCAACAGUGGUUAGGCCUGUCACGAUAACAAAUUUUGCUGGACGAUAAUUGGGCUACAAAUUAUUGCCAAUAAACGAUAUUAUUGACACCGUUUUUUAAAUUAUAGAUAAUGAUAUUAUAUGACAGCUAAACAUGAGUAGGAGAUGACUAAAAUGUGACGAGACGAAAGUGCGUUUACGUUGAUGGGACGAGACGAAAAUGACGAACAGAGUUGCAAAACUCAGUCAGUUAAACGCUAAACAUAUAGGAGCAGCUUCAGUCCGCUCUGACAGCUCUCAUCAGCCUGCUGUGCUCCUCCAACACACAGACACACACGCGCGAGCGCGCGCACACGUGGAGUUUUGUGGUUGACGAAAACAAAACUGGUUUAAAGCCGAAAUAUUCCCACACUUUGGGCUGUUGCGUUCGGUUUAGACACUAAAGCUGCCGUGUUCAUUCUGUUAGCUUGCUUUUCACUCACGACGCUCACUUGCAGCACUGUAUCCAAAAGUCUGUGUCUGUGUGCAUGUGCGCGCCAGCCCCCUCGUGACAAAGAGACUGAAUGACUGACAGGAGGGUUCACUCACUGCGUUCAUUCCGCUAUAGAGCCAACGCCCCCAGGUGCCGAGAACAAUGCGCAGAGUGAGACCUCUUCUCUCAUCCAGCGUGUUUGGUAGCGAGAGAGGAGGAAAACAAACGCACGUAAAUUAUCGAGGCUGGCAAAAUGACCGACCUCGUUUUUAUUUACCGAGCGAUAAGGCGAUUUAUUGAUUAUCGCGACAGGCCUAACAGUGGUUAUUGCAAGAACUUACAAAAACCUGUGAAUUCACGUGCAACCGCGCGAUAACGAGUUGUUUCUUAGCCACAGAGGCUAACCAUGAAAGCAGUAGAUUUUGUUCUUCAAUAGGAGGAAAUCCACUUCUGGACUUCUAAAAUUUGCAUCCCCUCACCCAUGGUAUCAUUGGGGUGAAAUGCUGUCUGAAAACCUUUCACUUAGUUGUCCCCGCCCGUUUGCAUUGUGUGAAAUACGAUCCGCUUGAAACAUGCAGUGUUUUAUUUUGAAAAGAAGCCGGAUGUUUUAUUUUGGGUCUGUGCCGGACUUCCUUUCCAGCACAGACUAAUCUGUGCUGAAUUAAUCCGGCAUGCUCCGGCAUCCAGAAAAAAUAGAACACUUGCGAUCAGCAUGCGGAGUCCGGCGAUUGGCAGCUGAACGGAAAGAAGCCGGUGGAAAUUGACACAUUUACUUUAAUGGUUACGAUCAGCUGCGACCGGCGGUUAUGGCCUUCAUAGCCGUUCCGGAUGCAGUGGAAAUUUGGGGUUACACUGUCAUCUAUUGUCAUGCUGUUUCCUGUGUCCCGCCCUCUCUUUCUCACUGGUUGUUGGCAUCACGUGUUUAAAGUAACCAGUUAACACCACACAAUAGCAUCCAAAUUCAGCAAAAAAAUUCAAACAUGUUUGACUGCGGCUGAGGUUGGGUCAGGUCUGUCCCCGUCUCACACGUCUUGCAGAUUCGUGUCUUCACCCCUCACGCAUUAACAGAUUUUCGUGCGGAGUUGCCAAGCCGACUGCCCCCAGCUUGUGCAAACUGACUUACUUUCUCCUGAGUUUGUCAAGAUCCUUGAUACCUCAUAACCCACACAGACUAAUAUUCCCGGCUCUGCACAUCUGCUAGUUUACAACCAAGCUGAGUUGCCUCUGUGGAUCAGUCUUUGAAUGUCAAUGACCUUGAUACCUGAGAACCUAAAGGCCUAAAACACUCAUAACAACCCAUGUCUGGAGGUAGCUAAAUAUAACCUGCAUCCCCAAAAGAUUUCCACAGCGAAUCGUCAUUGUUGUUUUCCCAGAAGCAAUAGAUUGGUGGCAAUUUGUCACACGCCCUAAUAUUUGAAACACAUACCCUGAGAAUGACCCCAGAGAAAAAUGGCCUCCAUGCACCUCAAAACAGCUCUGUGCUCGUCUUCUUCUUGUAGCUUCAUCCUUAUGCCUGGAUAUAUUCCCCCCCAAUGUGUGUCAAUUUCAUAUCAGAGUCCGCAUGUUGAUGGCGAUAUGAUCAAACACAUGAUUACCUUCGGCUGCAUGAGGAAGGCCAUUGGAGAUCAGGAUGAUGCACCGAGGCAGGGGUCUUUAUGGAGGCCUGAGUGUUGGUGGCUGAUAAGGUGACACGUUGUGGUGCCUUCAGGGUCUUCCUCUUCUACUCCCUCUGUCGUUAACAAACACACACAGACACAGACACACACACACACGCCCACACACUCAAUGCUGCUGCUUAUCUUCCAGGAAUGAGAGCCCUCCUCUUCAACUGCACAAUUGCUCUGCCUUUCCCUCUGUCUUUAUCUCCUCACAGUCAUUUAUUUUGGAGAUGGAAUCAGAGCAGCUCCCUCUGCUAACACACUGUAGCUCUGGAGAUGUAGAAAAAGACGCACUGAGAGAAGAGCACAGAGGAGAACAGAGUGUUGCUGGUGAGGAAAAGAGGUCAAAGCGGCGAGUGAAUAAGGUGAAAAAGAGGCAAAAAGUGGAUGAGAAAGGGAUAUAGACGCUGCUCCUCUUUCAAUUUUGACUGAGGAGACAUCAUGCAGGGUAAAAAGAGGCUUCUUAAGAGACAGGGUGAAAGAAGAAAGGCAGAGGAAAAUUUCUGGGUAAGAGGAUGUAGAGAGCUCUGGGAUUUGACACAAGGAAAGGGAGAUGACACAGUCAAACUGAGGAGAGAAAACGCAGUGUAAUAAUAGUCACACCAAGAGAACCAGGACAAGGAGGAGACACCACGCAGAAUCUGUCUGUGGGUUCACAACGGGUUGAAGAGGGGGGGUACUGCUUCAGGGAAAAAAAAGAGUAAUUGUGUAAAAGGCUGAAUCUAAGAGUUUGGCUGCGUUUCAGAAAUAAACUGUGACGAAUUUUCGGAUUGGCUGUCAUUUUUCGCCAUUUGACCGAUUAUUCUGGGCACCCUAACCUUCCCGAGACAGCUUAAGAGACAGGAGGAAAUGUCACACUUCAACCCACGAAUAACAGAAGGUUACUUCAGAAUGAGACGCAUCUGAGAAAAAAUUGAAGAAGACAAAAGGUGUUUGGAAUAAUCCAGAGAUCUAUCAGCUAAAAUCCAGGCUGUCUUUAUUACAUGUAACACCUUUUAUUCCCCCUUCUUUUCUCUCGUGCUGAUUUAUAUCUGGUUCUAAAAGAAUAGUAAAAAAUAAAGAUAUCAUUCCAGGCACGACCAGCUUAACGGUGCUCCUGUUUUAAUCUUUCAGUUAUAUUAAGUCUUAAAACAGGGGGAGUAGAUCCUCUUGCUGCCUCAGAGGCUUUUCCUCGAAUAGUUCCUCCAUCUCUGGAGUGCCAUAAGCAUAACUAUGACUAAAUAACAUGAUGAGCUUUAUGAAAUUAGCGGAUUUCUAAUGCUCUCUGGAGGGUUCAUUAGUCAUAAAACGUGGGACCAUAUAUCCCAUCACAAAUCUUUCUUUCUUUCCACUUAAUUACAGGAGAGGAAACUAUAUUUAUACAACAGUGUGGGUAAACCAGUGAUACUUUUAGAUACUGAGAUUACUGACUUGCAUCUAUAUUUAUCUAUAUCUAUAUAUUAAGACUGAGUGAAUUUAGUAACCUUUCUCCGGCUCAUUUAAGUAAACUUACUUUAAGGCAGUUGCUGUUGCUGUGGAUGCUUGCUUUAAACCCACAGAAAUUGGGUAUUUAUUUUCUGUGCUGGAAUCCUAAACAGAGCGUUUAAGGAUUUGUGUGUUACAAGUUUGUCAAGUAAGUUAUUAAGAUUCGAUGAAAGGACCAGCAUCGGUAUUUGCAUUUCUUCAUGGAAAUGCAAUCAGACUGAGACGCUAAGGCAGAACUAGCGCUUCUGCAGUGCAACAUGAUUAAUACUGUGAUUAUUACUUCAAGGAAAUGAUGAAGAAAUGAUCAUAAAUGUUCUUCCUUGAGCUGCGUCACCCCGCUGCAGACUCGUCCGAGCUCUCCCUACAAACAAGCGGCUGCUGGAAGAGAGUAGGUGAGUUGUGUUUCAUCUCUUCGCUAAAGAAAUCAGGCAAAGCUAAAAAGAUGUUUGGUGGGUAGGACUAUGGCUUGGACCCUAUUUGUCCUGUUGAUGAAGUUAGGUGCUGUUCUGAGCAUUAUUUGUGGCUAUAAAGUGGCGUUUUGGUUGAGGUGUGCACGUGGAUCCAUAUACCACUGUGUAUUGCUAUCGUGCGGUCGUUAACUCGUGUCUAACUCGGUGUGUUUGACCCUGACCUAAUUGUAUGCCAGAAUAUCCCUUUAAGGCUUUUACCAGCAGGAGACAUCAUCAGUUAUGUUCCUCAGCAUCAUUUAUCACAAGACACCCUCUGCUUAGGCAGGACCACCACAAGCCUGGAUGUGUGUUUCCCGGUUAACUGUUCACCUUAGCAGCCCAGGUGGUGUCAGUCCUCUUGAGCAAUAGCCAGAGACUGGUCCUUUAAGUGGUGUUGGCCAGUUCUUCGAUGGCCUGUCCCCUGACUCCAACCUUCACCCCACCUCCACCAGGCACACCUUCUUUCCUGCUUCUGUCAUCUGCCUCAGCUGCUAAGUUGAAGUACCACAGCUGGCGUCUUCCCAUGGCACCGUCAUCUCAAUGAUGUAAGCAAGUUGGCAGGAAUUAGACCAGAGGACGCGGUGUGGUCGCAGGGUGGUUGUUGUGAUCUCCAAAACGAGAAGAGGGAAAAAUUAGCCUCUGAUCCAAGUCGACUUGUAACUGCCAGUCCCAUCUGGACGGAUCAGGGAUUGAGGGGCUAGUCCGUGGGCGUUGAUGGAUGCCCUCUUCUACUCAAGUUUCUUGGCUAGACAUCUGGGGACCUGGUUGUGUCUGUACGCAGGGGGCACGACGGGUCCUUCCAGGGCCAUAGCUGCAGUUUUGUGGGAUGAGUAUUUAGAUUGUAGCCCUGAAAUGCCAGACAUGUUAUUCCUAACCUGUGAUCCAGCCCCCUGGCGGAGUUUGGGAGUGUUUUGAUCUGAAAAAUGGAGAUAGAUUUGUGUAUUCGCUGUAUCUGAUUAAACUGGUAUAGAACUACUCAACCACAGCAAUGUUUAUCAAGCACAGGCCUGCAGGGAGGACUGGAGGCUGCAGGUGUGAACUCUGCUAACUUCAGCCGCACUUGGCAAAUUGAGCCAUGUGACAUACACUGUGCUCGCUUUAACCAUUUGUAAAGCUGGUGUUUUGUUUUGUUUGAUAAUAUCCAGAUAAACAGCGAUGCAUGAAAAGUGCGUUGCAUGACGAGCUCCUGCUAUUUGAACAAAACAGCAGCCAGAAAUGAAUCCAGAGGUACCAAUAAACUGAUUUAGUAUAUAAAAGAAAUAAACACUGAUCAGCUUUUGACUUUUUAAAUCAAUUUAAUUCUCAUAACCAAGAAUAAUUCUACAUUUUGAGAGUGGAAAGAGCAACACAAUAGUCGUAAAAAUGAUGCAAUAAACUACAAAAACCGAACAAAAACACGGAGGAAACAACAAGAAUUGAAUCCACAGCAAGUGGGGCAAUAUAUUCAUCAGCAGUUUGCUGCUGUCAGAUCAAAUCUACAUUGCACUAUACCAAAUAUUCAUAGAGAGCAAAUGUGCUGUGCUUGCUCCCCACGUUAUUAGAUUUAGCAGGAAGAAAAGAAGGUGAACAUAAUUCCCCCCUCUUGAGAGCCAGUAUGAAGGACUAGAUAAUAUUUCAUUUUUGCAGUUUUCAAUAGGCAGGAAAUAAAACAGGUAAACUCUCACUUUAGGAGCCAGCAAGGAGUUUUUCACCUCAACAGACAUACAGCAAAUAUUAAUGGUGUUGGGAUUAUUGAGUGCAGACCAUGACUGUGCCGUAUCUUCAUUUUGUUGCAGAGUUUAUAAGUCUUUGAAAGUGUGUAGCUCCAGCCACAAUUAAAUAAUUUAAUCCCAACAUUAAUAAUUAAUCAUUCAGUGAGGUUAAUAAGCUGCAUGUUUUCAGACUUCUACUAUACAUUUCUUAUUGUCCGUAGUGAAAUUAUGCGCCUUCGACUUCAUUUCACAACCUUCAAAGAAGUCAUGAUUUAUUUUUAUGGUAAUCAGGUUUUUUUUUUUAUUUUGCACGCAUCUUAUUUAGAAAGAAACACACAAACAAACACGCUCCAUAAGUUGUGAGUGACAGCAGAGAGGUUAUGAAUCUCGGCUCUGAAGGGAGUCUGCCUAUUUUUUACUCCUGCGGGGUAAAAAGAGAGGAUGAUGAAAGGAGAGUCGUGUACCUAUGGGAGGUCAAUAUCGACACAACCCGAGUGCAGAAAAUGACUGGCCUGAGGAGGGGAGGAGUUGUUCAGGGAGAAGCCAGAUUGAGUACAUGGCAGCUGUGUAGCAGUAAUACUGUUCAAAGCCCGAAGGCUCUCGGUCACUGCCAUCGCUCCUGUUAUGAUCCCUGCUGAAGGUGCUUUGCUGUUUCAUGGGGCCCUCUGAAACGUGGCUGUGAUGGCUGUUUACACAUUAAAGUUCAAGACACAUUGCUACAGAAAAGUUUCGGUGCUACAGGGUGAGAGAAAGUCUUGCAGUCGUGUUGCAAAAUCCCAGUCCACUGUGCUGCAGGCCACAACGAGCAUCAACCAGCUGAGCCAGGGACUUUGCACUGUGUGAAGGCAGCAGGGGGGUUACAAUUCUGAACCCGACUAUAAACUAUGACACCAGAAACACAAGGUGCGAAGAGGUACCUAGAGAGUGUGCUCUGACUAAGAAGUUUGAAAAGAAAUCCAAUAAAGGCAGUUUGUUUUUCAUUCUUUAUUUGAAGCAAAUCAAACAAACUCAUUCAGUUUAGUCUGGUUCAUUUAAAAUCUGUCAAUCAAACUCUUGUGCAGUUAAAACAGCUCAGCAGUUUUCACUUCUUUCCCUCUUUUUUUUUUUUAAUGCUGUAUGCCACUAGUUUUUGUGGUGCAACCUAAUACAACAAUCAGAUAACUUUGCCCUAACAGGUAACCUGUGACCGUGGCAUGACCUCAAAGGUUAAAAUACAUUAAUGUUCUUCCUGACAUAUAUUCUUUAUUUUUGAUCCUUGAACAAGAGCUGCAGACAGAAUCUGACUUACUAGCUAAUUGCAAUGCAUCUCGUUUGUUCCAUAUUAUCCCAGACAAACUAAACUCUAAAUACUCUUAACUCAAGUUCACUAAAUGGAGCUGAAUAAACUUAACUAACUAGAUUAAUCUGAACUCAAUUUGAAUAAACAUGACUAUACUAAACUCAGUGUACCUGGACUUAACUAAACUAAUCCUAUUCAGUCUGAAAUAAACUAAACCUAACUUAACAAAACCAAACACAGUCAGACAGAUUAAACUAAACUAAAUUUAACUCAACUAAACAGAAGCGUACCGAAGUACAAUAUUAAACUCUACUGAACUUAACUAAACAAAGCUGAGCUAAAUUAGACUAAACUUGACUUACCUAAAAUAAACUUAACUCAACUAAACAGAGCUAAACUAAACUUAACUGAACUUACCCUGACUAAACAACCCAAAUUACAUUUACUAAACUUUACUGAACCUAGCCAAAUGUAGUAUAUCAAACUAAACCAAACUUAACCAGACACUAAAAACUCAAGUUAACUUAAAAUAGCUUAACUCUGACCGAACUUUACUUAACUAAACUUAAUAAGACUUCACUUAACUUAACAAAGCUAAUCUAAAAAAAGCUUAAGUUUAAUAAACGUAACUUAACUUUAAGUUACUAAACCAAGCUACACUUAGGAAUAAGUGUAAGCAUAUCGAAACUUAAUAAACCUCAAAACAGCUUAACUUAAAAAAUCUAAACUUAACUUAGUUUAACUCAAUUUUCCUGAAAUGAACAAAACUAACAUUCACUUUGAAUUAUCUGACACAACUAAACAAAACUUGACUUAACUUGCCGAACUUAACUUACUGUAGCUAGACUUAACUAAACUAAGCCAGACUUAAAAUUGUACUCAUCUAAACUUGAUUUGACUGAACAAAGCUGAAAUCAACUAAAAUCAAUUAAACUAAACCAAACAAAGAGUUUUCAAAGAGUCGUCAAGUUCACAAAAACUUCAAGUGUAUUUCUGCAGCAGGUGAUCAAUCCGCCCACACAAGACCUCAGAUCAGACUUGAGAGCGAGAAAGAUAUACUGCAACAUGAGAGGAGCAGAGAUGGGCUGCAUUGUAUGUUUCGUGAGAAGAAAAGAAACUCAAGUUUUUAAAGUUAGACAUACAACAAAUAUGUUUCUGCAAGACAUGAUACAAGGAAAAACAGCCAGGUUGCAGCCACCCAUCCACUCUGCUCAUUUUUCAUCUCAGCUGCCUGCAGCCAUAGAGUGAUGUCAAAUAAUUUUCCAAAGUGAAAUACCUCUUUAAUCCAGUCCAGUCUGUGGGGAGGAACUUGUGAAGCAACAUGACACUCAGUAAAAGCCUCGGGGCACCAUCUUUAUUAUUUCAUCCCCUCAGAAAAAAAAGUAUGCUAGACACCUCUGUAUUUUCAGUAACUCAGUAGGGCGUGUUUUGGUCUGAUGUGUCCAUUAAAAAGCACCACAUGUUCUCCUCUCUUCUACCACACACACUGACACACUCGAUGAGAUGAUGCGGGGGUAACAGGUCAGUCUUAAAGUGGACACUGCUGGUAGUUUCAGCCACUAUCUGAGAGUGCAAUCGGGCCCUUAGAGGGAAAUAGAUCAAUUCACAGGAAGCUUCUGCAGGAGGCAUGCAUAAAUUAAAGAGAAUACAAGGAAAAACACACAAAAUGGUUCUUAAGAAAAGCGUCUUUAAAUGAUAAUAAAUGAGUUUAAAAGUCACAGGAAACAUGCAAAUGAGUGGCUGCACUACCCAGUAUGACUCCACUGAGUCACCAGCAUGAAUAUCUUUACUUGUGAGCUUCCAUUACUGAUUUUAAAAGGAUAUUGCGGCAUAAAAUUAAUUUAGGGUCAAACACACCGUAACACCAAGUUAGACACCCCCUCGAGAGAUGAAUGUUGCCGACUGCUUGUUUCUCUAGUUUUACCAAAUGUAGUAACAACCGCACGAUAGCAAUACACAGGGGUCUGAGGAGCCAGAAACAAACCUCAACCAAAACACCACUCUAUAGCCACAAAUAAUGCUCAGAACAGCACCUAACUUCAUCAACAGUACAUAUAGGGUCCUAGCUAUAGUACUAGCCACCAAACAUCUUUUUAACUUUGCCUAACUUCUUUAGCAAAGAGACUAAACACAUCUCACCUACUCUCUUCCAGCAGCCGCUUGUUUGUAGCGAGACCUCAGGCCAGUCCAUUACGGACUGCUGCGGGGUGGCGCAGCUCAAGGAAGAACAUUUAUGAUCAUUUCUUUAUAAUUUCCUUGAAGUUGUAAUCACUAUAUUAAUCAUUUUGCACUGCAUACGCGGUAGUUCUUCUGCCUUAGCGUCUCGGUCUGAUUGCAUUUCAAUGAAGAGCAUUUCUGAGCAUUAUUUGUGGCUAUAGAGUGGCGUUUUUGUUGAGGUUUGUUUAUGGCUCCUCAGACCACCGUGUAUUGCUAUCAUGUGGUUGUUAAGUUGGUAUAACUAGAGAAGCAAGCGAUUGGCAUCAUUCAUCUCUCGAGGGGGUGUCUAACUCUGUGUUACGGUGUGUUUGAUUUUACGCCGGAAUAUCCCUUUAAAGGCUUACUCUGUGUUGUGGGUUAAUCAUAGACUGUGUGAAAGAUGGAUGACAAAAAUGAAGCUUGUCUGCCUUUUAUUUAAAAUCCAUCAGUCUCUGAAGUUCAUGGUCCUGUAAGUAUCUUUGUGAAACUGUAACGUCAGAGUUUUGUUUUAAACCAUAUAUCAACAGACUGUUUCACAUUUUCCUCUAAACAUCCCAGAUAUCUCAGAGUAAACUGCUGUACAAAUGAAUGGCAUAUUAUUCAAAUAGAAAACAUCAAUUUUAACCCAUUUGCUCAAAUGUUUGUAGUGAAAACUUUCCAGAAUAAUAUCUCUUUACAAGGUCGUUUCAAAGCUGAAGCAUUUCCCAUUUCUGUCUGAUAUUUCAAGGCUCCCGUUUCCAUUCACCGCAGGAGCUGAUGGAGUGAUUUAUGCAGGAAUAUCAAAUAUUACUUUCCAAAACCCUAGUUUUGUUUGCACACGUGUAAAUUUGUCUCCCAGUCUGCAUGCAUACCGUAUCUCUGUCAAAACAUGAUCCUCCUCAUGUGUAGCUCUGGGCUUCUGUGUGUUUGUGUUUAAUGUCCCCCUGAAUUCAUGAAUCCAGAAUGGAGGCUGAAGCCCACCCACCCAGUGCCCUAAAGUUAGCAUGCAUCUCGUCAGUGAAGCGUAUCUACCUACAGCGGUCAGAAUCAGUUGUUUAUUUUACUUUAAAUUUAUAAUAAAAUGUUGAGAUCAAACAGCUCUCUGAGACAGUAAAAAUAGAGUUCUGGCUCGUACAGAUAAAACUCUCUAAUGCAAAAAGCAAGGCUAUUUUUGACCAAUAAAGAAGGAGACACACUCACAAACACAGCUAAUGGGGUUAGUCAUGGCUUGACAUCAUGAAUAAAACAAGCUUCACACACUCCCUCCCUCCCUCCCUCCUUACACCAGCACAGCGAGUUCACAUGCCCAAAGAGAUCUAAAAAUUAGAGUCCCUGCUGUAUUAUCACUGAUGUUGCUGCUGUUGGAGGCAUAGGUCACCUACAUGUUUGUCUGUACGUCUGCUGUUGCCAUGGCAAAUAUUGAGCUUUACGAGCUGUAAUGAGAGCUAGUUUGGUGGAGGGCAGAGAAUGGAGAGGGGCUGAUAUUUAGUGGAAACAGUGUCAGUGGGAAAGUGGAGACAUACAAAACCAGUACAAAUGGUUGUUCUGGAUAUCAGUGACACUUUUUUAGAGUUUUUAGAGUGGCACUAAAAAAUCCUUUUAAACCAGUGUAGAGAUUGAGUUUGUGUACAUCCUAAAUAAGGUUGGGUAUCGUUUGAUUUUGAACGAUUCCGAUUCCUCAUUUCGAUUCCGGUUCCUAGCGAUUCUCUAUUCAGAUCCUUUUAAAAGGCAGGAUAUAACAGUGAUAUUGCUUUAACAGUUUGCUGAACGCCUUUGUAUUAACUUUCCUGUUCAGAUUCAACAUACCAUAUGGAUUCUCACUGUCUCAAACUCAAUUGCGUUGCUGUCACAGCACCUCGUUGGUGUUCGGCAGCUAUUUCUUCCAGUCGGCGGACUUCGGCAUCGAAACUUGGAAUCGAAUUUUUACAAUUUUAAUGGUUUUGGGAGAAUCGGAAUGUUAGUCCCAGUCCCCGUUGAUGCUUGAGACUCGAUGCCCAACCCUAAUCCUAAAUUCACCAGCCCUGCUGUCUGGGGAGUGGCACAGGGUUCCUAACUGGGCCCACUUUUUUUCUUUGGUGCUCAUACGAAUUUUUUUUUUUUUUUGAUUCAGGCUUUUUCUUUUUGAUGUUCAGGUCAAGAAAGAUGUGUAAAAGGCAUUUCUUGAUAUGCUACAGUUAGAUACUGAAGGCCAAUGUGCUUUUGAUUGAAUAGGGGUCAUUAUAAAUAACCUGGAUGCAGUUUUGCUAAUCCUACUGCUACGUUUAAACUAUAUUCUUAAAACAUUGCAAAAGCUUUUAUUGCUGUGAAUAUUAUUUUAUUGUCAAAUAAAUUUCCAGUUUUUUUCUAUUUUCAAACUUCUUUUGUUGUGUUCCCAGUAGGUCACAAGUUGCACAAACAUAAAAUGCAAAAUCACUUCUUAUGAUGAUGACACCCACUUUUACGUUCCAACUGUCCCAUAUUCUUUAUUCAAAUCAGCCACAAGGUGCCAAUUGUGUUGAUUUGUCUCACUAGUGUUAUGCCUCAUCUAUGGGUGGCCAGGACAUUAAAAAACAGUGUUACCAGACUGCUUUGUACUCGGCACAAUUUUACAAUGAAGCACUUACUUAUUAAAGCGCCAUCUUCUGGGUGUAAUACACUACAGGAUACCUCUAUCUGCAUUAUAUACUGGUAUUAGUUGCACUGGUGUAAAAGAUGAAGUUCAUUUUUAGAUUUUAAUGAAGUGUGUCUUAUACACUGAGUUUCAUCAAGCAGCCUUUUUUUUGUUACUAAUUUCAAUCAUAAGUCCUCAAGAUUUGCAUCAUGAAUCCUCCAAUCAGAGACUUAUAUUUAGUGUAAUGAGCUUUUUUGACUAGUAAAUGUUAAAAAUUCGCUAUGUAAGAGAUUUUGUAGUGUAUGGACUUCACUGAAGCAUUUGUUGAAUCCCUUCCUUGGGACCUGAGUGUCAAAUCUGAGGCGAGCCUUAUCCUUUCAGAGGAGGUCAAGAAAGAUGUAGGAGUCUGUUGUUGCAGACAGGAGCCGUCUCCAAAAUGAAGUCUUCUCUGUCUUUUUGUGACAAAGAGAAGGUCAAACUUGCUUUUAACUUUUCCACACUUGACAUCCUCAGCAUCUCUCUGUUUUUCUGCUCAAAAGGAGCUUGCAUGCCUUUGAAUAGGUAGCUUUGGAAGGAAUAACAGAGAUGUCAGCACAUCCCAUAGAGGCACCAGUUUCGAAUCACUACUAGAUCAUGUAGGAUAAUUGCAGACACGUAAUAAAUGAAGUUUUUACUAUGAAAGCACAAUGAAGGAGGAUUCAUAUCAGUCCCGUAUUUUGGUGGUAUUUCUCUCUUCCAUUUCUUCAUCUGUUGCCAUUCGACAUGAAGAUUAGAGGUGAGCGGGAGGGGACGUGUAUCCCGAGACAGAAAGUUUUCCCCAGUUCAUUAUUCUUUCUGUGUUGUGAGUCAGUGUUGCAACAUUUACCCCACAGAUUUCAUCAAACAACAUGUCAAGGAUAAUGACAGGUAUUUGGGCGUGAAGUUGUACAGAGGGCAACGAUUGAAAAAAAGAGCCUCGAGGCAAAAUCAUUGAAAAGUUAAAAUAGAGCAUGUGGUCGUUGAUGGUUUAAUAAUGCACCCUGUUGCCCUUAAACAGAGCAGUAUGCAUGAAGCGUUUGGAAAGGUGUUUUCAGGUGUGUUUGAACAUAUUUAGCCUCCCUUCUUUUUUGUACCUUUACUUUUUUCCCCCUUUCACACACACACACACACACACACACACACACACACACACACACACACACACACACACACACACACACACACACACACACACACACACACACAGGCAAAGAAAACAUCUCACUUUCACUGCCCAUUCUUAUUUGAAAGUAUGUUCAAUAACAGAAAAAAAGGAGUCUCAAUUUUCAUCCCUCAUUAUCUAUAAUUGAAAAACAAAUAAAAGCAUGAUUACUUCUUCACAGACAGGCACAAAAAAUAAAUAUUUCUCGGUCUAAAUUGCCGCAAAGUUCAACACACGGUGCAUUUAUCACAACUACCUCUAGAGUUUGUGCACAGGCAGUGUAAACAGGCAAUCACAGGCAGAGUGUUCUCAGGUAAUCUGCUGGAGCUAUUUGUCUCGGUGCAAAGGCUACCAAGAGUUUGUUGUCUGAGAGAGAGGGCAGCAGGAUGGAAACCAGCCAAGAAGAGCCAGUCCCCGGCUAAGAGUGGGAGUCCGGGUUUACUUAAAGCAGUAUUAUAUCCAGAGACUUAUCAGUCGGAUGUAAAUACAGUUUAUCCACCUCUCCGAGAAGCAUUUACAAAUCCCCCGGGGGUGUUUAUGCAGAGUCUACCUGGGUCAGGGUGCUGUCUCGCUCUUGUUCUGCUCUAUAAAUCCUGAGCUGGUUUGUUAUGUCGCUUAUGAAUCACCCUGAUGUGUGCAGAGCAGCCAUCAACCAAACACCCACUCAUUACAUUUGGAAUAAGAAGACAUGCUCCUUAUGGCAGACGGAUGAGCAGCAACAGGCCCCUGACUGUUACUGAAACUGACACACUGGGAGAAAAAUGAGUGAAAUUCAAGUUGUCUGUUAACUUAAAGCUCCCGAAAGAGGUUUUGAGGUUAUGAGUCAGAGAAGCAAACAAGUCCAUGAGUGACAGGCUUGACUAUUUCAGUACUGUAACGCAAAAAAAAACAGCCUCUUAUUACAAUGUGUAAAACAUUUGAUGGUCAAGAAAUUCAAGAACACAAGCCAAAUAUACAUCACAGUAGCUUUAAAAGAAAGUCAUUUGUAAUUAAUUUUGCCAACAUGUGAAAAUCUACACACAAUACAGAGAAGGUAAAAAUCAAAUAUGAAGUAUAAAACAACCAAGAAUCAAAAUCUGAAGAAUUUCUCAAAGUUUCCCAUAUCCUCCUGACUACCAGAAGUUCAAAUUGUCCUCUGUGGAGGACCAUUGUAAACCUCAAUAUCUCCCACCCACUGCAUACUACUGAAUUAACUCCUUUUGGUUUCUACAGACGACAUUUAGAGCUUUUCAAUGAUACCAAAUGUGAAGGGGUGGGGCUUCAGUGCUUUUCCUCUUUCCAUAAAAUGUGCAUGCACUGAUGGCAGCCAUUUUUUCUGAGUGAGGAAGAGAAAGGUACUGAAGCCCCACCCCACAAAUCUGAACCUUCUGGUAGUCAGGAGGUUAAAUGACAUCUUCACAUGGUUAAUGUCUCCAACAGGUCUUACACCAAAGCACAGGAGUGACUGAAAUAGUGAACUAAUGAAAAUUGAGUUCACCGAAGCUAUUACGGUUCAUUCUGAAGGGAAGAUGAAAACUUGAUAUUUAAUUAAAUCUCUGAAUGUAAUUCAGCCUUCACAGGAAUAGAUAUGUCUUUUGUUGGAAGAUAAAAUCCCCUGAUUACACCCACUGAAGAGCCGUUAGCUCUCCGCCUUCUCUCCGUUAAAGCUUAUUGAAUACCAACACAGCUCUCAGGGUCUGAGAUGGACAGAUUUAAUUGUGUAUUCGACUAAGUCAAAAGUAAACCAAUCCACAGCAGAACUGAAGACCAGAGUGAUUGAUCUUACAACCUCUAAUUUCAACAGGAAACUGUUGUUGAAAGUGUUCUAACUCAGGACUCAAGUUGAACUUCAGUCCUACUGACUCAGACUUGGACUUGCUCUUAAAAAUUGAUAUAUGCUGACCAGUGCAUAUUCACCUGCUGUUUUGUUCAGCAGCAUUCUCUGUCAUGUUGCCUGAAGAGAUUUCAUAUUUUGCUUUUAAAUAUUUCACGUGAUAUGUGAGAAACUGAAGAGAUGACAGGGGCAAAGUCAAACUUUUAACAAACUUCUGCCCAGGAUGCUCUCACAACAGUUAGUGAGAUACUGAGAUGCUUACUUGGACUGUUAAUACUUAGCAAGCAAACUCCUAGCCUCUGAACAGUAACAUUGGGUGCAAGAUUUUUAGUUUGGUAAGGUUCUGGUUGAUAAACAGUGGGUUUUGGUUGUUUUGAGCUGAAUACACACCUGCAGUGAUCUCAUUGGAGUUGAAGUCUUUACCUCUGUCUUCUCUUCGCUGUAUCCCCUCUCUAAACCCAAUGCAGCAGCAGCAGAUGGCUGGCUUACAUGAACCUGGUUUUGCUUAAGGUUUCUGCCUGUUAUAGAAGUUAUUCCUCUCCACUGUAACUUGCAAAGUGCUGCAAAGUGCUGCAUGCAUCUGGUUGUAGAUAGGAUGGGAGUGGGUCUGAUUUUGCAGGAUGGGGCUCAAUCUUAUCCCAUCUUCAAAUUGGGUCUUUGUAAAUAGAGUUUAAUCUAGACCUUUUUUUUUUGGCAAGCAUGUACCACAGCAAAGGUGAAUGCACAGUUUAAGUUUUGAUGUGCAUUCCAGAGUGAUGACAGACUCAUGCUUGUGCAUUUUUGCAAAACUCCAGUGUUAAAAUAAAUCGGCCUGUGAGGGAGGAGAGAGCAUUGCAGCUUCCAUCACACUUUUUAUUUACAGACUUUUACCUUAUCAGUAAAAAAUUAGAGGAAUAUUCCAAACUGUAUUGUUGUAGGGAUGCACCGAUCCGAUAUUUGAUAUCGGUAUCGGUCCCGCUACUGAAGAAAAUUCUAGAUCGUUUUUUUUUUUUUUUUUUUUUUUUUUUUAAAUUCUAUCUCUUCUAGAUCGGUAUUGUGACAAUGAGCUGGAUGCAUAAGGGCUGAUCUGUUCUGUCUAACUCUUUGCUAUGUGUCGUGAGUGGCAUCCACAAGUAAACACACUGACCGGAUGCCCACACUGUUUUCAACAUGGAGAGAGCAAAGGGGUCUGCUAUCUUAAACUUUAUCACAGUACUAGGGCUGCAGCUAUCGAUUAUUUUAGUAAUCGAGUACUCUAUCGAUUAAUCUGUCGAUUAAUCGAGUAAUCGGAUAAGAAAUGUUUUGCUCUCACUGUAAUACUUUGCAUUGAAUCACGUUUGCCUCAUUAAAAACCAUCAGUAACACACAAAACUGAAAUAGGCCAGGUCUUUCAAAUGAAUAUUUUUACUGCAUAAAUCAGGAACCAAAAGAUUUACAUUUUACCAUGUAGUUCACAUGAAACUACUGAAGGCAAGGUCUGCAGAUGGUCUUUUAAUUGCUAUGGUAAUGAUCUUUGCAGUUUUCACUAAACCAGUCACAACUAUUUCCAGGCUUUGGAUCUAAUUUUACUUGUUUAAUUAAUAGGCUGAAAUAAUAUAAUUCUUGGAUACUAACAUAAUUUGACAAGCAAAUGUACAUUUAUUCAAUAUAUAAAAGUGUUACAUUUUUAUUUACAUGUUGUUGUGUGUUGGUCAUUUUGCAGCCCUCUGCUGCUCAUCACACGCCUAGCAGGUGGUGUAUAGCAUUAUCACCAUGGAUACACGGAUGUUUGUGUGAUUUUUUUCAUCCACUGCCGCCCGGUUUGUGUCGUGUAGAUGUUGAUUAUGAAAACACUUCGCAAUAAUUUGGAAACGUGAAGGGGGAGCUGCUGCUGCCCGGUGUUUACGGUAAAUAGACGCAAACACCGACCAAGUGGACGCUUCGGUCUCCGAAAACGCCGAGACAAAUUUACAAACAGCCACUAUUUCAAACAACUGGGCUCAUAAUCGUGAUGUAAACACUUACUUCCUCGCUAGAAAAAAUAUUAUUAUUGAAUGAAUUUAUAUAAUUUGUCCGGUAUGCAGUCGUUCUAUGUAGCUUGUGGUAGGACUAUUUAAAUUUUCCCGGCGCUGCGUCCGGCCGGCACGAAAUGCAUUCUGGGGUAUUUAGUAUGUAUGUGUGUAAACGCUCGGGCAGCCGCGGCAUACUCACAUCAUCUUUGAGUAGUCAGUAGGCAGUAGCUACUGCUUGAGUAGGUAAGUAGAUAGCAGGCAGUAUGCCAUUUCGGACACAGCUUCUGUCUGUCCUCGUUUCCCUCCAUGAUUGAACCAAACGCGCGGCAGCGGAAGGAGCGGAAAGAGCACGCUUCUGCGCAACAGAAAUAACCGUCCGUGUCAAACACCGUGCACUGCACAUGGUUCCGGAUUUAAACGAUUCCUCGAGGCAUAUAAUUUGCCUCGAGGAAUUUUAUUAAUCGAGUUACUCGAGUUACUCGAGUAAUCGUUUCAGCCCUACACAGUACCUCAGCCUACAAGCUCGACGGCCACUUGCACAGUAAACGUUCUGAGGAGCAGUGGUAAAACUCCAAGUUACAACAAAAGAUAAUUCAGCACAGCUUUUCUGUAUCGGAAUUGGAUCAGUAUCGGCCGAUACUAAACUGUAGAUAUCUGUAUCUGUAUCGGAGGUGAAAAAAGCGGAUUGGUGCAUCCCUAUAUUGUCGUACAUCUCUGCAAACCUUUUCUAUCCUUACCUACAACCCAUUCUAGGUGAGGGAGUUUUCGAACAAUCCAAAGUCUCACUCUCUGAUGAGGAUUCUUAUCACUGAUGUUGCUGCACUAUAUUUGCACCUGUGUGCUCGUCUUUACCUGAACAAAGUCUGAGAGGAAUUCCCCACACUGAGUGUCACAUUUGGUUUGGCCUGUUCUUUUUUGACAAAUCGAGUAAUUUUUUUUUGUUGAUGUGUGACCCCACUAGUGGUCCAUUUGAUGCUCAGAAGGAUAAGCAGGACAGGAGUGAGGCUGAAUCUCAAAAGGGCCAUUUUGGAGGAUAUAAGCAUGUCUGUGAUGGAUGGUGGCGAUAUGAUGGAUUUUAUCUUAAAGAGAAGAGACAGAUUCAAUCAUUUGUGCCCUAUUCUUCUCAGCGAAGGCUAAGCAGACUCCUUUUUUUCCAGAAAUAUCAUCAGAAUAUGAAGAUUGACCAGGAGCUGUCAAACGCUCAGCACUGAUUUUGUCAUUUAUACCUGACAGAAGUGUGUCUGCAGGCCUUGGCAGUCAGCAGCAGGGGGGAACAGACUAAUCCCCCAGACUCACAUUUAUUAAUAGGUCUCAUUUUAUAAAAUCCUGGAACAAAAUGACAUACAUUCACGCUCUCUAAUCAUGGCUCCCCCCCAGAAGGUCUGCGAGGGAAUUUAAAAAUAUCACAUUUAAUGGAAAUUGGAUUACCUUUUAGCUUUCAUGUCCUCGUCAUGCAUGGUUCAUUUCACUUAACUUUCUCUUUGAUGAAAGAGAUGGGAAAAUUGUUUCUUUUAGUCUUCACAGAGGGAGGAGAAAAAAAGAACGAGAAGUCAAAAGUUGACUCUCAGAAAAAAAAGCAUUUGAUUGUCUCUCAUUAUGCAGAAAUCUGUCAGUUUUUACAUGAAGCAAUUUUGUUUAGGAAUUUAUGGGUAUAAUGAGAUGUGGAGUAAACAGAAAAUACUUCAAUGGAGAAGCUCAAGGCUGCAGCAAUGCAAAACUCUGAGUUGCUAGUACAAAUAAAUACUUCUGCAUGUUGAAAUCGAUUGAUUUUGUAGUUGGAUUAUGUGUUUUCUAGUUAAGAUACACACACAGAUGAUUAAACACAAUGCUCACACAGUACUGAGUCUGAUAAUGAGAGGUAGGCAGGGUAAUUUGCCUUGAGUGUGGCGAAUCUAAUGGGUAUGAAAAGAGAGUAAUGCUGUUUGAAAUAUCCUGUUUUAUCCGGUAGUAUACGGCUGGUGCCUGGAGCCUCUCGUUUCAUGCCUAAAGACCACGUGGCCACGCAGCUGGAGCUCUACAUUUUCAAAAUAAAAGCUUGUGUUUUGUCUGUUUUUAAAUGUUGUUUUUAAUUAGACCAUAAAUGUUAAUGAGAUUUAUUAAUGAGAGGACAGGGCAGGAACUUUUUCAGCCAUUAAUAAAUGUAUGCACGUGUCUGCAAUAAGGAAUCUAUUCACGUGCAUUUGUGGUUCUUUGGUCACAUUUUUAUAUUUCUGUUAGGACUUGGCGAUUAUCUGAUCGUGAUAAAUGAUUCUGAUACAUUUCAGUUCGAUCACGGUGAUCAGCUGUGAGCAUAUUAACUUGAUAAAACAUAGCGGAAAUCGUCACAACAGCCAAUCAGAGUCGAGCUUUUCCUGCUCACCUCUGUAAAUUGCCAGAGAAGUAAACAGGGGGGAAGUAAACAGAGUGACCGAUCCUGGAGCAGCAAAAUAGAUGUCAUCCUCCGGAGAUGCGAUUGUUGAGACGAAAGGUUAUUCAAUGUCGGUUGUGUGACGGUGCCGUGUUUUUGAGUUAGCAUUGGCAGUUUAGCCACAACUAGCGGUGCAGCCACCAGAAUAAAGCAGCAGUCAAUCUAUCAUCUAUGUUUCCAUCAUCUAAUAUUUACAUUUUAAGACGUCUUCGUUAUCUCUGAGGGAGCGAUUUGUUUAUUUUGGGUCUUGCAUACCUGCAAAAACACUCAGGACUGUAAACUAAUUCGCUGUAUUUAUUUAUAUUUAUCUGCAUUUGUUGUACUGUUAAGUUUAAAUGGUUUUUAUAUUUUUCGAAGUUUAUUUUAUUUGAUUUGCUUUAUUUACUUUGUUAAUAAAAUGUUGGACUAGUCUCUAGUUUCAGUAACACUUUACAAUAACCAUAAUUUAUAAAUGGUGAAUAGAUAGUUUAUUAAUCUAAGUUAAUAGUUACUUUACCAUUAACAAGCAAUGAAAUCAUGAUUAAUAAUUUUCCUUAAUUAUUGUAAAGUGUUUCUCUAGUUUUUAGUACCAAUGCCUUAAAACUGGCAAAAAAUAAAAAUAAAUAAUCGAGAUCAGACAAUAUGACAAAAUAUGUUGUGAACAUUUUUUUUUUUUUUUUUGCUAUAUCACCCAGGUCUAAUUUCUGUACACAUUUGUAGGUCUGUGCAUACGUUCGUGGCUAAUGAAUCAUUUUCUUCGACUUGCAUAUGUAGAUUUGUCACUGCAGGAUUUACAUUGUGUAAUCUAAUCUGCAUAAACAGAGAAUGAGGCUAUUUAAAAUCCACAGUAGACACUGCAAUGACUUUCCUUCAGUACAGGUAAGCAGUAAUUUACAAGGGCAAACAACGCCUCGCUGUGAAGAGCUACAUAUGUAUUUAUGCAUGCAUUUCUAAAGCCAUGCAUACAAUUGGAUCUGUGCGUGCAAUUUGCCACCCGUGUGGACCUGCUGCCAUUGUUCACAUAUAUGAAUCUCGUCAUACAACAAUACUGAGAUGUCUUCUUUAGUGAAGUAUGGAGAUAAUAAUGCAGUGAAUGUAUUUGUAUUUGUUAAACAGGCUCUUCAUGUGUCUGAGAUCUUUGUAUGGUGCCAGACAGAAACACCGAUUUGUGUGUUUGCAUGCAGCCUAUGAUUUAUUCAUGUUAGUACUAUCAUUAUUGUGGCAAUCAUAAUUUGUCUAAUGAUUAUAUGGUUCAGCGUAUGUGGUUGUCUGAUUAGCUCAAUUUGUUUGGGUCAUCUAAUUUCAUGUGUUUUCAUGAUUGCUCCACCUGAUUAGAGUUGCAUCUAAAUCAGGUAAUGACACUGUAAUCUACAUGAGUGUGUAUUUGUGAACAUUUCAUCAGUUGUAUAUAUAUUUUUAACUCGCAUAUACUCUAUUUGUUUUUGUUUUCCAUCCUCUCACAUAUUUAUGACGCACAAAUCCACACAACGCAGCCGUCGAGAGAUUUGUAAUAUCCUUUGGGUAUUUUCCGCGUCUGACAUGUUUUGGUUUUGUGCCGCGUACUCUUGAAGGCUUAAAGCUGCUUCAUCAAUAUUAGAGGCUGAGGUAAGGGUUUUGUGCGUGUGUGUCGGAGAGGAGCUCAUAAAAAUACACAUGAACUUUUAUUUAAAGUUGUAAUGUUUUUGAUUGCUGCUUUAUGAUCUUUGAAGCUGUAAACACAGCAUACAGUUUAAACGAAACCUUAUGUAGCGCGUAGACAUCGCAGCAAAUUAUAACAAAUUGGAAAGUUAUUCAAACUAUUCAUCCAGCCAUUGUGUAUUCAUGAAUUGAGUGUGCGGCCACAGACCUACAGUUAUACUAAAAGGGUGAUAAUGUUCUACCAUAAAAAUGUUGAAGGUUAAUAUUUAAAUGAGUGAAGAACAAAGAGCAGGGUUAUGAAAGCCAACACGCUGCACAUGGAGACAUAUGGCAUCUGCGCACACAUUCUCACACACACAGACACGCAGCUCCAUAAACACCAACAAUAAAACAAAGCACCCUGGCAAUAUUCUGCAGCUUGCCUGUGGUGAUGGCACCAUUUGUUAAACAGAGAAGUCUCUUUUGCACAUCAUGAUUAUUUCCCCUCCUGUCUGUCUCCACUCCCCCCGGUGGUUUUCUUUGUUUUUCUCGCUAAUUACGGCCACAGGUGAAAGGACCUGUGUAAUAGCAGAGCCUGCUGUUGUCGAGGCAAUCUGUAAAAAUCAAUUGACUCGCCAAUUUAGUCUGGCAUUCCCACAUCUGUGUUUUCGUCUCUGUACGUCACGUGUAUCAAUGCAUGGGUAGGCUCUCCCUUUUUUUUUCCUGUAACAGUCAGGCACAUACACAUAUGUAGAGCCAGUUCAUUGUUAGGCUGCACACACACUCUUGCAGAGUGCAGACAGAGAGGGGAACUGCACCAGGCCGGGCUGCAGGUCAUUAACCGAACCAGUGAAACAUGCAUCUCUGACCCGUCUCUGCAGGGGAGCAGACAGGAGUUAUCACACACUCCAUCGCCCAACCUUACUAGGACCAUCAGUGGACUGCAUGCAUGUUUGUGUGGGAUUGUGUUUGGAUACCUGUGUAUAUACCCUUCAAGGUUAGCCUCAGGGCAAACGCGCAUACAUGAGCGCUUACCUUGGUUGACUGUGGAGAAGAAAGAGCAGGGCUGGAGUGUUGGUCUUGACCCUGUGUGUUCUUGGUUGAGUUUCAUUAAGUACGAGGCCUCAGUGUUACUUCUCUGUAGCGCUCCCAAUCUUUGUGUUGUGACCUUUGUGUGCGAAGGAAAAGUGUGUUUACAUACCAAUAUAUUUAUCAUUUACAUGGUUGCAUAUCUUGGUGUAAACAGCCAGCAGAAAGGUUUCUGAAUUUUGAGUCUGUGAAAACUUAUGUAGCGUUUUUGAGGACUUGGAAAGUUUCACUUAAGAGAUGAUUUUGGUGAAAUUCUUUUUUGUUUUUGUUUUCAUUAUGCUGUUUUAAUCCACCCAAUUUGCAAGGAUUAUCUUUUGCUGUUGUAAUAAAUAUGCAUACCCAUUGGCCAAAACAAUACCAUCUGCCGGAGUUUUUAUGUGUCGACAACACAGUCUGUAAAAGACGAUGGACAACACAGACACUCCCUAAAAGUGAAGCCCAAACUGGAUUUUUCUCCAACAUGCUUUCUGUCACAGAAGUUAUUCGAUAUUGUCCUUUAAUUGUGCAAGUUUUCAUUUAAUGGAGAAAUUUGGUUUCAGUUAAUUUGACACUAAAAGGAGGAGAAUUCAUCAGAAGAAUGUGUUCUGGUGUUGGCUGGACUGACUUAAAAGGAUUGUGAAAGUGUUACUAGCAGGGUAAAUGUUUUUAUUUUGUUGGCAGAAGAAGUGAGACCUUAAUCCUGCAGCUCCACCAGCUCGGCCACAUCUGUGCACUUUUUGGCCUUGCAGUGUUUUGUCUUUGGUUUUGAAAAUGGGAGCAGAUAGAGGUUUGUCGUCCGCUCUUAUCUACACUGCAUAUACAUGGAAAUAAGGCGUACGAUUGUUUAUGUAGAUUUCCUUCAAGUUUUUCUCUUAUUUAUUUAUCUCUUGAAUUUAUUCAUUCAGUCCCAUUUUCAGAAACACUGAAAUGGGACUGAUAAAUUCCAGUACAACAAAUCAAACAAGGAGAAACUAGGAUAGAGUUAAACAAACAACAACAUUCAAGUCCCUUGACGGAGAGGCUGAGACGCAAGUACUACACAAGCCGUUAGCCCCUGAAGGCAGCACUUGGGAUCUGUAAAAUCCAAGACCAAAUGUACCUCACUGGCAGACUCACCUGCUGAGAAACAGCACUCCCAAGUUGAAAAGAGUAAAGACAUAGAUAUUUUAUGAGGAAUUUGCUGGGGUAACUUGCUGCAUCGUAUCCUUCACUUAUGGAUCAAAUUGCAUACAAUGUGAAAGUCACACAGGUGACUGUAUUUUUGACUUUCAUCAUGCAUCCUUUUACUUAACUUUUAUGGAUUGAAUGAUGAAGAUGAGAAAAUAGGUUGAAGACGGCUGUUUUCCUUUUCCAAUAAAUUUUAGAAGUGAUUUUGGUUCUGGGAAGAGACAGACAACAGAGACAUUAUAUUGUAAGGAUAGUUUAAAAGUGCAAAUGAAGUAACGUCAGUGAUUAAAUGACCAUUUUAAAGGGAUAUUCUGGCAUAAAAUUAAGUAAGGGUCAAACACACCAUUUCCUUAAAGUAGUAAUCAUCAUAUUAAUCAUCAAGUAAUAAUCAUAAAUGUUCUUCCUUGAGCUGUGUCACCCCGCUGCAGUCGAUGGACUCGCCUUGAGGUCUCUGUACAAACAAGCGGCUGCUGGAAGACAGUGGGUGAGUUGUGUUUUUAGUCUCUUUACUAAAGAAAUCAGGCAAAGUUAAAAAGAUGGUUGGUGGCUAGUACUAUGGCUAGGACGCUAUAUGCACUGUUGAUGAAGUUAGGUGCUGUUCUGAGUAUUAUUUGUGGCUAUCGAGUGGCGUUUUGGUUGAGGGUGUGGCUCUCUGUAUUGCUAUCGUGCGGUCGUUACUAGAGUUGGUAUAACUUGAGAAGCAAGCGGUCGGCAACAUUCAUCUCUCGAUGGGGUGUCUAACCUGGUGUUAUGGUGUGUUUGACCCUAAAUCAAUUUUACACUGGAAUAUCCCUUUAAGGGCCAACUGAUAAGUACAUACUGGAUUAUGAACUAUUUUAGGCUUUCAGCAGCCCAGUGCUAAACUAAAACCAUCUGAAAUGAAAGCUUUGGAUCCCUCUUAUUUUGGUAGGGAGAGUUAAAGUAGUUGUAUGGUUUUGUUGCUGUCCAUGGUGCUGAAUCUGUUCAGUGACAGCCAUGGAGAUUGUGAGGUUUCUUUACCGCCUACAUUUUACACACACGAAUACAAGGAUCCUCUUUAUUCAACAAUAAGCAGAAGGCGUCCUGUCCUGUCAUUCCCCUCUAAACAGUUCACAGGGUCACUGUGUUCUAUAUGCAAGUCAGAGAGUCGACAUCAAACAGCAUCAUAAUGUUGUAGUAGUAACCACACCUUUGAUGCUUUUGCGACUGUAUCUGAACCAGGCUAGAGCUUCAUUAAUAUUUAUUACAGGAUAAAUGUGUGAUAAAGGACAAAGAGACCGAGAGAGUUAGUGGGCAGCAGAAAGAGAGAACAGAUGAAAGUGUAAAAGAUGUUUAACUCUUAUUUCUCCCCAAGACUAAACCCAACUUUGAAGAAGAAGAUGAUAUCAGAUCUGGAAAAGUCUAUUGCUGUUGAAGUCUUUGAAAAAAAAAGAGAGAGAUUGUGGUUUUGUCUAUGAAGAGGAGACAGUGGGGAAUUGGUAUUCUUAAGUUCCAAGAAAGACCGGGACACCGCACAGCGAGGGUCCGCUUCAUGAUGAGUUUUUUUUUUCCCCUUUCGUUUUUAGAGCGGUAUUCAGCUCACAUUUGUGAGAACAGAGCAUUCAAUUUAUCAAGUAAUGACCUUUUCUUCACACAAAAUGAUUGGAUGCUGUUUCAGGUGGUUAGCUAUUUGCUAAACCUUAUCAAUCACAGAAAUACCAAAAAACAAAUUGGGGGGAUGAGAGAGAUUGCUUUUGCAGCUUCUUUGAUAAGAUGAGGCUUAAAAUUACAAUAAAGAUUGAUCUCGAUUUCAGACGCUCGGGUUUGGAUUUGACUUUGGUUUGAAAUCCAAUUGGCUUUGAAGAACGUCAAAAUUCCACAUCUUUUAAAACUUUUGGUUCUUCUGUGACUUCUGUGAGCAUGAAUUAGUCUCAAUUUCAAGAUGUACUGUGACACAAUUUAUAAUCCAGCCCUGAGGUGAAAGCAUUGUGUCUAUGAAACUAUUGCACCUGCAUCUGAUUGAAGGAAAUUAAAGAAAAUUGCGCUUGCUGCAUGAAAUUGUUUCUGAUUGGAAACGCUAUCAUCAGUUACUCCAUAAUUGCGUUUCCUUGCUGUUCCGAUUGAAAUAGAAUAAUGUGUAUCACAGUGUGCAUACAUUAAGGCCAAAUUACUGUUGGAGCCACGGUGGCUCAUCACCAGGUAAAGUGUUAAUUACAGGGGAAUGGCAGAAAUGCUCCCAGGGGCUCAUGCUGAAUGAAGUUUCAUGGAGCGACUUAGCGGACUAGAUAGGGGAUUCAUUUUCUCUCCUCCUCUUUAGACUCUCUCUCUCUCUCUUACGCACACACACACACACACACACACACACUCAUAGACUGUGUCCAUGCAGUCACAGCUGUCACAGAGCUUUGGUUUCACCCCGCUCGACCCAAAGCUUUCAGGCCAUUGUGCGCUGCCUUUCAAUUUCAGUCCGCCCCGCGGUGGAUACGAGCCAUUUUGGAAACUGCUGAGUAUAUUGAACUUUUCUGCAUGGCUACCAAAAAGAAAAAUCAGCUCAUCAGAGAAAAAAAAAAGAGCUCUUGGGGCUUCAGACUGUCUGAGACAAGGAUUGGACAAUUCACACAUCAAGACAGGGUUUCACACUUAGUUGGACAUUUAUCUCCGUAGUGUGGAAGCUGCAUGCGGGUAAAUUGCUCCAUUAAGAAGAGCAUGGAUGACUCAUAUUUCAUGUUAACCCUUGGUUCCUAGUAAGUCUGUUUUGAGGACAAAGACUCUACUGUUUACUACCAUCUAGUAGAAGGUACAAGAGUCUGCCAACACACACUGAGGUCGCUUUCACACCUGACCGAGCGGACUCGGUUCGAUUGGGGAGCUGAAAGUCUCAACAUUGUUGCAUUUAUCACUUGUUUCAGUUCUGUUUUCACACUGUGAUUUCUAAAGCGCACCGAACUUUCCGAGCAGCAUCAUGUGGCUGAAAGGUGCGCUCGCUGAUUGGACAAAGUAGGAGGGGUAUGUAACCUCACGGAUUACAAACAGGGGUGGACUAGCCGUCUUGUAUUCUGCUUCGUCACAUUAUUUUAUGGAAUGCUACAACGUUAGUGAACGCCACUGUCCCUAUAAUGCUAUUGUAGCUUGUCAGGGAUUGAUCCUGUUAUUUUUCUAACUUUGCGAUCUAACAUGUGACGACAUAUGAGCUCAGAGUUUAAGGACUGUGACUGUUGGUAGUUGUGAUUUGAUUUUGUUUAAAUAUGCAAAAUUGUGAAUUUAUGGGUUAUUGUUGUUCAGACAAUUGAGCUAAGCUAGCUAGCAGCUGCUAAUGUCAGCAGUCAGCAGGACGCCGCGCUUCCUCUACCCAAGAUGCACUGGGUAUAGCGUCAUUACGUACAUUUGGUCCUGUGUUUGGUCCGGUUAGCUUUCACACUGCAUACGAACCGAACCAGAGUUCACUUGCAAGCGAACCGAGACCCACGUUUUCAGGCGGAUAGAGUUCGUUUGUUUGGUCCGCACCAGAGUUUGGAUGAGCUUUAACACCUCCCCAAACGAAGUGGACUAUCCGAGGAAACAAACUCUGGUCUGUUUAAAGCGGACCAAACAGCUCUGGUGUGACAGCGACCUAAAAGACCAGAGAACAGUUACUACCCGCAUGCAGUUAGUUUACUAAACUCCUGACAGUACCACUGGACAAUACACUGUGCAAUAACCCCCUUAACUGUGCAAUACCAUGUGCAAUACAGCAAUUCGUACACCAUUAUCCAUUAUGUGCAAUAUGGCAAUUUUCAAACCUCAUUUAUCCCACCGACUUAUCCUCCAUUUCAUACAUUCACACUCAGCACCUACUGCAUCGCUUGUGCACUUUUGUAAAUAUUUCUCUCACACUUUUAUCCAUCUUUGAUAUUUUUUAACCUUAUUUUAUUGUGUUCCUCCCAGUACUUGUUGUGGUUUUUAUCUGUACUCCUCUGAGUCGAGCUGUCCUCUCAUCCAGGGUGUUUCAUUGCAUUGUUGAUCUUGUUUAACAUGCAUAUGAAAAAUAAGUUAAUCUUGAAAUCUUCAUCAUUUUCAUCAUCCUUAAUUUGAGUUGAUAGUCACAUUUUUAUAGAUUAAGGCAUCAAAUUUGGCCAUUAUUAUUAUUAUUUUUCUCCAUAUAAUACAAACAAACAAAAAAAAGAAUCUUGCCCAUAAAACUCUGUUGACGCCAAAAAGCUCCAGCCUUGCUAGUGUGAAAUCUGGACCAUAAACUGAUUAUAUGUGAAUUUUUAUGUGUUACCUCCAUUGGGAAAUAGGUGUAGGCUUAUAUGCCUAUACUUAACAGCACACCUACUCCCUGUUAGUAUAAAGGAUUAUCAUUUGCAUUUGUUCAAACAUCCUCAUGCUUUGGUUUAUACUCCUUUCAUUUAUAUAUUUAAAUACUUGAAUAUUUACAUUUUGCCAUCCAAUAUGCAAAGGUUAAAGUUAUUGUUUUUCCGUCAUUCAAACACUGUCUAUAAUAAUCUUCUCUCUGCAGUGUCUGUUUGCAGAGCAAAGACUGGUCUGAAUCUCUUUCCCAUUUUAAUCAGUUCAGCUGCUGAAACUAUUACAGCAGAUUUGCUCUUUCAUGGCUGUUUGCUUUUCUCCUCCCCACACCUUUAUUCCCCUUCUGCUCCUAUCUGCCGCUGGAGAUCGCCUAUUCCUACCCCCAGCUGCAGCAUGAUUGUUUUUUCACUCAUAACCCUCCCACAUCUUCACACUACUAACACACACAUACACACACCUACACUCUCACACAUAUCACUUCUUCCUUGUGUGUAUUUCAGGUUUUGAUUUGGCUUGAGACGGGGCAUGUUUGCUCUCUUUCUUUUUGCUUUGCUGCCAGUACAGAGAAAGAGCAGGACGGCUGAUUAUUGUUUGCCAGCCUUGUGUGAGUGGGAAGUGAAAGUAAAGAGAACAGAAACAGAAAGAGGAAGGGAUGCAGAGAUUGCAAGGAUUUAUUUCAAAGACAAAACCUCCUGAUGGGACAUGAGAAGCUGUGCUGGCUGCAGGGUUCAUGGCCCCACUGUGCUGCUGGAGACUGGAGGAGGUGAGACACUCAUCAACCUUUGACUUUCCCCUCAACUGGAAGAUACACCGAAUGACUGCAGUCGGAGUCAUGAUCAUAUCCCCUACUACUCAAAGAUGGCAGCUUGGUCCGUGACCCGAUGCUUCAAAAUAUAUGCUGGGAAUUUCCUUGGACAGAUGGUUUGGGUUUGGUCAGCAGAAAAGGAAAUGUUUUUAGUCGGAGAAUCAUGACAAGAGACGGGAUCCAAAGUUCAGAAAGUGAAGUUUCUUAUCAGCAAACUGACAAACAUAAGCUGGAACACAGAGAGAGAGAGAGAGAGAGGCUGGUGUGUUUGGAGUCUAUAAGAUUUAAAUUUACUGCUAUUAGAUUAUAAAGUGAACAGAGUGCAGGAAUUUGUUCGAAGAAAGAUACAACGUUUAAACAAUUUUCAGUAACCGUUUCUAAUUAACAGGUAAUUACCUAGUAACAACAUGAAGUUAUCUGUUAAUUACAUGAUAACUAAUAAGUUUUGCUAGAUUUUGAUUUCGUGUUUUGGGUCUAUUCUGUUAGGCAGUGUAUGAAUAAAACUUUUUUAAUGUUCCCUUAAAAAAAAAAAAAAAACAUUUUGGAGAAGCAUGUUUUUCUUGGACAGCAAUGACAUGCUGUCCUGCAAUCCAGGCAACAGCAGCAGAGCUGGACUACUUUCUCUGGAGGCUGAAUCAUUGUCACACAAUAGAGAAUAAGUUCAUAGAUUUUUAAAUCACAUUUUUUUUCAUAGUUAAUGACAUUUUUUGACUUGAGAUCUCAAACUUUGAGAAGUGAAGCCACUUCGUAAUGCUAAAAACUGCAGUUCCAUCAUUGUCCACUCGGGGCUGAUUCCUAAAACCCAUUGAACUCCAUUAAUAGAAGUUUGAGGGGCUUCCUUGACCUCUAACUACCACUCCAGACAGAAUCACUGCAGACUCUUCAUACUUAGGCUGACCUCACACUCAGUUAUCAAAGUCACAGACAGAUUUCCAAAAGGCAAAAUAAACUCAUUGGAAUUUUGCUAAAGUUUGGAUGUGCUCCUUUGACCUCAGUCAUUUGGAUGUUCGGUCCUCAUGUUUAAUAUCACUGCAGGUCUCUAGUCCUCUCUUAUGUAAAUGGUGUUAGUCAAUGACAUGGUGCACCCUUUCCAGCACUGAACAGGAUGCUGCAAACAAACAGGGUGAAAGAACGGGCAGAAACUGUUGGAAUUGUGGCGAAAACAGGAAAACCUCUUUGAUGUGACUUCCCACUUCUACCAUGAUAACAUGGAGAAGCACAAAUACUACUCUUUGUUGUUGGGCUGCGAGUCGACUGUACAGUUCAGCUGCAUAUUGAUACCGUUAAUCAUGUAAAUCUGGCUGAGCUGCGCCCUGCGAGUCUUUCCUUUUCUCUCAAACACACUCGUGUUGUGUGGGGCUGGGGUGUGGGGGUUACUUUGAAGAAGCAGUGUUUACAAUUCAUUAAAAACUGACUUAGCAGAGGGAGCUCUGCACGUCAGGUGCAGGGAGGAAAAAUAAUUUCAAAAGAUUGUAUUUGUAGUUUUGCGGUUGUUUGUCCUGCAAGAUCCACAAAAUCUUUAAAAAAUAUUUGGUCUGUGGAUUUAAAUCCAGGACUUGCUGACACACUAGACUCUGUCUUUUUUUCUAUGUGCUGUACGAUAAGCCUCCUACCAAAUCAUGCGCCAAAUCCUGUUUAUUACAUCCAAUAAAACGACAGUGAGGGAAAUUACACUCAUUUGUAAUUAAGGAUUAAAGCUCAGGGCCAUGGUUUUGACAAAAAAUAAUUUUGCCUGCAUAAAUAUGCCAAGGUUUGCUGUUCUUGUGCUUGUUUCUUCAUAAAACAUCAGCUAAACUUAUUCUUUCGGCUGUCUUUUUUAAUUUCCUCAAUCAUUCAAAUCGUCACUUUGAAAAGAUUAAAUCAAUUACAUUCCUGUGGAAAAAAAAGCAAACCAAGAAAAAAAACCUUUCUCCCCCUUUUCUUCCCAAACAAUGACCUUUGUGAGGAUCCUGCCAACUCCAGGAGCGAUCAGGCAGAGAGUGGUCCGGAGGGGCCGCCGUCUCGUUCUGUGCGCCUGCCAGAGUGCUGUUGCCCUUUUCGCCUACAAUUGCACUUCCAUUUCAAGCAACUGAUUGUUGUAGCCGUGCCCAGGGGUCCUGUAGAAGAGACAUUCAAAGCCGUGCCCUUCUGCUCAUUUUAUGGCCGACAGACCAUGGCACCAUUGGUCGGACCCUUGUGCCAACUAGAAUUGGACAAAGCAUCGCCAUGACUCACAUGUUAACACUUUUUUUUUUUUGAGCCGAGCAGACGAAAACUAAAGAACCAAAAACAAAGCUGGCAUCAGCGUCUAAAUACACAACAAGUUUUGUGAUUGUUUUUUUUCCUGCUGGCACGGAGAGUCAUUUCAGGAGAAUAGCAUAAAUCUGGCUGAGCUAAGCUGACUCAGACCACAGCCUGAUAUAUAGUAACAUCUGUUUUUUAAUAUCUACCACUGUCUGUGUGCUUAUCUAACCAAGACUGCAGAGAAGAGGAGGAGGGGGAGGGCGAAAGGUGCGGGGCAGCGCUUCAAGCCGUGAGAAAGAAAGAGAAAAACAAUAUUAUGAAACAAACUGCAUAAUUACUGUGAAAAAAGCACAAUUGGUUUCCAUCCUUGUGGUUAUCUCAAAUAAAGUUAGACGCCAAGAUUUACUCAGAGGAUAGCCAGCGCCUCUGGAAGAGAGAAAAAAGGAGCAGCCCGACAGCUGCUUUUGCAAAUACAGAGAGAGAAAGAGAGAGAGAGCUCUGUGGUAAAGUCAUUGUCACUUUGAAGCCUUGUGCGUGUCUCCUGAAGUCUGUAUAAAAUGCUUGAUUUUAAUAUAAUCUCGAAACGCUUGUUACCCCUCCUGGUAAAGGACCUGAUGUCCUAAGACACAGCACAGUGAGAGAGAAAGACAGGGACUGAUAAAGCGAGGAAGAGCAAGUAGCAGAUUAGCGUAGCAGAGAGCAAAUCGGAGAGUGCCGUAAAAAGGAGGAAAGACGAGAGAAAAAAGAAAGUCGGAAGAGGAAGAUAAAACUCAAUAGAAUAUUCAUGAACGUUGCCUCAUAUUCAUUCAUGCUCUGCUGCUGGUGAUGAUGGGACCUUGACACCAGAGUCCCUGCUUUGCGAUAAGCGUGCUCUCACAUGCUCCCGCCCACCCUGCAGCUCCCCCAUGGCUGCAGCAUCCUGGCCCCCUAAUCCUAAACCUCGGUUUGGAUCCCCGGCUACAGAGAUCGAACUGUCUUCUUACCCAGAAGCCUCAGAGCGCCAGUACUUAGGCUACUGUGUGUAAUAUGAUCAGGCUGGUGCAGAGCUCUUUGCCACUGUGGACAGCUUGCUGUGGAGAUAAUUAGACGGAAGGGAAGUCUUACAUGACUGACUAGAUCAGGGGGCAUGAAUGCAAAAAGAGAAAAUGAAAAACAGCAACGUACAAAGGAAAAACUUGGAGAAACCCUGUGUGUUUAGCACAGCAGUCAUCGUGGUGACAGAGAAACCUGAAUUUGUAAGUUAUAAUUUUCUGUAACUGUGAAAAGUGAAGGACUUGUAAACAAAAUAAAGGCGCCAGCUGCAAGCAGCAGAGCGCCGGCACCAGAGGAGGAAGGAAGGAAGGAAGGCUCGGGGAAGCAUCGCUGACAUUGACCCCAUACAGAGUCAGAAAAUGAAAAACAGGCCAAUUCUGUGUCUCUGUGUCUGAAUGGUUUUAUAUUUUGAUAAACUAAAUAGAAAAUGGAAAUCAAAUUGAUUUUGAAAUUUGGCAGAUGUGGUUUUGACCAUGAAAAAGAAUAACACCAAAAAUGUUCAAAAAUUAAAUAAAUCGUUUUUUUUAUUUUUGGUGCUCACUGAAAUGAAAUUCCAAUGACCAGAAGAGGAGUCUAGUUUUAGUCAAAGUUAAAGGUAUUAUCCAGGCAUGAAUUUUGCACGCCUCAAGUUACCUUGAACACAAUUUACUCUAAAAAAAAAACCUAGACAAUUUCCAGUUUCUUAGCCCUCACAACCUUGACCAAGACUUUAAAAAGUUUUUGUCUUGGGUUUAAAGUUUGCAGGUUAAAGUUGUUUUAAUGAAAAAGGUCUCAGAUUUUCUCUUUAAAUUUUAAAACAAGAAUUCAUGUUUGUAUGAUAGUAUGAAUAUAAUCCAAAAACAUUGGAAACACUUCUGAACAUAACAGUAAUUGGUGAGCACAAACAAACCAGAUGAUGGCACACACAUGCUUCACUUGACCCUGCUGGUCUCGGCUCGGCAGUUCGCCCCGUAAUGUAGCGCCGCCAUUAUCACCCCAUUGGACUUUCAUAUCGAGCGUGUGAAGGUGUAAAUUGGUGUCCCAUAAAAGCUAAACUAACUCCUCAUGAUAAUUUGGCGCCGCAUGCAUAUUUAUCCUUGAAGAGGCUGCUCUGUGGUAUGCUGUAUGCACCACAUGUUUUUCUCCACUUGAACAUAUUUUCAUUAGCAAUGGUCCGCAGGGUGCCCUGGUUUUCUUCGACCUUUGACCGUCUUUACUUUCUGUAACUUCAUGCAAUUCAAAGUUUUCAUAUUCCUAUCAUCUGAAAACAGAAGUUAAAGUCAAUUUUCAGCAAAAAGCGGUUUCAGCAUUUUGACCCCUGCGCAUUUUCUUUCUCCAGAGCUCCAGUGUGUACUAAGGCUGCCUCCAUCCAACACGCAGGACUCAGAGGGUCAUGCUGUGGUCUCAGCUACCGAGACGACCCCAUUUCAGGGAGUCAUCUCUGCAGUCGGGGUUAUUUAUUAAUGAAAAUCACGGCAUAAAAAUAAAGAAAGUGUACUGAGACGAUCCUUCCUCUGUGCUGAUGUAGCUGGUUUCAUCAGAAGCACUUCAUUGAUGGUGGCCAGGUGCAGGUCCAGGCUGUGUAAUGGAGGCGCUGCAGCGAAUGGUACUCACAGGAUAACACUGAGCAGUUCACAGCAAAGAGGUUCAAGGAUACUCUGCAGCAUACCUUUUUUACAUUCAGCCUGAUGUAAACUGCAAACUGUCAGCAAAAAGCUUUUGAAAGAGCGGCAUAAUUCAGGCACUGACAGAAGCAAAGCCGCACACACAGACUCACAAACACACACAGAUGUACACAAAGAAGUUUAAGGAAUUAUCGAGCUGGGUACAAAACAGGAAAUGCAGCUGUGUCUAAAUAUUAUGGUCUAUUAUAUUUGACAAAUAAUGAGAAACUCUGGCUGGGAUGCUGAGACAACUCUUUCGGGGGCUUAAAUGGGGAGCUGCAUCUCCCCAGCGUUGUCUAUUUAGUGUAAUCCAGUCAGUUGCGUAACAACAACAAAAUCCUUCAAUUUGGCAACCUUGUAAUUCCCAUGCUCUUCUUCAGUGGUGUCCUUUUUUAGCCGGUAUUGCUGGGAAUAAUGUAGCUACGUAUUGAGCCAUUUCACAACUCACAAUUUGAGUCUGAGGCAAGAACUUUUUAGCUGUGUGUGUGAUGAGGCAAAAAUCACUGUGGAGGUGUUGUUGGAUGGGCUUAUAGUGCAUCAGGCAGUCACAUUACUAACUAAUGUUGAGUCACUGCUUUCAUAACUGCUUAUAACACAAUCAUGUAGAUAUCAGAAGUUGGAAUUUUGCCUGACGCCAACUGGAUGUCAGCAGCUACAUAUUAGUCUGGUUUUAGUCAGCGUUACCGUUGGUCAGUUUUAUGUUUGUUUUUAUGUCGCGUUCACGCCGAACGUGAGUAAAGUCAAUAGCGUGAGUAAUUUUACGUGUAAAGUCAAUGCAAAGACACGAUUAGACGCAAAUGACACUAAUUUCCAAAUGUGCAAAUGACACCAAUUGAGAGGCCUAUUCACAUGACUUGAGCAGGUCAUGAUGUGAAUUUGUGUCCGAUGCUCUACUUGCUUCCAACGAUUAUUCGCAAGAGUUAAGAAUAUCUCAACUAGGGGUGUCCCGCUACAACUUUUUGACUUCCAAUAUGAUACCGAUAUCGUAGCCUUAAAUAUUGACCGAUACCGAUAUUGUCCGAUAUUGGCAUAAAUUGUGCAUUUCAAGUUUAGCACUUUGCUGCAAUGUCUUUUUCAGACUUAAACAAAAAAUACUACCACAAGGCUGUCAUCCGACACAGGCAGUCCGUUACAGACUCUGUUCCUGCACUCCUAUCUAGCAGCACUCUAGCAUGCAAAGCCCACGUAAUCCCCACCAACAGUGUGUACUAAGGUACUAACAAAGUAACAAGGAGUUGGAGUGAUGUUGUAUGGCAGUAUUUUUCGUUGAAGUUCAAAAAAGACGUUGCAGCUGAGUGCAAAAGCAAUACUGAAGGCUACAAUAUCGGUAUCGUAUCCGAAGUAAAAAGUUGUAUCGGGACAGCCCUAAUCUUAGCUGUACGAUACAACUUCUCUGUAAAACCGAGACAGGACUAGAAAAAGAUCUCAACUAGAGGAAAGAGAGUAUGGUUGUCUGGUUAUCUGGUAACUUAUUUAAACUCAACAGAUUUGACAUCAACACAACAGUAAAGAAAGAUAUUCCUCCUGGUUGUAAACGGUGUAAUAAAAAAAAUCCCUCACUGCGUUUAAUCGUCUUGGCUGGAAACAUCUUUGUUACUUACACCUCCUCAUGCCACAGAAAAAAAACUGAAUGCCAGAAUCUUGUUUUGAAAAGUGCAAUAAGUCGCAUCUAAAAAACAGAAAUCCCCUCCCUACUGCGUUGAGCUGCAUUUAAUUGAAUCCUGCUAUUGUUUGCUGGAUGACUUAAGGUCUGAAUAUGAGUCUAAAGAAAUCAUAAACCAGGUUUUGGAAGGAGAAAGUGGACCCUAAGGUAGCUCGGCUCUGUUCAAGUUAAUGAGCAGUUAAUGUAGCACAGUAUCCUGAUUGCCAACAGGUGUUAUGUUGAGUUUUGUCGCCUUGUCAAAGAUUGCUUCCGUAGUUCUGAUCAAUAGAGGCCUGAUUCCACGAAGAAAUCAGAGUUUAGUGAGCAUAAACAGUUUUCUUUCUAAUACGCUCUAGGCGUCAAAUCUUCAAAUGGCAAUGAGAAACAUGAACAGAAGCGGAGUUAGUUUGACAAAAAUAAGGUUAAGUCUGCUUUUCCAACAUGGCAUCUGCUGUCAAUAAGGCCAAAACUCCAACACAAGAACCACUGAGUGACGUUAAUGAGGCGACGUCCCUGCUUCAUACAGACUAUGACAUUUAUGUGUCAUCAUUUCAUGUAUAUCUACAGCCUGAGUAGCUGGUUGACACUUUUUUACUCACAGUUUGUUUGAGUCAGAAUCCUUCCUCUUCCUCUCUGCAGCAUUGAACACAAAUAUUGUAAUACAGACGCAGGUGCCACCUGUGAAAAGGGUCUGAGUACACACUCUUCCAGUCAAUGACAUGUACAUUUGGUUGGCUCCUCAUAACAAGACACUAUCCUAUUCAGCAUCACUCUCUUUCAGUCCCAUUUUGUGCUUCGUCUGGCUUAAGCUUUCAGUUCCUCUUUCCUCUUUCCACUGCCUGCACCAUUCACGCUGCCGCAUGUACACGUGUAACCAUGGUGACUGGCAAAAAGGAGCUGUAUGGUGUCAUUCAACUUUUGUGGAUGACAUGUAAUUUGGAAAUGUGCAAAGUUGGAUGUUUGGAGGGAUAUUUUCGGCUUUGUGCUUCUUUUGGUGGUUGACCUCCAGUUUCGUAUUUUAUUGAAUUGAAAGAAAUACAAACCUCAGUUCCAGGGAAGCUUGGACGAAAACAUGAAUAAAAACAGAAUACAAUGAUUUGAAAAUCCUUUUCAGCCUUCAUUCAACUGAAUACACAACAAGGCCAAGUUGAAUAAUGUUCAAACUGAUAAAAGACUGAUUGUUUUUUUGUUGGAAGAAAAAAAAGCUGGGACAGGACCAUGUUGCUCCUUUUAGCAAUAAUGGAGCCUUCAUCGAUGUGACAGUCGUCCAGACCAUCACAGAUGUUGGCUUUUGAUCUUUGACCUGAUAACAGUCUGGAUGGUCCUUUCCCUCUUUAGCCCAGAGGACACCACAUCUGUGACUUCCAAAAACAAUCUGAAAUGUAGGCUCCUCAGACCACUGUGGUCAGUCUAUCUCAAAGAUGCACCAAUCCAUUUUCUUCCCCGAUCCGAUCCGACAUAGAUACCUGGGCUGAGCUUAUUGGCCGAUAUCCAAUACCGAUCCAAUACUACUGUUGAAUGAAUGAACUGUAUAUCUUGCCCUGUCAGUGAAGGCAUCAGGCUUUACAUUAGCCUUGUUAAAAAAUAAGGUAACAAAUAAACACAGAUAUGAAUUUACUUUGAAUAUUAUUUAUUAAAAAAUUACCAAUUGCACAUUAGCACACAGCAAAAAGAAGUAAGACUUUCAUUUAAACAUUUAGUGCAAAAGGAUAGACAGACAUAGGCUACAUUCACACUGCAGGAUAUGAUGCACAAUUAAGAUUUUUUGUAAAAUCUGAUCUUUUUGUGCGGUCGUUCACAUUACAACAAUGAAUACGCAUCCAACAUGAACGGAAUAGGUCCGUGAAGUGACCCGCAUGCGCACAAAACACAAAUUGCUUUCCGCGCCUGUUUGUGUUGUCGAAUAACGGUGACGUUUGUCGCAUAUUGAUGACGUAUAGGUCGGAUGAACGCGACCUGAGCGUCAGUCAUCAGAUAUCCAAUCCAGUUAAUUUGUCAAUACCGGAGCUGAUAUCCAAUCCAGAUAUCUGAUCAGUGCAUCCCUAGUCUAUCUCAGAUGAGCGCAGUGAAGCUGGCAGUGUAGAGAUUCAAGUCUUGUAGAUGUACAGAUGAACUGCGUUAACUGACAAUGGUUUUCUGAAGUGUUCCCGAGCCCACGUGGUAAUAUCUUUACAAAAUCAUGUUGGUUUCAAUGCAAUGCUACUUGAGGAGUUGAAGGUCAUGGUCACUUGGCGCAGAGAUUUCACCCAGUUGUUCACAGAGUGGUGAACCUUUAUUGUGCAUGAUGUGUACAGGGAUGCAGCUCUCUUACACUACACCCACUCGAUGACCUUCAGUUUCCUAGAAUUUACAUCAUUUCAAUCAUAAUGAAGUUUCCUCUUUUUUUGUAUCCCUUAUUCAUUAAACAUUAUUUGUCCACGUCAAGAAGUUUUCAAACUCCAGUACAGCAGCAAUCCCAUCUACUAUUUACAUCAUAAACUUGGGUAAAAAGAAGUUAUAUGAGAUGAAAGAUUGACACCAUCUGCUGCACUGAUACAGCUGUGAACGUUUGCUUAUCAGGUACCUGCAGAACUUCAGAUUUAAUGAGUAAUAUCUGUGCAGGUACUACUUAUUUCUUUUAUUACCAUCUUGAGUUUCAGUCAUUUUAGUGAUAUCCUUCAAAACCCGAGCAUCUGAAGCUAAGAACAUUUAGAGAUCCUUUUAUUUGGAGAACCAACACAUUUUAAAAAAAUACCUCAAAGCCGUGCCGGAGUCUUAAAUCAAAGCAGUGCUCCUGCAGUGCUGAUGUAUCACAUCUUAAAGUUUAGAUGGAUUUACUUUGUUCUUUGCUAUUAAAUCAACAAAUCAAUGUAGUCCAAGGCGUCUGCUGGAUGCAAAGGUUCAAGAGGGCAGCCGUAGAUGUAGUUAUAAAAAAUGGAUAUAUACAUUUAUACAGUAUUAAACAAUUGAGGCCAAAGCACAGGACAGUUUGAACUGUUCUGACUCUUUGUUAUUUAAAGUGCGCCUUACAGCCCAUGCUUUUAACACCACACUUUUCCAUAGCUUUGGCCAUAUUGCGUGCAUAGUCUCUAAACAUAGAGUGCACCCUCUCCACUGCCUCAGCAUGGUUUCAUAGUCUACACAGGUUGCUGUCUCUUUAUGCAAGCUGGAGCUCUCCUGUACGUGCAGUAAUGUCUUUUUCAUGUUUCAGUCUUCAUCCAGCCACUUGAGCUAAGCAGACUCACUGGACUAAAGUCACAAGUCCAAGUAACUGGUGAAACGUAUGCCACUGACACUGAUGUCUAUCAGAGUGUGAGUGUGUGUGGAAACUAUAUUAGACAGGGUAGGAGGGAAUAUGUCUGUAAAGCAGGGGUGACUCAGGAGGACAUACCAUGAUUCCAAGUGUGCUAUGGCCGGGGCGAGGUUGAUCAUCAAGUGCAAUACAUUCAGAGAUUUUGCCAAUAAUCGCUUUUGCCUUUGGACCGUCUCUGGCAAACUUUCUGCAGUUUUCAAGAGCCUUAUGUAUAUGCAUGAUGGUACUCAUCUUUUUCUCAGCGCUAAUGCCAGCUGAGGCUACUGCUACUUUCUAUUCCCUGACGAAUUUUCAGGUGAUUUGUAUGUUGUUGUUUUUUUGUGUUAGAAUCUGAAGAGCCUUUUUCUCCUGUGGGAAUCACUGCAGCAUGUUUCUUACUCUGCAACAGCAUUAUCCUCAUCGGGAACGGCGUAACAUUCUCACACCACUGACACCAUGUUGACUCUUUUUGUCCGCUUGCUCGGCUGUAUCACUCUGAAAAGACAUUGUCCGGAUGGUAAAUUAUGUUGCACUUUAACCUGUGUAAAAUGCUCAUAUGAGCUGCAUAUGCCACGAACACUUCAGCAUACAUCAUUGAUGCCGGCUGUUGAAUUGUGCAGUGGAGACCAGACAGGUCGCCCUUUUUCUGUAUAGAGCAGAGGAUGUGGUGUUCGUGUCUUUUAGAGAUCCACUCUAAUGAAAAUCAUGUUCUUCUUGUUGUCUACAUGUUCAUACAGCAUUUUUCAUUUUUUUUUUUUUGUGUUGUCUUGCUUUUUUUUAUGAUGGUUUAUUUUUAUUUAUUUUUUUUUUUUACAGCAUUUUUCUGACACUACAGGGCAUAUCAUGAGAAAAAUAAGUGCAAAAUUGCAUUUCUGAGUAAAGUGAGAUAAGAUUUUCUACGUAGAAAAUCCAAGAAAAUCCGCCCCUGGAGCCACGCUAUGCAAGCCAGACUCAGAGAAAUAGAAAGGACAAUCCUGGAAUAAGCAUGUGCGGUAGCGUAUUGCAAUGCUCGUAAAAAAAACUAAUUAUGAUACUCACUUUCAUCACGCCCCCGAAGACAUAAGUGUCCGUGAGCUGAAUAGCUACUUCUACGACAUCAGCGAUGUUAGGCUGCAAGCUAAUGUGAAGAGAAGCUUUGUCUCCAUCCAUGACUCAGAGGAGAAUUGCUAAUGAUCUACUGGAGCUCUGCAGAAGAAAAGCCCUUGAAAAUGACACACGUAUCGCAAUUUUGGCUUAAAACUUCAUAAUCACAAUUAGAAGACCAUUGAGAACACUUAAAGCAGUAAAGAAAAAGAAGAUCAAAGUGGGACUUAGAAGUAAUUUUCAGACCAUGUGGUAAUUUCUACAACAGUCAUGUAUGUUUUUAAUCCCAUGAGGCCUUAUUUUUUCCUUUAUUAGUUAUUUGAUGCAACAACAUAUGUGGCAGUGUGCAUCAAGAUAGCAGGAGUGAGGAGAAGGGUUGAUAUCAUCGCACAGGUAACCAAUCAUGAAGUCCUCACCAGCACAGACAGGAGUUAAAGUUUCAUAUUCAUCCUGUGUAUCUAAACCUCAUUUCAUGGCAAUCUAUGUGAUAGUUGUAGACACCAUCACCUAAAAUCAAUCUCCUUUAAGAUCUGUAUUCAUUACAGCUGCUGCUCACAGUGUGGGUAAUGCCAUUAUCUUCUCCCCUUGAAGAAGGCACCAUGUUUUCAAGAAAUACACUCAACAUUUCAUUCUCCACUCAGCAUGUGGCGUCAAUAUUGGGGUCUAGAAGAGUGAUAACUAUAAUUGUCAAGUGACUUAAUGCUGAUUAGAAAAGGGUUCAGUUGAGAUUACAGCACAGAGAUAAUCAAUCUGAGAUCAUGGAGAUUGACAUCCAACAUGAAGCUGAACCUUCAAUACAUCGGUUUAUCAAUAUCCCAGAUAUGUAAGCUUCACCGUAUUGCGCUGUGCCUCUGAUAACAUCCACUUCAUAUCAUUUCCCUGCAUUGACGCCCAUCAUGCAUCAGGCUCUUUGUCUCAUUUUAUGAUCUAUCUCCAACCAGAUCCAUCCUUUCACUCAUCAUCUGUCUUCAGUGAAGAUCAUGAGACAGCUGGAAAACAAGCCCUUUGCCGUAGCUACCGAUUGAAGUGGCAUCAAAGUCUGAGCCCUUUGCUUUCAGUACAUCACGUCUGCUCAUGUGCGUGUUGUGUAUUUAAUAACAACCUUCCUGCUCACUCUCAGAUGCUAAAGGGUUAUUUAUCACCAGGAUCAUCGUUCAGGGAUAUGAUCGCAAAGUCCAACCCAAUUAACGUCUGCUUUUAAACUUUACCAAAAGUUGCCAGCUACUUUGUAUUCACAGUUUAUUCAUUAUAUAGAUAGAGCAGUUUGAAAACACUCUUCUUUUAAUUGUUUCUGUUUGAUUCUGAGGCCAGUAAUUAAAAGAGAAACAGACAGAGGGGAGAUAAAUCCAGAGUUAAACUGCCAAAGUGAUCUUCAAAGUGCCCAAACAAGGAGUGGAAGCAAUGACUAGCACACAAAUUCAAGCUUUUCUUUAUUUUAUUUGUUCCAAACUGCAGAAGCCAGGAUGAAAUUUAUGCACAUAAUUCUAUAUUCAUGUGAAUGGAAACAUUAUGGAGAAAGUAUUUCACCCAGACUGAAUACUUGUCAAAAGAGCAACAAAGCAACGACGCAGAAUCUGUUCUUCUUUCCCCCAGCAGCCUGGAAAUAACCCAUCAUCAAGACUUUUCCGUGGGGAUGGCAGAGCUUGAUGCAGCCUCUGAUCACACAAACACUGAAAACACUGAAGCUGUACAUGCACUGCUGUAAGCAUGGUGGGGAAAAUGAAAUAUCUACCACAAGUGAUUUUUUAAAAUAAUCUUUAAAUAGAUAAACUGACACAAAAUACUCAAUUACCCCUUAAUCCUCGCUGUAUAACCAAAUAAUCCUGAAAAGGUGUCAAUGAGAUGUUGGAAAUGGUUGGAAUAUAAAAUAAAAGCACAUUGAGUUCAGACCGAAGUAAUCGUAUCAGUUUAGUGUUAUCCAUCCCAUUAAAAGUGUAAUUUAAACACCUUUUAUAUAUAAUUGCUGCUGUAACCUCAUAUUUAACGGUAAUAAGUCAGGCACCAUUUUCCAUGUGACGAAUAGAUAACCACAUUCACAGAGCUACAAUAUCCUGUUACACAUAUUUCUGCCCCCAACAUCAAAGCAGCAUUAUCUCUGCAUUGACCCGCAGGACGACCUGCUCUUUUGACGGGUUAGGCUGCAAAAGUGCUGAGUGGCUGCUUCCUACAAAUGGGAUUUCCUUAUCGCUCGUCUGAGAGUCCUCUGUCACCAGCAAUAGAUGACUCUCUCCAUUUCGCCUUGUUAUUCAUUUCCGGGUGUUCUUUUUUACCCCUCACCCUCUUCCUCCCUGACAGCUCAGAAAGAUAAAACAGUGAGCCAGUUGUUGGCUGAAGUGCAGGGGCGUGCCCGGCCACUUUAGAGCAGGGUGGCCCACCUGGGGUACAAUUCAUACAGGUGAGGUAAGGGAAUGUGUAGAAGGCAAGCAGCAAUCUCUGGAUCUUUUAAAAAGUGCAGUACCUUGAGGGUCCACUUGAGACACUCAAAGCGAAAUACACAUCUAUUUAAAAAAAGCCAACACCAACAACAGUAAUAAAUAGAGGUGGGAGAAUAAUCGAUUAAUAUAAGUAUCGCGAUUUUUUGUUUUACAAUUUUUAAAUGUUCAAAAGUCGAUUUUUUUUUUAAGAAUAAAUCUAAAAAACUGACUUGCAUAUGAUGUGUAAUUUUUCCGGGAAAUAUGGUUCCGAGAAUAGUGAGUAGACAAUCACAAUCAUUCAGCUGUUACACUGGUGUUAAAAAUGCAGACUAAAAAUCAAGAAAAUCGACAAGAUCGUAGAAUCGCAAUUCAAAUUGAAUUGACAUCCAAAAAAAUCGUAGAAGAAUCGAAUCGGGAGAAAUGCAUAUCGUCCCAGCCCUAGUAAUAAACAUGUUUACAGCCUGGUUCAUUUCUGUACAUACUUAACAGGGGAUUAACUUUUUUUAUGAGUUAUUGAUUAUGAAGACAUUAAGAUUGACGUAAUUUUUUUUUCUCAUGUUCAAAUUUAUGAUUUGAACUCUUUGGAGAAGUAAGUGCUUGAUGAAUGACUGCCAUGACUUUAUGUUGAGCUAGGGUUUGGUUUUUUGGUAGGGUGAUCAUAUGUCCUCUUUUACUCGGACACGUCCUCUUUUUUGAGGACUGUCCAGCCUUGCCCAAAUUUGUCUGGGGGAGUUUAUAAAAUCCUUCAAAUGUCCGGGAUUUUGUAUGGAAGUUUUGAGUUUGUGUCGCCCCUGCUUAGUCAUGUCCUCUUAUUUUAGUCAAAGUGUUUUACUGCUGGUACACCUGCACUUACAGAACUCAAACACAACAGUCAAAAAAAUGGUUAGGAAGUACAAAUACUCAAUAGAUUAGUAAUCUGAAGAAGCACCGACUUUAUUGUUGUUGUCACAAUAAAUCUGAAUGGCUGGAUCAUCUCUCAGAGGGCUAUCACAGCUUAUAACUCACUAGCAGUCUCCUACUCCUUCUUUGUCUCUCCUCUGCUCAUAGUGUGUGGCAACCAUUUUUCUCAAAAGAAAGAAGAAGUAUCCUGAUAUAUAGCAGCAGUCCUUCUUGCCAGGCUCAGAACUCUGUAUCAAAAACCAAUGGGUGACCUCACUGAGACUUCUCCCAUGUUUUAUUCAGUCUAUGGUAGCCUCCUACUUGUUUCUCCACUGUGAAUAUAAGCGGGUUUGAUAUCCGCCCACUGUUGGUUUAGUUGGUCUGUUGGUUUUCUGGAGCCGGAGGGAAUCGUGUUUAGAUCAAUGAGUAGUACAGGGGACAAGCAAAAGAUUGGAAAACACCAAUUUUAAAAGUAAUCAAUGAACACCCAGGGUCAAUUCAUCAGCAAGGAAAUUGAGCUUAGGUAACCAACAUGCUCCCACUGGAGUGAGACUCCGCUGCUGUGCUGGUGGCUGACCAUAGUGGUUCAUUUUUUAUAUUACAGAAGAUAAGAGAGUUAAUUAAAUUUCACAGACGAACUCGGCCAAUACAUCUACAAGAGAGUGCUGGGUUAGAUGAGAGGUUGAUCUUUAAUAAAUCUGUUUCACUAAUACAGGAGUUAUUGACAUUUCCAUAGCUUAGAAUCUUCACAUGAAUGUAUUCUGUGGCUUAAUCUGUGAGUGCAACAUCAGCAUCGUCAUGUGUUUUGGCUGCAUCAGCACAAUAUGUCAGUGCCCGUUUGAGGCAAUCUUUUGGCUGCCCAUCUCAUAAUGUGUAGACACGGCAGUAUUUAUCUCAGGAGGGGCCAUGCCACCCCAUGCCAUCCCCUGUAUGCGCCCAUGCCUGAGUGCAAAUGAGGGUUUCAAAUUCAGAACUGCACCGUGCUUUCCUUCCAGAUCUUCAGAGGCUUUGGAGACAGAAAUGAGGAUUGCAGAUAGCAUCCAAAUUCGAUUUUAUAAUUAAAAAUUCAAAGAGGCAUUCAAUUAUUUAACAUGCAAAUUAGGAAGAUAAUUUGGCAUUUUUUAAUUCAAAAAGAGCCUCUGCAGUGUUAUCAGCCUCACUGAUUUAUGCUUGUAUGCUAAUCUGCUGUGUUUAUAAUCCAACAUUUGCAAGAAUUAUGCUUAUCAACCACACACUGCUAUUGGCUUCAGUGUGGUGGUCUGCUGGAGGAGCGUCUGGGACCUGUGCCAGCCCAGCACCAUGUCAUUAUCUCCAGUUAUACAAAUGCUGGGAAAGCGGUGAGAAAUGGGCAAUGCGUUGCAACAGUUGUAAAUGACGGGGGAAGUCAGGACAUGCUCUGCACAAACACCAGUAGCCGGCAACACGAGCACGGAUUGAUGGCAGCGCAAGCUGUUGGAAAUGCCCAUUUUUCUUUCUCGGAGCUCAGCCUUUUCUGUCAACUCCGACACAUUUGCAUUUCCCAUCCAUCUGUUUUGGGAAAACUUGCCUGGAAAAGAGGGAAAUGAAUGGAAGGAACAAUGGUUUCGAGAUUAAAUUUUUCAUACCGGGCCACUGACGUAUUGAUGGAAAAAAGGAUAUGUCCUUAUAUUUGAUGGACGAACGUUGAUAGUCCAGAUAUUUCUUCUGUUGUGUUCGAAGUUCCUGGGCAAGGUCAUUAGCAAGUCAUUACAACCUCCCCUUCGCUCAUUUCUCACCUCUUUAAUGAUGCGUGUACACACCUGCCACCAGACAGAGUGAGAUGAGUGAAAAAUCAUCCGUCUCUUUCCUGACCUCCUCCCAUGCUCUCGCUCUUUUAAGUCCUCGUCUCCACCCCUCUAUUAACACCGCCUUUCCUCUCCUUUCUGCUCUGUAAUGUUGACUAGGUCGGUGCAAUAUCUUUCCUCUCCUCCUUGACAUUGAUUCUGGUGAUUUAAAUCCUCUGACUGGUGACACAAAUUACCUGUAAUUUACAGCCUGCCCCUUCAUUUCACUCAUAAUAUGCUCCAGUGAGGAUUCAAUGUUCCCUCUGUGUCUCUCCCUUGUUUUUUUUCCUCCUCUGUUCUCUGCUCUUUGUUCUCCUCUUUCUCUUUUUCAGUCUCCUUGCACUCACACCUUUACUGCAUUAGGAUUUAUAGUCCGGGCUGUUCUGUGUAGCAAAGAGAAAAGCCUAUGCAAGCACGCAGUGAACUCCGAUAAAGUCUAACGCCCUUCUUUUGAAUGGGCGCUGGGAUGUAAAGCUGAAAAUGAAGUCUGACUCAUACUACCAGAGUAGACAAAAGCUGAAUCCAUCAAUACUGAGCUUUUCUAUUGUUUGCAUGCAUCUAAAGGAAGGCCUUUCUUCCUGUAUAAUCAUGAGUAUUUUUUGAGCUUACCCUGAAUCGAUCAGUUUUUAACUUCAACCGAUAGAGAAAGAAAGGAGAUAUUUCAUCUGGAGACAUGUAAGGAUUCUGUCAAGUCCAAGGGGAUUGGGUUUCUCAAACACUGUAACUGUCAUUUCCCGUAAAGUUGAAAGGAAUUCAUUGGUUGGCUCAAACUGUGACAGCAUGAAUCCUGUCUUUUGUUUCCCUCCCUCAAGGUGAAGUCAUCACAAAGCAUCACAUCAGACAUGUUUUUUUUCUCUUUAGACUUCAGGCUUGAUCAGAAAAUGGAAAAAAAGAAGAGGGCUGGACUGUGUCACAAAGCAGUGAGUGGAAAAUGUCCUUUGUCAUUUAAGUGUCUGCAGGUAGAAGCCUUGCAGAUAUGGCACUUCAAGAAUGGAGCUUCCAAUCACCUCUGAAAUGGAAUUAGGGAGCGCUUCACGGCUCGCUGGCAUUUGAGCGCUUUCAGCAAUACGCUGUGAAGGGGAGGACGCUUAGACAGCUAAGAAAUGAUACAGACACCCGGACUAUGGGCGCAGGGAAGCUGAAGAAUGCACGUCAAGUAUUUCUGCUGCCCUUUCUUUGUAUGUUAGGGUUGGCUCAGGCAGAAGGAGUUUUAAAAUACAAUUAAAAAAAUAGGCUGCAACAUGCAUAUAAAGAUGAACUCCAAUUAAACGAUAACGAUAUAUAUAGAAAAUUAAUGUCCCUCAAUAUCAAUUGAAAACACGGAUAGUAUCCUUUCUGACAGUCUGCAUUCUGCCAUGUUUUGGUAGGCUGUACGAAUAGCCAAUGAAAAGGGGAGUUGCUCCAGUUCUGCUUUGUGCUGAACCAAUCAUGUGCUGAAUUAGAACCAAGUAGCAAACAACUGAAUAGUAGCAGGCAGCAGCUACAUGCAACCAUAGCAUUUUAACACAGCACUGUUGGUAGGAAAAGAAGAACAUGAGUGCUACCCCCCAACAGAUGACAACACCGUCGACAACACUGGCACGAAAACGUCGGUGGUGUGGAGAUAUUUUGUUUUUUUUAAGGUCGGACAUGAAGCAGAGUCAUGUGCAAUGCAAAUUAUGUCGAGUACAUGUUCUCACAAAGUCUGGGAAUACCUCAAAUCUUUUUCACCACCUGAAGCAGUGCCACGCGGCAGAGCACGCACAAUGCAAAAGGUUACAAACCGUAAGCGGAUCAAGGAGCCCAUGGCGCCUGUGCAGUCGAAACAGCCGACCAUUCAAUCCGCUUUCUCAAGUGCAAUGCCUUACGACAAAACGCCAAAGAGACACAAAGACCUCACAGAUGCAUUAGCUUAUUGUAUUAAAAAAGACAUGUCACCAAUAAGCACCGUUACAUUUCAUUUUUUAUAUCCUGAUAUAUCGAUGGAUAUGAAAACAAUAUAUCAUGAUAUACUUUUUCCCGUAUCGUCCAGCCCUACUCCAAGGGUAUAUAUCCUUUUUAUUUUGGAUCCAAAACAGUGCGGUAUAUUUUAAAGUAGCAGCACAGAGAUUCUCACUGAAAUACUUCCCAUUUUUGAAGACUUGGUCAACAAACAUUGUACGGCUUGAAGAACUGAAGGUGAAAUGUGUCCUUUAGUUUCCAACAAUGAGUUAACAAGGUCUGCAUGUACCUUCCGUCUUUUGUGCCAUUGAGGUCUGGAUAAGGAAGUUUUCGCUCUGUUAUAAAAAAGAAAAAAAAUCCAAAUAUCAAACAUCAAAUCUUUUUAAUAAUAGCCGCUCUGGCUCUGGUGAGUCACUGCUGAGCUAUGACAUGGAUAAGAUUUUUCACUUGAUUGUUCAAAUGUGGUGCAAAUCAGCCAAAAACUCCUGAAAUGUGAGUCAGCCUUACAUUCCUCUCUGCCUGAGGUCUCCUGCUCUAGUCAGUCUAUUUUUCUUCUUCGUCUUCAUGUCUUGGCAAUUUUCUCUUUUCUUCCAGAUUGCAGUAUAUCUGACUUGGAUUGUGAUUGAGACCUUAUGAACUUCAAAGUUACAGUGUCGAUAGCACGGGGAGGGAUGUGAAUACAGAUAACUUGGAGAAGUAACUUCUGUGAUGGAGUGUAUAGAUCUGUUUGCCCGGGUGACCAUCGUCAAGUCUGUGAGAAAACUUUUCUAGCUCCAAAACAUUUGAGUAAUGAUAUAUUUUCGAAAUGUCUCUCCGUGUUUCUUUGACUGACUGCAAACUACAAAAGUUCUCAAGGCACCGGCUCUCUGACCUUUUAGUACUGAUCAAAGGAAACCGCCUCUACUCAGAGAGUCAGGGAGGACCCAUGGAAAGAUGGGCAGAUGAUAAGGGGAAAGGGCUCGGGUGAAAAAAAGCUCUCCACCUGUAACACAAACCUUAAAGGGAUAGUCUAAGUGGAGUUGAUGGUGAAUGUAUCAUCCACAGAAGAUCCUGGUCAGCCUGGCCCCUUUGUUAAGAAACCAUAAUGGAGACGGGUUCGACUUAACCGUGUUCAGCUAAGUUAAAGCUCCUGUGGGGAGUUUUUGAUAUCAAUGAAAUGGAUUCAGAUAAGUACUGACGCCUUUUUAUGGCACACAAAAGCAAACAAGAUCAUCAGAGACAAGACUGUAGAUUUUUAUGCUCCAGUUUUGAACAUCUGAAAGUGGUUCAUGAAGUGGAGAAAAAGUCAAUUUUUCACUUCUUUAACAUUAAAUACUCAAGAAUUCGACUGUCAGACAUGAGAUUUCUUUUAGGUAGAAGACACAACUUAAGAGCUCAAAGAGGGCAAGAUAAGCAAAGACUCCACAGGGGUGCACCAAAAUUGACACUAAAAAGAAAAUUCCUCACUGGAUUUUUAAAGAUGGCUUAACUCAAACUAAAGGUGUUAGCUGUAUUUAAGAAGAUUUCAGCUGAGAAAUUCAGUUAAAGGGCCUGUGUUAUUCCCUUGGUGUGUCAAUUGACCCAUCAGUCUUUAUUUAUACAGAGCCAAUUCAAAGACCUACUCCCAUCCCAUCUUCACAACCUUCAUUUAAUAGGCAGAAACCCUGAGCAGAACCAGAAACAUGUUAGAUGGAAAGCAGGCAGGUCCAUGUCUGUAGCAGUGAAUCAGAGGAAUCGAUGACAUGAUGGAGCUCAGGGACUCCCAGAAAAGACUGCAGUUGUGGCAUUUAUGAAACAUGAUGACUCAAAGUUAAAGGCGUAAAUGUUCUUCCUUGAGCUUAGCAAAAGUUACCAUGUGAUCUACCAUCGUAUUACACAAAAAGGUUACAGAGGCUCCCUAAUUUUGCUGGAAAAUUCCACGAAAAACAACUCCAGGAGGCUUUCAUAAAAUCACAUCGGAGACUCUUCUCAGCAGAGAGGGAUUUGUAGUAAACAGAACGCUUGACAUUUCUAUUUUCAUUUUGAGUUGACCUCUAAUUUCUUACCGAAAAACAGAAUGAAAAGGGAGACGAUUCUGUGUUGCUUGGAUUUGUAUUCAGUCAGCGCAGACCUUUUAUAAGACAAUAGUCGUACUUUGUAAGCAACAUAAAACAGAAAACAUUUCUCCCAUUAAAGUCUCAGGGUGAUAUUUUAUUUGCCGUAGUAAUUUUUUCAAUCUUUAGUCUUUUCUUUUGACUGGUCGUAUCUACCUGUAGGAUCUGUUUUGCUCUUAAUAAGAUUGAUUUGAUGUGCAGUUAGACGCAUUAAAGUGAUGGAACGUCUCAAAUCGAUAGUUGGCAGUCCUGCACUUUCAUUGCACUUAAAUUACGGCGGCAAUACUACCGCUUAAGGUUUCACCUUUAACGUCUUACGACUCCAAUAGAUUUCAGGUGUAAAAGUACUUGAUUGAAUUGCUGAUGCUUUGAGUGAGUGUGUUGGUGUGUGUUUUAUGUGUGUGGGGGUUUUCCUGCAGUGUGUGUGUGUCUGUUUGUGUGUGUGUGUUUGUGCUUCAAGUAAAAAGAAAAUGAUAGUGCUGGCAUGUUUAUUGUUAUGUGAAACCUUAACAGCACACACGGACACACACACAUCUAUACACAACUUUAAUCUCCCUUGAGCAGUUUGUACUCGCCUGAUAUUGUGAUGCAUUACAAGCAGCAAUCAAUCCAUGAAGAGUCUGAGCCGGCUUCAGCACCAAAGGGAUUUCAGUGACUCUCCAGUUGAGGGUUUAGUAUUCAACUGCUGUGGCUUCUAUGUAUCAAGGUUGUGAUAGUUUGGGAUUUUUCAUUAUAGUUUUGUUUCAUUACAUUUGGACUUUUUAUUCCUCUAAUUCAGCUAGUUUUAAUUAGUUUUUAGAGCGGGUUCGUUCAUUUAAAUUUUUUUUUUUCUAAAUGAUUAGUUUUAGUUUAGUUUUUGUGUUAUAUAUGUUUAUAUUUAUGUAUAUAUAUAUGUAUAUAUUUAUACAUAUAUAUGAAUAUAUAUGAAUAUAUUUAUACAUAUAUAUGAAUAUUUAUACAUAUAUAUGAAUUUAUAUAUGUAUAUAUAUAUAUAUUUUUUUUUUUCUUUUCACUUUAUUGUUCAUUGAAAAAAUAUAAACAUAUAUUGAAAAAAGGAUUAAAAAAAUAGAACUAAUACAAAAACUAAACUAAAACUAAUCAUUUAGAAAAAGAUAAAAAUAAAAAUGAACAAACCCGCUGUAUCUAAAGAAAUUUUAUAUAAGACUCUGUCGCUUUCUCCCAAGUUUUGUCACCAUUUUGCCAGGUAGAAUGGUGAUGAGAAACCGACUCUAAACAAGAAGUGAACUGUGAGGUGCUGCUAGCUCACGUAAAAUUGCUCGUGCAAAAUAAAUCAAUAUCAUAUCAAUUCGAAAUUGAUGAAAACGAAGGGAUUUCUAGCUAUAAUUUUAACACGUUUUAGUUCGUGUUGUAAACACACAAUUCAGUUUUAAUAAGUUAUUGUUUUUUCUUUUAAUUAUAGUUUUAAUAUAUUUCAGUUAACAGUUUCAGUUUUAAUUAACAAUGAUAACUUUGCUUUGAAUAUAUAUAUAUAUAUGUUUGUAUAUAUAUAUAUAUAUAUAUAUAUAUAUGUAUAUUCUUCAUGAUGAGCCAUAACACCAUUUUUCAAAUCAUACUUCCACCAAACACAGUUUCUUUAAAAGCAGCCGAUCUGGAUGGUAAAGUGAAGCCCCCUUCAUGUCAUCAUUUACUUGACUUUUAUGGUUUGUUGUUUUUUUUUUUGUUUUUUUUUUGCAGAUCUAUUCUAUCCUCAUUCCUCCAGUGAAGCAGUGAUCCUCUUCAAAGUUGAUUUUCCCCAACUUUCUGCUCCUCUUACUUCUCUUCACCUUGUCCCUGACUGACUCUGCGGGGAGAUUUCACCGAUUCUCACAGGUAGGGCAUUAGGCAAUCUGUCGGGAGGACUUAAUCAGUGGUGAGAGGGUGAGUGGAGAACAAGUGAGAGUCCAAUGUCAGGGAGGGGGACUUUGCAGACAUUGCUGCUGCAGAUGCAAAGUGUUGUGAAGAAUGCAAUAGAGCUGGAGAUGGUGACUCUGUGGAUAAAUCAUAGUUUGAAUUCUGCUGAAAGAGCUUCUACUUCUAUCCCUGCAAAACCAGCAGGACUAAAUUAAGUAAUGGGGUUUGGAUUGGGGAGGGGGGGCCAGAAUGGACGUCAUCGACAGGACUGCAUCAGCAGAGAAAGAGAGAGAAGGUUCGGGUAAUGAUGGCUGCAUGGCACACCUGCAUGGAUGUAAUUGGAUGUGACCUGUCAGCUGUCGGAAAUGAAGGUGUUUGAACAGCAUGAAUAAAACAGCAAACAGAAAUCAGCUAAUUAUCAGCAGCUAUAUUUACAUGGAGCAUAAUAUUCAGAUAAUAAAUGGUUUAAAAGCACUAAUGGAAUAUAAAUGAUUCAUAUAAAUCAUAUAAACACCUCAGUCAGAAUUAAACAGACUCAAGUGAGGCAGAUUAAAGAUUUCAUCUAAACAUGUUUCUGAUGUUCUUUUCUCUGCAUGCUGAAAAUCUUAAUACACUGUUUAUAGUUAGUAACAGAAGGAUCUUCUCCAUUUUCAGAGGAAUAGCUCUAAAUUUGGGCUGAAUGAUGAUUAAAAAGUCUGUUUUCAGUGGAGACACUCGAGGGGCUUUAAGUUCCUCAAAGAAACAUACUGUCUGUGUUGAUUUUAGCGCCCCCCAAUGGACAAACCAGUGAUCCUUAUUGUCUCAUUCUCAUCAAAUUGGCACUAACUGACAAAAAUGUCCUCUUCUGUCUUUUUGGGAUGAAAUGUAAUCAGUUUGACUUUUUACUAUGGAAAAAAGAAAAUAUAAUUUAUCCGGUGUACCUACCCUCUCCCAACAACAAAAUAGAAAUGUCAGUUUUAUGACCAAUGGUCUCAUUUGUGUUUGGACAUCACAGAGUCACACCACUAUUUAUUUUAUUUAAUUCCAUUACCCAUCAAAAACUCCUUACAAUAGCUUUAAUAUAAUAAAACACUUAGAUGGUAGGAAAGUAAGCAAUAUUGACUGUUCAAGGAGGUCCACAACAAACUGCAUGGAGCAAGGAUGGACUGUGAGGUGGAGGAAUUAUCGAAUAAUGUUAAAAGAGGAGGAAUAAGAUCUCUUUUGGAUUUGUCACACUGCUACUCUGAUUUCAUGCUAUGUAAAUAUGCAUAAAUCAGCAUGAUACGAUCUAACUGCUAUGUCUCAAAGCUGAAGAUGUGUAGGUUUGUCUUGACUUUGAGGAGCUGUUGUGCCAUGCAGUAAUAUCUACUUUCAAUCCUCAUAUUUGUGAGUCAGCUGCUCCUCUGUAGUUCUACUGCAGCUUUUAUACUAACUGUGGAAUCAGCAGUCAGACCAGUGGAUACCUCAGUUAUCAUAUACGCUUGUUAAAAGAGCAGUUCACUCUUAGUAUCGGGCUACUUUAAAUUUCCAUAUCCAUUCUGGAGAAGCACAGACUGUUGUGUCAGGGUUUCUGUUGUCAGGAAGGUGAAUGUCUCUGCUAGACUGUUGAAUUUCAUAAUAGCUGUUCAAUCUAUUCGUGAUGUCAAAUCCUGUAAAUAGUAUCACCCGAGGUUCUUAAGUUUUCAUUUGAACCUCUGAAACACAUACAGGACACUUAUAAAAGUAAGACAGAGCGGGGCCUAGUGUGGAGGGUGUCAAGUAUAUAAGCAGAGGAUGGCAUUUAGACGAUGCUGUCACCAAUCCUCCAAAUAAUGUGUCUCUAAAUUUUUCAGUCCCCUCAUUUGUAUUAUAAUUGGAGUUAAAAAGAAAUCAAUUAUUAACAUGUUUAUCAAGUUAACCUUAUCUAAAAUGUCUGAACUGAUAAAUAUCAGUCUCCCCAGAUUCACUUUCCUAAAGCUAUGGCUGUGCUGCCCGUAUGAAUACAAUUAUAACCUUGCUUUAUUCAACCCUUUUUCAAUGCACCCAAAAUGUGAAAAAGAAACAGUUUGAGCUGCUGAAUAAUGAUGAGUGAGAAAGUAUAUUACAAUAAUACAGACACUCAGAAGCAAGAAUUUUAACAUGUUGGAGAAGAUAUCUCAUCAUUAACACCAACCAGCUGUAAAUAUAUAGAUGAUAUAGAUCUAAAAAUACACAGAGACUGAAAAACACUGCAAGAGAAAAUGCUGCAGAUCAUGGCAUGCCAAUGGAAGCGCUCCAGGCUCCCCUGGGUGCUCGGUGGAAUAAGUUUAUUAUUGAUGGAAGAGAGUGGAGAAGAAACUGCAUUUUCCUGAGUAAACUUUAUCUAAACUUGACAAGAAAAUCAAUUAGUUGUCAAAAUGAGAAAGCGGCAUUGUAUACUGAGAAAGUAUUAUUGAAAUUAAAGCAGCUGCCGGGCCAAUUGAGCUUCGCAGUUAAAGCAUGCUGUCUACACAGAGCCUGACAGCUGGGAGCAAGAGCUUCACUACCAACCAGUUAUCAUGUUUUUCAAAUCAGUAGCUGAGAUGUUGCUAUGGUGGGAAGACGUGGAUAGAAGGAUUUUAGCAAUUUGGACCUUGUUUCUUUUUGCUUUUUGCACUUUUUUUUACCACUGCUUCAUGUUUUCAUUGUUCAUGUGUUAACAAAACUUCAUCAUUUCUGUUUUUUGCAUGUUUCUUGAUUUGUCUGAUCAGCUUCUGUUCCAUAUCCCUAUAAGUAACAAAAUAUAAUCAGCCUCAAACUCAUUGUCUGUUGUACAAAUAGACCCUUUUCACAGUACGCAGAAGUUAGCAUUCUGCUCACUUCCGGUGUUAGCAUGUGGUGGAGCCACUUAGCAUCGCCCAUUGACGGCCAUUCAUUUUUCACGAUAUUAACGAGCUCACGACCAGUUUUUUUGAAAGGUAGAGUAGAAUUUUAUGCUUUGUGCUGUUUUACUAACUCCUGUUCUUUAUAAUACUGUCCAGAUUUUGUACUUUACUUUUCGGGAAUUAUGUUUAAUAGGUCUGGAAAUGUGCGCUCGAUGUACAGUACACACGUAGGCUAAAAUAAUAAGUUGUAAGGACUUGUUUCCCGUCUGCUCCUAAAUAUCCUUGCGUCUAUCAUGUCAUAUUACACAUAAAUGACAACAGUUCUAGUUUAAAAACAAAACAGACUCCCUGACAUGGCCACUUUAUGGUUUAUGAGAAGCUAUGAACUUCUACAGCAGAACAGAGCACAGCCGAAGCACAGGCUUUAGCGUCAAUUUGUAGCGCACAUUUCCAGACCUAUUAAACAUAAUUCCCGAAAAGUAAAGUACAAAAUCCGGACGGUAUUAUGAAGAACAGCAGAUAGUAAAACAGCGCAAAGCAAAAAAUUUUACUUUACCCUCCAAAAAAACGAGUCGUGAGCUUGUUUAUAUUGUGAAAAAUGAAUGGCCGUCUAUGGGCGAUGCUAAGUGGCUCCACCACAUGCUAACACUGGAAGUGAGCAGAAUGCUAACUAUCGUGUACUGUGAAAAAGGUCUAUAGGCUUUUGUUUGUAGUCUGAUGUCUAAUACAGUAAGCUUUUGAUAUCCGUUUGCUGAACUAUAAUGUUUAUCUCAGUUAGCAGCAUGAUGGUUCAACAUCAUUGUCAUGGUUAGCCUGUUAAAAAGAUGAUGCCAGCUUAAGUAAGAUUAUUUUGAUACUCUCUGAAGAAAGUUAACAGAAAGAAAUGAAAUGAAAUUCCCGUCUACCUGAUCGAGGCCGUCAGAGUAUUGCUAAAUUAAGGAUUCCUCAGAUACGCUCACUACAAACGCACUGCAUGCUCUCAUUGAAUUUCAAAGGACCUUUUUUUAAGUCACGCACUGAUGUCUAAUCCAGAGUGACAGAUGUAGAUCACAGUUGGUGCAGCAAAAUGGCCCUCUCUGCUUCCUGGGCUCCAGGAUUUUCUGAUGGAUGGCAUGAUGGGUUUCCAUUUUUUUGAGCUGGGACAUCAGGGUUCAGAGAGUGACAAGUUUGCACACGCAAUUUAUCAUUCGCUAUUUGGGAUUUUAGCAGACCGGGCCCAUAGUCUCUUAAUCAGAGUGACAUUACAACAGUGUAUGUGUGGUUUCCUAGUAACAAAGCCUGAUGAAUACCACAAAGUCCUGCAUACUCCCUGCAACCCUGCACAUGCCUGAAAUGAAUGUAUUUGCUUAUAAGACCUUGAAAUUCCUGGUGUUUAUUUCGGGUCUCUAGAGGCUUGUACUCUUUAAUGUCUUGCUUGUUGAACAAGGUAUUUCCAUGGUAUCAAAAAAGCAUUUAUUUGCUUUUGUAGGAAUGCUCUGUACACGAUGCAAUUAUCUAUGCAUAAUUACCUCCCGCGAUUUGAUGGAUUUCACAGCUUGGAUUUUGCAGCGUGUGGGCUAAUGGAAACCGACAAGAACAAUUCCUCUUCAUUAGACCGCUCCAACAUCCUCAUUGACACAAGAGGCCCACGUUCGCACAAAAAAAAAUAACAUGAACCAAGACUAAUACCAUAUGCAUUCCUUCCCUGUCUGCAAUCUUCAUUAACAUUGACAGUACCAUAGAGCAGAGACACCUUUUUUCUAACAUGGAAGUAUAUGUUCAAAAGAGGGAAUUCCAGACCUACAUCACAGGGACAGAUGUUGGCCAGCAGCAGCUUCUUUAAUCAGAUCACAGCGAAGCAUAUUUGCCAAACUGUUUCAUCAGUGAUACACACUGGCAGAGCUGUUACGGAUGCGUCUGUGAGGCUUGCAGCUGUGGGUGCGAAGCCCUCCAACGACGACGAGCGAUACUCAGAACUCUUUAGCGGAGAAAAUUAGCCGCCUCUUGGAGAUGUUGUCGAUUGAAGCAUUGUGGCACAAUGGAACAGAUUUAUGUUUGUUGAAUGUGUAAAACCGCAAGGGAUGCAUAUAAUAAGUGCUAAAUGUUGUCUUUGUCUUUAAAUAUAUCGUUUUUAGAAGAGAUGCGCCGAUCCAAUCUAAUACCGAUACCUGGGCUGAGCGUAUCGGUCGAUAUCUGAUACCGAUCCAAUACUACUGUUGAAUGAUUGAACUGUAUAUCUUGCCCUGUGAGUGAAGGCAUCAGGCUUGUCAUUAGCUUUGUUAAAAAAAGAGGGUAACAAAUUAACACAGAUAUGAAUUUACUUGAUAUUAUUUAUUAACAAAUUGCACAUUAACACACACCAAAACUAGUAGUAGUAGUAGUUUAUUUGUCCCAUAGGAAAAUUGAAUUGCAGCAGAUCACACAUUUGGCAUUUCAUCUAGAACAGUACUUCCUAAGUCUCACCUUUAGCCUGAUUAGACCAGCUGAGCAGGCUAUAGGUGACUAACUAUGGCUAUGUGGUAUUUAGGCAUUUAAUGGCCUGCGGCACAAAAGAAAAUUUAGCUCUGUUUUUAGUAAACAGAGGGGGCGAUAUCGUCACCCAGAAGGCAGGAGGUUAAAAGAGUGGGGAUGUAAGACUUCCAUGUAAACAUUUAGUGCAAAAGGAUAGACAGACAUAGAAUAUAGAGUGAACUGAAUCGCUGUGUUGCUGUGUGUGAUAUUAAAUAAAAGGAAAAAAAAGACAUUCAUCAGAUAUCCGAUCCACGUAAUUUGUCAAUAUCGGAGCCGAUUUCCAAUCCAAAUAUCAGAUCGCUGCAGCCCUAGUAAAGAUUUUUUUUUUUUUUUACAGCAAAAGGUGUUAGGGGAAAUAUUGUAUGUGUGCAUGUAUAGAUCAGGAUGUGAUACCAAACAGACAUGUUUCUAUAGGAUCACCUCUGUCUCCUUUUUUUAUAGAGUUCAUCCCUGUAUGUUUGACCUGCUACAGGUACAAUCAACAGUAAGUCAACAAAGCGAGUUAUUCCUGUGCUCCUGAGGAUCCGGGAGCAUUUGCAAUAUGAAAUAUGGAUCUAUUUUGGAGCUGAACUCUUCUUCUGAGCUCAUGCUUGCAGUGUGGGGACCAUCUUGAGGGCUUUUGCUGGGUUGGUAAUUGAGGAUGUGGGGGUUAGAGACAAGGCCCCUCCGGGAAAUCCCCAGCAGAUCAGCCAUUAUCCCGUGCUGAGGAUUGGCUGCUCCACUGCUGACAUUUCCAUUUAUAUCUGUCACGUUUGGAUCCUGAGAAAGAGGGAGGGAAAGGAGACAGAGAGAGAGGAGGGAGGAGACAGUCGAUGUGAAGCUUGUUUACGGCUGUAAACAGACGUUUGAAGCAUCUGUGUGUGAGCGACAACAAUAGAUUGGGGUCUUGCUGUAAGUGACUGCUACUGGAGUGUGUUUUGGGUCUCAAAGUUUAUCUCCCAUUCUGUUAGCAGUAAGAUGAAGCACCGGUGCACAUUUGUUUUGCUCAAUAGAAAAGGGCAGCCUGGAGAAUUUGGAUAAUAGUCAUGCAUCUUGUUGCUUUUGUCCUUUUGUUGAUCCUGUUUUUUCAUGUAAUAAAGUUAGUUUUAAUGAGUAUACCACAAAAACAACAUUUCAAAAACCCCAAAGACAUUGUUGAUUCUUUCAAAGCUCCAGGAAAUUUGGCUUGAAAUAGCAAAAUGUGUUUUGAUCCGUUGCAAAAGCGUCUUCCACAAAGAAAUUUCACAACUGUGCCAAGAUGGAGUUUUGCCAUCACUGCGCCUUUGUACUCACACCGAACCCCGCCGUGGUGUAAUACCGGUGUCCCAGUGUGUGAUUCAACGUCACAUUAUAGUACUGUGGAAGGUAUGAGAAGUGUGGCUUAUAGACAAACAGUAGGAGGCCCACAUACAAACACACUCAGACAAACCCGCAAACAUAUACUGUCUUGGCUGCUCCACACGUCUCCCUCCUAAUCCGUCUCUGUUACUACGCUGGAAGGAGGAUCAGAGGUGCAACAACUUUGCUUCACCAUUACGCCUCUACAUGUUAGACAUAUAUACAAGCAGCGUCUCCAGUUACUCAAGGUGUCCAGUCCAAAAAAUGACACCUUUAAUUAUAUAAUGAUAAUUUAGUCAGGUAGUGUUAUUUUUAACUGCAGUAUCAUAUUUAUUGCUCUUGGGGGCCCCCUAUUGGCCGCGGGGCCCUAAGCAGCCACUAUGCCUUUGGCGGGCUCUGCUCGGAGUUAUAAACAUUCCUCCAUGUUUGAAUUUUAAUCUGUGUAUUGUGCACAUUUCAUGCUUUAGUAGAUCGGAAAGGACAGCACAGCAGCAUUGCAUUGUGGGAAUUUUUUACCUAACAAUCAAGGUAAGGAAUCUAGAUAUUAAAGAAGUAAAAAUGCUGAGAAAGAGGUGUGUUGUUUGCACAGAUUUGAACGCUUGCACAGCCUAGGAACCAGUUUUUGUUUGGCUAACUGAAGGAGAAAAGAACUAAAUAUUAUAACUUUUAUUACUAGACUGGAUAAGUUUCAGCCUUUCGUUGAAUAAAUCUAGACUGAACCUACAAAAGCCAAAAAAAACUAAAACAUGUUUCAAACUGAUAACCUUUUUUUUUAAUAAUCUAAAAAAAAUGUUUCCUAAAAGAGUCAUUAGAUGUCUUUUCUACACUUUUAACAAAACCCCCACUAUUGCUUUUUAAGUCAGUGCAGCAGCAGUACAAUGCACCCCCAUACCUCUUUGCAUAAAACCUAACAUUCACAGAGCGGUCAGUCGGUUAAAGUGCACACACACACCGCACCGACAUGAUGGUUUCAACUAUUGUGUUUGAACUGUGGCAGUUAUAGCAGCUCAGCAGUGAAAGAUGGUAGCCUCUGUGAAAGGGGAUUUGCUCUUAUGUAGAUGUUAAAGGAUCAUUUUCAGUUACUACUACUACUACUUUGAUAUCCAGGUGAUUUUAUGCUGAUGGAAAUAUAUAGUAUACUAGAAAAGCACUUGGAGAGCGCAGACCUCCGCCAAGCAGCUCAUGUCCCCCCUUAUAUUGUGAUUCACACCAAAACUUUUACCAUUACGUGUCUUUUAUUAACUUUUAUUUGUGUUUAAACUGGUAUAUUCACUUUUCAUAAUGUUCCUAAAACAAGAAAUGCCCUAACCGUGAUUCAACCUUGGACCUUCUGGUUGUGAGGCAACAGUGUUAACCACUGUGCUGCCUAUCUACACCACUGUGCCGCUCAUUGGUUAUCUUUCAGCAUUGAAAAUUCCAACGACACCCUUAUUUUUGUGUGUUCUUGAUCACAGUAUCCAGAAUUUUGUCGUCUGUAACUUUCUCCGUAAAGUUGCUAACAGACAAACAAACAAACCAACGCUACUGAAACAUAACCUUCUUGGCGGAGGUAAUAACACACUGCUUCUUUAAGAUCCUCCUAAUGUGGAUUGGGUUUCAGGAGACCUUCAAUUUUCGGCUUCUUUGUGUUAACAUUAAACUUUACUUAAGUGGUUUAGCGUUGGAGGUAAGAGUUUAUUGAACAGUCGUCACUCCACAUCCUCAAUUAUCUGUAGACAUAAAGCUUUUCCUCUCACUGUCGUGUAAAGCUCAGGUGGCCCUCCCCCCCGUGUUGGUUAUUGUUGGUUCGAACUUCACUUCACAGAAAUGCUGCAUCAAUUAUACUUUCCUGGACUGUCGCCAGAUACUCUCACAUUGAAUGGAGGAGUUGCAUCAAAGCACUUCAGAGUUAUGAUUGUAAUGAUAAGUGAAACUCAAAGGUUUUUUACACUCUAUUAAAAGGUCUCAAGACAAGGUUCUGAAGCAGAUAAUGGGACUUGAUUGUGUUUAUUGUCGUCUUUAAGUGCUCCGUGCGUCUAAAUGUUCCACCUGCUGUGACGGUGAAAAGCAUUUUAUACCUGCUCGUCAAUUUACCCAUAGAAAGUCAUAAUUCCUUUGCAUUUAAAUGAAGUGCUCCCACAGUGAAUCUAACUGCAUAAUUCCUCCAAUUUUACACUGAAUUUUUUCUCACUGGGGGAGAUCACAGAGCACUUCAGUGUGUCAAGCAAUUAUAUGUUGAAGAAACAAUUAAAGGAAGUGAAUAAAGACAGCGAACGGAGAUCUUUGCAGAUUGGUGUUGCAGUAUCUUAAAAGGGAAACUGCACCUGGAUCACUGAGCAAAUAAGGAAAAGUCCCUUAAAGAUAUAUAUAUAAAAAAAGAAAAACACCAUAACUUAAACAGUUGCAAUUUAUAAGUGCCAGACACCCCCACAGGUCCUGAACGGGGGAUCUAUCCACUUGUCUUGGAGUAAAAGGCCUUUGGGAUCAGCGCGGUGCAGGAUGGAUGAGGUGUUGUGCCUGACACCAGGAGAUUCCAGUUAAUAAAUGGUGUGCUUGAUUCAGGACCGGCCAUGCAAUUGUAUUUGGACAGUCUGAUAAAUUGGGGACCGGGAGCUGUCUUCACUUUUUUUUUAGGCUAAACAGAGGUGAUAAUUUAUGUCGGAAGACCUGGUGUGGUUUUUAAGCUGUAGGUUUAAACAGUAACACCGAGCCCUCUCGCGCUCUAAAGGAAUACAGAGCGGUGUUAAUUUGUCAAUGAAGACUAUGAUUAAAUGCAUUCAUUGUGAAAUUUUCUUUUCCAUCAUUUAGUAAGACAAUUACUGAAAGGAAAAUAAGUUUAAUGGAUGGAAAUUUGGAAACCCUGACAAAUGGGCAAAUUAAGCAUUGCCACAAUCUCAUCCGGGGGACAGUGUGAUUUUAUUUCCCCUGCAAAUCUCUGAAAAGGGGAUCUGCCCGCACUUUCUCUCCCCUCUUCAGAAUUUAAUUUGGUUUUGAUCAAAAACUUUCCCAACACUUUUAUUGAAUUGUAGCAAUAUAGCACUAAGAUAAUGACAUACAGUAUAUGAAAACACAGUUUGACAUAUAAAAUCUUACUUACACCCCCCAAGUCAAAGAUGGGGUAGGCAGCAUCUGAGGAAGUGCCAGUUUUUGGGAGAAAUCUUGAAUGUUCCAGCAAGCCCCGCUCACAAACAGACGCUCCUGCUCGCUCGUAUCAUUCCAAUUAAAUUCAGAUAUAAUGCAGAUAAAUACUUCAGAUAAUUACAAAUGGGGCCCAGUCAAGGUGAAAGUCCCGUUUGACGAGAAACACUUCUGUUACAGACACUUGGCUUACUUUGUUAAAGUGGUUUACCUGUCCAACAUAAAGGUUACAGGAUCACGAAGAUCCCGAAGUAUCCCCAAUUGUUUAUGCUGAUGUUGACCCGGCUUCUUAGCUCUUGUCUGGUCUACCUCUGUUUUUAAGAGUCCGUUAUUCCACCAGAGUCUCUGGUACUUUCUGGUUGGUUUCUACUGUCUGAUUUUGAAGCCCGCUAACUUUGUUUAGGCUCGUAAAUGUUAUUCGAGGCCGUGAAGUGUGCCUCACAACAUGGGGGAGCAGCGUCCACCUCACAGCCAAUCAGGUCGGGAGGCAGGGAAUGGCCUUGUUUACAGUCAGAAAGAGCGGGCCGCUCUUACAGCGAACACAGCGAUACCGUGAUAUUCCCAAAUAUCAUCAAUAACUAAUAGCUAUUGACUGAUAUUAAACACUUUUUUUGUAUAUACACCACAAAAAAGAUGCUUCUUUCACAAAAUCCUGCUUACCCCACUUUUAAAUGUUCACAUCACUCACCUUUUUUUGUCCUUGCAGUGCUUCAGUCCAUAGACUGAGCCCGAUCUCCCUCUCCACUUCUGUUUGAUAACAUGUGUGAGCAGAGUGUGGCUGCACAAGUGGGAGAGGCAUUCCUGUCACAAGCAGAGUGGUUUACAUUUAAUAUUUCAUUCAAUCAGCUGAAGUGUUUGUUUCUCUCUUUAUGAGACCAAUGCUGGAUUAAUUCAGACGAAAAUAUAAUUGGAAUAUGUUAUCGCAGUUCCGCCGCACAACACUUACAGACAUGACGCUCUGCGCUGAAUUAACAAAUGAUGUUAUUUUGAUUGGAUGUUAAUCUGUUCCUGCCGCAGUGUGCCGGUGUUGAGGCCUGGUCUGUCAUGUACAGUUCCAAUGUCAUGAAACUUUGAUUUAUGGACUACUUCCUUUGAAAAAAACAGUCUGUGGGAUUACUGAAGUGCUGUGUUCCUAUAGUUAAGGACUGAAAUCCCUCUUGUAUUUGUGCAGCAGGACAGCUCAGGGACUUUGCAGAGCUACUUUAAUGGGCUUCAACCUCUGCGGCUCAUUGAAAGCCCUGAGACUGAAUCCCCCUUGGCCGUCCAACUAUUGAGCUGCAGGACGUGAAACUGUGAUACUGUUGCCUUGAGGUAGAUGCUACAAGAGACCAGAUUGUCCUCUGUUGCUACAUCGCCUGGAACUACAUACCACAUAUCUGUCUUUCAUUUCUCUCCAGCAGGGACCAGGCAAAAGGACAGGACAGAAUGUGCUGAUACAAGUCCAGUCCCCAAAAAGGAAAUAAGCAAAUAAAUCAGUGUGUGGGGGUUAUUGUUUGGUAUUUACAGUUAACUGCAUGUCCUCUAUUCGGUUGCCAGGGGACACAAAAUUAGAGGUUGUGGUAUUUCUCUCCUUUGCCCUUCAUCCACCUUGUGGAGGUACUUUCCAGUUGUGAAGUACAGCAAUGAUAAUUAGUGAACAUGUAACAGUGGGAGCUGUAAUCUGCCUCCAAAGUUUUCAAAAUGACCUUCAUUGUUGAAUGAAAGAUGUCUAUAAUUUGGCCAACACGAACAUGGCGCGGCUCGGUCUUUGUAUUCAGAUGAAGCCUCAGCUGAGCUCUCUGCCCAGAAUAGCUUGUGAAUGGGUGCGAGACAGAACUCAGUAUGACUAUGCCUAUGCCAAAUUACUACUUGCUUACACGGAGACAAAACAUUAAACGGUACUGCCUGAUCUGCGUGUGUCUCAUACCAGAUGCAUAAUGCAUCAAGAGCAUGAAUAAUUUACAUAAACAAGUGGAGGGAAUCUGUUUGGUGCUCUGCCAACACUGUGCUCCCCUACUUCCACCUAAAAGGCUUUUUUUUCCUCUCUUUUGUUAAAAUCCAAAACAAACCUCCAUAUUGGAGAGACAGAUGGCAGACAGGGCAAACUGAGUCUCCUAUCCAAAACCACACUGGGAUGGCAAUGGAGGUUGCCAUGGAAAUCGGGACGAGAAGCAAUUUGUUUGACUUCCAGGACGGACGUUGUGGUCACUUGGGGGACUUGGAGAAAGUCGUUCACAGCUGUAAAUACUUCUGUGCUUUUAGGAAAAAGUGAAAGGGGUUAGCAAAUAGUUUAACUGGAAAUAUCCUUGUAUUACCACCAUAAAUACACAACUACACAGCAAAUACACUCGUGUUUAGAAACGGGUCCAGACACAGUGUUUGGUCUCCAGUGCAAGUUUCUUUUUCUGUUUGUAAAUCAGCAGCUUGAUCUUGCUCAAGUUGUCUAUGAUCCAUCUUACCAUGUGAGCAGCAUGGGUAGUAAGGCUAAACGAUUUUGGAAAAUUAUUUUAUUGUGAUUUUUUUUUCCUCAAUAUUGUGAUUUGAUUUGCGAUUAUUUUUUUCAAGGUCCUCUCCUAACAGUCUGUAUAAUUCUAAAUAAUAUCAGAUGAAUUUUACAUAAAUUGUUCCUUCUGGCAAUUAUCAAUCCGCACACCCGAGGCUCUCUCUACUCCCACUAUCGUGUACACAAAUACAUGCGCCAUCAUGGCGAGCUGUAACUGGUGCCCAAAACUCUGGGCGGCAGUAGCUUGGGAGGUAUAGAGGUCGGCCAGUAACUGGAAGGUUAUCAGUUGGAACCCCACCCUAUCCCUGGUCUGUCCGUUGUGUCCUUGGGCAAGACACCUUGCUCCCAGUGUGUGUGUCCUCCACUGGUGUAUGAUUGUGAGUGUUGUGUGGUUGUGGUCGGAGAGGCCGUAGGCGCAAACUGGCAGCCACAUUUCCAUCAGUCUGCCCUUCAGGACUUGGCGGAUGAACGACAUGUGUCACCAAGUAAACAAUGCAGUGACUUCAGCAGCAGGGGAGGGGAGGGGCUCGUUCAAUGAACGAACUCGCAGCUGUGUCACUCACUCGCGUACUUCACCGACAGGACGGUUCUCCGAAGCACUGACUGAUUCAGUGAACGAAUCUUUUGAACAAAUCAUUUUUAGUGUCAAAAGAACCAUUCUUCUUAACACUAGAGCGCAGUGUUGACUUCUCUCUCUACCUGCUCUUCUUUGCUUCGCUCACUCACAAGUUGUGACCAGAUCACGUAAUCGGUCAAAAUUGCAGCCUUUGCGGUUAGAGAAUUGCGUUUUAUCGUGAUGUAAUCACACAUGCAAUUAAUCGCUCAGCCCUAAUAUGUAGCGGAUCAGCUUGUAGAGGUGAAGUAUUAACAUCGCACUACUUCCACAAGCCAAAACACGCAUUGGGUGGAAACUAGAGUAGAGCUGUCUCAAUGUCAGAUUUUUACCUCAUGGUUUUUGUGGCCAUACAAUAUCACAAUAAUGAUAUUUCCCAAAAACUGGACUUCCUGAUGACUCGCCUCAGAACACAUGUCGAAGUCGCAUUGUGUGCAGGAGCCUGCCAUUUCAUAAAGAUGGAUUUAGCACUGAAGGACACUGGGAACAGCAGGUUCACCAGCUCUUUUCUUCAGCUCGACUCGAGGAGCUGUUUUCUCUCCUCACCUGUGACACUGAUUUCCUGUUUGUGCAGCAAGUCAUGCUCAAAUGUGGUGAGAGAGUGUCAGGGGAGUGGUGAUACUGCUGGAGCCGACAAAUUCCACUUAGGGUGUAUUUUUAGUGGAAAAGAAGUAACACAUACACAGGAUGUGUUUUUUUGCUCCCUCCUGUGAAGUGUCAUGUAGAGUCUGAUUUUAAUCAGGAGCUGGUUCACUGCUCAUCCUGAGGCCAUCAGCUUCCAUUAAGGAAAAAAUAAAGACGGACGAAGAGUAUUGAAUGUGUUCUGUUGCUAGGAAACUGACACAUCAUAAUGACGACGCUGUCUUUCUACUCAUUUGGUACACAGUGUUGGCUUAUGUUCAUAACAUGCCUGUUGAUUUGAUUACAUUGAGCUGAAUCUAAGUGGUCACUGUCUGAUGUUGGAGAACAGGACAGUGAUGUUUCUCUUGCAAAUGCACAAGCAGUGCACACUAAUUCCUGUGAGUAUAAUUAUUCAUUAAGACCAAGAAAUAGUGUCACAUCAUAUUUUUUCCCAGCUUUGUGUCUAGAUGGCAAAGUUUUAAUUUAUAUGCUUGAUUCAACCUAAACUUCAUCCCGCAGCUGUUCGAAUUUGCUUUAAUCUUAUGGUCCAUGUAUUUUCACCUCAUGUAAUCUCUUUAUUUAGUGUCUAUCAACAUUACAUUUCACCACCCACAUUGACAAAAAUGUUUUAUUCAGCAGAGGAGGGAGCGCUCCCGCAGUGAGUGCCUCACCUCUGUCAAAUCAAGAUGUCUGUUAUGUUUUCAGAUAUAAGCAAACCCAUGCGCCUCUCCUUUAUUAGCAGUUGGUCUGAAAUAUUAGCACAUUAAAAGCCGUGGGACGACCGCAUGAAUGGUAAAGAGGGAUGCUGUGUUUUAAUGGGAAACUUUAUUGGGUCAAAUUGAGGAAGGUUGUUUUUGAGAAAGACCAAACUGUCUGCUUUGGUUGUUUUUGUUUGUGUGUUCACCCUCACCACUUUGAUCGUUCACAGCGGCAUUUUUAUGUCUAAUGAUCCAUUUAAUAAAAGUAUCUAUCUGGGAUUUUAAUACGGCAGUCUUCCAAGUUAUGAAAUUUAAAAGUCAAACAAGAAUAACAAAUGACCAUGGGAAGAAUAUCUGGUGUAAUAUUUUCUAGGUUAUGAUUGAUUUGUUGCUCUUAUUCAUAAUUAAUUUAACCGUUUCUGAAGUCCCCUGCUCCAGAUAUCGUUUGUUGUGGUGCUCUCCAAGGUGCUGAACCGGCUACAGGGAGCAGAUGCAGAGCAAGAAUGCUCUCUUCCUUCCUUGCCUAGUCACAGCCCUGGAGUUAAUCACUCUAUAAUUUCUUACAGUAACUCAGCCUGUCAACCUGUAAACCUUAUUAUCUUUCUUCAAGAUGAUUCACACUCUGAUGUGACGUUGCCCUGAUACCUUAAAAUCUGUUUGAGUGACCGAUUGAAGCAGGUGCACAACCUUUCUCUCCGCAGAGAAAGGCUAGUCUGCAGUGUCGGCUGGAUGUAUAUACAAAACGGACUCUCUGUGCAAGAAAUUAAAAAAAACACACAUCUAGUGUGCACGUAUCAGCAAAACAAGGCUGUCAGUUUUCCCUCAUGCUCAUGAUAUAGUAAAACAUGGCCCUGUUUACUGUUCAGGUUUGCUGAGAUUGAAACAUGAUCGAAAAAAAUCACUUUCCUGUUUUUUUUUUGCAAAGUUGAAAAGUUCUAGGCUGCUAAAUGCUAUACACAUCCCAAGGCAACAAGAGAUUCAUACACUUUUCUCCCUCUUUGGAAAUUUUUAGUGUCAGUUUCACAACAUCUGUCAGAAAGCUGCAUAUUAGCUUGUCUCUUUCAAUUACUUUCCAUUUAAUGAUUCAAUUUAUUGUGGAUUGGCAGCAUCCAGACACUGUGGAGAUGAUUAAUGGCCUGCUAUGUCUCCAGUGUGGCAGAGUACCUUCCCAGGUCCCUGCAGGAAAGGAUAGUCAUAUACUGUAUGCUUUUUUAUCAACAUGAAGAAUAUAGAAUAAGCAUGCAAUCUGGCCGGGUGGGUCUAUCUAUUUUCUUGAAAAUCAGCUUCUUAUGCCUUGCCUGGAGCUAUGAGCUUCAAUAUCACAUCUGGGGAUGUGCCAAGUCCUCCUGCAGCUAGGGGAUGGUAGGCUUACCGAACCCUAUACAUUUAUCUGAUUAGAUAUGCAGAGCGUGGGAUCAUACUUCACAUUCGGUUCUCUCAAGGCUUUACACUGCCGCCAGACUCGUCAAAGAAAAAAAACCUCUAUCUCAGAUGUUUAGAGAUUUCACGCUCGGUUUGAGCCCCAGGUCCAGCCUGCUCUUUCCCUUCCAUCUUUGACGUCCAUCUGGUGACCACUGACGCGGGAGCUGUGGGUGUGGAGGCACUCUGCAGACAAGCCGCGGCAGGUAGCCAUUACAGACUCUUGUCAGCUUGUUAGAUGGUGGCAUGAUGGGAUGGCCCACAUGUCCAGUUCACUGUGGCUUCCAAAUGCUGCUCCUUUCAGAGUGCCAGGGUGGAAGGGGAUAAAGCAAGUACAAAUGGACGGUUGACACAUUGAGGACACAUGGCUUAAUGUUUCAUUUCCAAGGGGACACACAUGCACUUUUAAAACAGAAAUACACAAUUUUAGGGAAAGCUCAUGGGUAACGCCUGAUGUCUUUGUAAGAAAUAGGGAUUUUUGUCAUUUAUAUGAGUAGAUAUUGUGAAAAAGAACAGAUCACAAAAUGAGCAUAACCCUAAUUAUUAGGGGUGGGAGAAGAAAUCAAUACAGCAUAGUUUUGCAAUAUUUUGUCUGGUGAUAUAUCGUAUCAUCUUAUUUACCAAGCAUCGAUUUUUUUCAGUGAUUCCCACCCUUACUCAUUAUGUAGACUUUCUUCAGGUGUUGUGUAUGGGGGGGCUUUGUAGCAUCCACAUGAUGCACUGAUAGAAAGUAGGUUUGAAAUAGUUGUCUACAGUGACCGCUGUGUGUGGAAGUGUAAACAAACUCGAGCAAAGAUUGAAAAAAAUCCAUCAGCCUCAAAUGUGAUGUAAAAACAUCAAAGUGAAAUAAUUUAAUCCACCGAUCAAUCGGGGGCAGCUGUGGCUCAGUGGUAGAUUUGGUUGUCUUUCGUAGGGUCAGGGGUUCGAUCCGAGGUCCCGUUGUCUGCAUGCUGAAGUGUCCUCAAGCAAGACUCUUGACCCCACUCGACCCCUCUGGCUGCACUUUGUGGUGUGUGAAUGGGAUCAGUCGAAAAGAAAUAGAUGGGCUCUGACAUCAGGGUGUGGGAAUCAUCCUCUCAUAAAUACAAUAGUGUUGAAAUUGUGGCAAAUAUUGUGCAGCUGAAGGUGGACACCUUCUAUUUUGCACAAAAUGCAUCAUACCAGAGAGAACAUGGCUCCUAAGUUGUCAACAUCCUCCUGGUAACCAGUGACUUGACCUCUGCUCCACAUGGUGGUCUUGUUUUUCCCUGUCAAGAUCUAUUUCGAAUAACUUCCAAACUGUUUGAAUAUAACCCCUGUUAUGGCUACAAGCUGAAUUAAUGGAUGAGUGAAUCGAUCCUGAGAUGAUUUUAUUGAUUUUAAAAUAAUGAAUUUAUUCAGCACCGUCGGAUAUGUUUCCAUGGAAAUGGUUUUCCUAUCACCCAUAAUAGACUGAAUUAACAUGCAUUUUUACACUUCCGUCCACAGUACAGUUUAAAAAAACAGUUAUGAAUCACAUCAAACAACAUUUGUAUUCAGGGUUAUGUCUGAGCAACAGCAGUUUUCUGUCUGCAUUUUUUAAUAGAUGCAGAAACAACAACAGCUCCUUUAUAACAUCCUCGACUCGCAGAACUUUUCUUUUCCCAACUAAUAACACUUUAAAGCCCAUUACCUAUGGCUGCUUCAUCCAUGUUUCCUUUGACUUUAUUAGCAUCUCUCAUACUGCAGCUCUUCAUACUGGAACAUCCCCUGCCAAUAUUUCCUUUUUUCUUUUGCUGGUCACUGAUCAACAAUAUACAGCUUUAUACUCAGUAGAUAAAUUGAAAGUAAUUAUAAAGUAUCCUUAAAGGAAUAUCCCGGCGUAAAAUUAAUUUUGGGUCAAACACACCAUAACACCGAGUUAGACACUCCCCUGCGAGAGAUGAAUAUUGCAGACCGCUUGCUUCUCUAGUCAUACCAACUCACCAACUCUCUUCCAGCAGCCGCUUGUUUGUACGGAGACCUCAGACGAGUCCAUCACGACUGCAGUGGGGUGACGCAGCUCAAGGAAGAACAUUUAUGAUCAUUACCUUUUCAUUUCCUUGAAGUAAUAAUCCUCAUAUUAAUCAUUUUGCACUGCAGAUGCGGUAGUUCUUCUGCCUUAGCGUCUCAGUCUGGUUACAUUUCCAUGAAGAAAUGAUCAUAAAUGUUCUUCCUUGAGCUGCGUCAUCCCACUGCAGUCAUGUUGGAUUCGUCUGAGGUCUCGCUACAAACAAGCGGCUGCUGGAAGAGAGUGGGUGAGUUGUGUUUAGUCCCUUUGCUAAAGAAAUCAGGCAAAGUUAAAAAGAUGUUUGGUGUAGUACUAUGGCUGGGACCCUAUAUGUCCUGUUGAUGAAGUUAGGUGCUGUUCUGAGCAUUAUUUGUGGCGUUUUGGUUGAGGUUUGUUUAUGGCUCCUAAGACCACUGUGUAUUGCUAUCGUGCGGUUGUUACUAAAGUUGGUUUAACAAGAGAAGCAAGCCAAUAAUAACAGAAACUAACAGAUUUGCCUCAUUGUCACUUGAAAGAGUUGAAAUCAUAAACAUUUUGAAAGCAACAGCCUCCUUUUAUCGAGUGAUUUGAUUUGACAAGUGGGAUAUGUUUGUCCCUGGCAACAUUCUCACUCUUCUGAAUUGAUUAACAGCUAUUGGGUUUGGACCAAUGAGAAUCAAGUAUCCAACACAGCCAGAUGAUUAGUCAGAAAUAGAUUGAUCCAUUUCCUGUUACAGAAAAAGGGUUUAAAGUUAUGAAAGUAGGUUUAAACGUUAAACUCCAAACAGAACAGCAGAUCAUUUUCUGUGUCCCUGCAGCAUUAUUGACUAACAAGUGGGCAGACAUGUUUUUUCUGGGUACGACAGGUGUUCAGGGCGUUACAGCCGUCAGAGCAGGAACUCAGAGGAAUCAAUCACAGGUGCCAGGUGAUUACAAAGCAGAAGAGCUCUAUUCUUGGUAAGCAAUAUAAAUCACAGCUGCACAGUUGUUUUUAGCUACCCAGGCCAGUGAAUAACUCAAUAAGAAUUGAUGAAUGAGGUUGAAAUUUCUCUCGCUUGACUUUUAAGUUAUCUGAAUACAGUUAGUCCAACAAACAGGAGAGAAAAAAACACACUCCAAAUUCCAUUUUCUCCAUGAAGGCAGAAAAGAGGACUCUAUUUUCAAAACAAAAUAACAUCAAACCACAAAAGUGGACUCAGCGGGCAAAAAAACUACAAGAGCAGACCUCAUGAAUGAAAGAUGAGCUCGAACGAGUGAAGAAAACACUCGCAGAGAAAGACAAAGAAAUAAACACAGAAAUGCUAAAUGUGAAAACUUCACAAGCUCUGGUCAGAGACUAAUCGCAAAGAGUGACUUUUCCAGUUUUGCUGCCUACGACACUGAUGUUAAAGAGCCGUGGGAGAAGCACCUGGGGGUUAAUUAAAGUCUCUAAUUGCAUUAAGAAGGAGAGGUUGAAAAGGGGGCUGACAGCAGGGCUGGAUCUGCCACUUAACACCCCUAGGCCACACUAGAGACUCAUUUACAUCCCCCGUCUAGUCCAUCAAGCUGUCAUUGUUCGCUCUCACUGGGGCGGACCGGCACGUCAGUCCCACCACCUCGUCAUCAGGUGCUGCAGUCAGAGAGUCUGUCUCCCAGCGUGGGUCCGUGAAAGUGGGCUUAUUAAACACCCUCAUGUUACAGCUAUAUCAUUAAAGCUAGCACAGCAGGAUCUGAAUGGCUGACCACAGGUAACAGCUGCCUAAACCCUGCCUUCAAACAGUUCUGUCCAAUAAUACCUAAGCAACAGUGGCAGCUAAUAACCACCUCUUAUUCUGAGUGCUGGUUAGAUUUAUAAUGCUCCACAUGCUCUUCUGUGUAUAGUGUGUUUGGCUGCUCUUAUACAAUGUAAGCAUGUCGGACUAACUGGCUUUUUACAGCCAGUUUUGUGGCACUCAAGUCUUGGACUAACUCAGUCCAACUUGAGUCACUGUUAGCAACUGAAUCCUUGAUUUCUGGUGUUUUGUUGGAUGGCCGAUGGGCUGUUAUCUCUUUAGGAUUUAACGGAUGAUACAUGCUUUUAUACUGACCUGUCUGGACUACUGUGAAGCACUAAAUGUUUGUGUUAAAGGGAUAUUCCGGAGUAAAAUUAAGUUAGGGUCAAACACACCGCAACACCGAGUUAGACACCCCCUCAAAAGAUGAAUGUUGCUGACCACUUGCUUCUCUAGUUAUUCCAACUUUAGAAACGACCACAGGAUAGCAAUACACAGCGGACUGAGGAGCCAUAAGCUCAUCCAAAAAGCCACUCUAUAGCCACAAAUAAUGUUCAGAACAGCACCUAACUUCAUCAACAGUACAUAUAGGGGUCCUAGCCAUAGUACUAGCCACCAAACAUCUUUUUAGCUUUAGUAUUAACAAAGAGACUAAACACAACUCACCCACUCUCUUCCAGCAGCCGCUUGUUAGUACGGAGACCUCUGACAAGUCCAUCACAACUGCACUGGGCUGCCGCAGCUCAAGGAAGAUCAUUUAUGAUCAUUUCUUCAUGGAAAUAUAAUCAGACAGAGACGCUAAGUCAGAAGAACUACCGCAUCUGCAGUGCAAAAUGAUUAAUAUGAGGAUUAUUACUUCAAGAAAAUGAUAAAGUAAUGAUCAUAAAUGUUCUUCCUUGAGCUGUGUCACCCCGCAGCAGUCUGUAAUGGACUGGCCUGAGGUUUAGCUACAAACAAGUGGCUACUGGAAGAGAGUAGGUGAGUUGUUUUUAGUCUCUUUGCUAAAGAAAUUAGGCAAAAUUAAAAAGAUGUUUGGUGGCUAGUGCCGUGGUUAGGACCCUAUGUACUGUUGUUACGUGCUGUUUUGAGCAUUAUUUGUGGCUAUAGAGUGGCGUUUUGGUUGAGGUUUGUUUAUGGCUCCUCAGAUAGCUUUGUAUCGCUAUCCAGCGGUCGUUAUUAAAGUUGGUGUGGAGUAGGUGAGUUGGUAUGACUAGAGAAGCAAGCGGUUGGCAACAUUCAUCUCUCGAGGGGGUGUCUAACUUGGUGUUACAGUGUGUUUGACCCUUAAUUUAUUUUACGCCAGAAUAUCCCUUUAACCAAGCUUUACUUAUGCAUCUACAGCUAGUUUAAAAUGCCUCACCAGCACUCAAGUCAAGAGCACAUUACCUCCCAGUCCACUUCAGGAUUCAGUUUAAGAUUUUAGUGCUUGUUUAUAAAUCUUUAAACAGAGUAGCUCCUCUGUGCACAGCUUCUUUGGGAAAGGUGAAGUAAGACAUGCAGCAUUGCAACUUUAUUUAUGAUUAACUUCUCCCGACUCGCCAACAGGAUCAGUCAGAAUCUAAUUUUAAUGAAUAAUAAAAUGUGGUUUUUGCACAUUCAAAGGGUCCCCCGCAGUCAGUCCACACAGCAGCUCCCUUUGUAAUAGAUGACAGUAAUGAGGACUGGACUCAGGCUUGAAUAUUGGAUACUCAAGACUGGAAAGCUGCUGAUACUGGUGACAGUCUGCCUCUACAGACCUUUGAGCAUCCUGCUCUGUCAUGUUCACACAAAUAAAUGCACUUAUGCACACCUCAGAGGUGUUUUUAACAGGAUGGGGAGGAAAUUACAGUAAUUCAGCGUGACUGAGCAAACCUUUUGACACCACGGAUGGAGCAUUUUUAUCGUCGGGUACUUCACAAAGAAAGAAGUGAGGAUUGUUGAGGUGUUAGGGGGGAGAAUCUCGAAACCAGGUUGUGUUUCACACUUUUGGGGAGGAUUCAGUACACAAAAGAAAGCUGGUUACGUGAUGCUGAGAAACACAUUUUAUUAUACAAGCGAAAAACUAAUAGCUGAAGUUAAAUGAAGGAUUAAUACAAAACUGAAAGACAGAAUGUGACAGAAAAGGUUUCAGUUUUUUAGGCAGAAAAGAAAAGGCUUCAAAAGAAGAAAGAAAACUGGAGACAGGACUGAAAAAGAACAUGUCACCUGUCACAAUAUUUCAGAAAAAGAAAAACCUGUUCAGAAUGAUGAAGUCAAAACUGGCCGAGAACAUUUUUUUAAAAACUGAUUUAUUUUUCUACAAAUGCAUAAAAAUGAAACAGCUGUAGAGCUGAACCAAACGUCCAUCCACCUGAGGGGCUUUCAUUUGUUUCAUUUCAGUUCAGAGAAAAGACUUUUUAUUUCACGUGUGAAAAAAAAAAAGAAAUCCCUCUGAGGUGCUGUUUCAGGAUUAGGCUUUCAUUUCUUCUCACAUGUUUUCAAAUAAGUCCAAGCUGUCUGAGGCGGCUCAUUGAACUGCUUUAUAUUCCUCUUAAAUUGGACGGCGUAUCCACCUGUUAAAACGGCCUUGUGGUGAUUUUCAACCUGCGCUUUAUCACUGACAGUGCAGGCGGCAUUUACUUAAUAAAUGUGACUUCAUGGGGAAAACUAAAAGAAUACCAAAUGUCUUUCAGUUUAGGAAAGUAAAAAGACAUUCAGAUGGCUUAUUCAGAGAAAACUCAUGGUCGUAUAAAAACAAACAUUCAAAUAAUUUUAUAUAAAAAAUGAUACAGUACGACAGAGUAUUAGGACCACAUUAAGACAAAAAAAAAGACUUUGAGAUUAAAGUCAUUGCUAACGAGAAUAAAGUCGUGGGAAAAUUUAAUUUUUAUGAGAAUAAAGUCGUAAUAAAAUCAUUAUAAAGUCGUAAAGUAAAAAAGCUGCUUUUGUGGAGGAGGAAAUUGCUGAACUGGUCAACUGCAGAGUUGUCUGUGGGCCAUUCAGAGAGCUUUUGUGUUUUCUCAAGAAACAAUCCAACUGAUGAUCAACAUUUGCGAUUCAGAGGGAGUUGAGCUCUGAUGAGCACCACAUCUGUCUCUGAUGCCCAGCACAACACCGGCAGCAACCUUCACCUGCAGAGGCACCAACAUCUAAUGGCAGAUAGAUUCAUGUUAUAAAAUAAAGCCAUAUGCUGUUGCUAUUUUUAUAAACGGCUGAGGGAUUUAGCCUCUGCACAGCUAUUUCCAGCUAUUUCUCCCUCUGCAAAAAAAGCGAUUCCCUACAAGUUCACCUGGUUCUUUCUGCAGAAAAAAGAUGCAUUUCUUGCACAUGAACGCAGAGGAUUUAGUACCUCCUUGUUUGUGUAACCUAGCUACUGAAGUUCAAUUCAUCUAAAUGCUCUACAGCACUUGUUUUAACAAUUUACAGCAGGUUAGAAUAGCUACUAGCUACGACUUCCUUCUCAUAAGUAAUUAUUUUAUUACGACUUUAUUCUUGUAAAUAAGUAUUUUAUUACGACUUGAUUCUUAUAGGUAAUUAUUUUAUUGCGACUUAAUUCUCAUAAGUAAUGAUUCUUUUACAACUUAAUUAUUGUAAGUAAUGAUCGUAUUACGACUGUUCUCAUGAGUAAUUAUUUAAUUGCAACUUUAUCUCACAAGAAAUAAUUUUAUUGAGAAUUUAUUCUUGUAUGUAUUUACUUUAUUACGACUUUAUUCUCAUUAGUAAUUACUUUGUUAUGAAUUUAUUCUUGUAAUAAAUGAUUUUAUUUCAACUUUAUUCUUGUAUAUAAUAAAUAAUAAUUUAUUAUGACUUUAUUCUUGUAUGUAUUUACUUUAUUACGACUUUAUUCUCGAAAGUAAUCAUGAAGUUUUAUUUAUUUUUUUCUUAAUGUGGCCCUAAUACUCCAUAAUAAAACCGGGCUUAAAGUAUGAAUGUAAAAAAGCAGCCUUUUUAAGAACUGUGUCCCAUUUCUACAGUUUUAUUCAUGAGAAAAGGAUGAUAAUUCAAUAAGGACGCUGAUAUGUCAUCAUUACACGCCCUGAAUGUACAGCCUCAAGUUCCCAAAAUCCCACUCUAACUCGGCCCUCUUGAUUCCUGCAGAGAUGCAUGUUUUUUCACCUUUUAGCCUUCAAGUUUAUACCAUUGAAGAUCGUGUUGUUUUUAUUCUUAUAAGCUCCCCCACAGAGCGUAAACUCGGUGUAGAGAGAGUUUCCUUUGUAGGAUCUAAGAGACAUAUUUAUAUCUUGAAUGGAUGAUGAAAUGUAUGAGGCAUUUACAGAAAUAUAACAACAAUGACAGAAGAAGCUCUAUAAGUCGACCCUCUACAUAAAACAGAACAUGCCGGCAAUUUGAAACAAGUGACUAUUAUUGUUAUUUGACCUCCUCUCUGUUUGUCAGUCAUGCUUUUAGAGCUCCCCAAAUCCUUGUCAGAUCAGAGUGUCGUCCUUUAACAAAAGUUGUUGUAGCAUGUUCUACUUUUAAAGUAUCUCUGGUGUGAUCCUCGGAGGAUUCAGAUGUCAGCUGGUUUGUGUGAACUCCAUUUUCUCCUCUAAAAGGACCUGUUCGCGCCUCUUAGUCGCUCCCAGAGGCCUCAGUUUAAAUGUGCACCGUGAUACAUGACACCGAGGGGAAAAGAAGGCGAGAGAUGACGAUGCUUUAUCGUUACUGUAAGUGAUGGCUUGAUUCAGCUGGUUAAAAUGAUUUGUCUUUUCUUUGCAACACAAGCAAAGAUUGAUCACGAAGGAUGUGGAAAUCUUCCCAAACACUGAAAAGAAUCAAAGCUUCUUUAUCAUUUUAACCCUUUUGCUUUUUAUUUCAGUCUUUACAUUCUGGUUUAGGCUUACUUUGAUAUGACACAAUGCAAUCUCAAGAUUCAAGGUGAUGCAUGCAGCAAAAAUACCAAAGAUGAUGGCUUUUAAUCGAAUGUGUGACGUUCACCGUUUCAAGUCUUUCAGGGGAACAAUCAGGUGUCUUUAAAGAAUCCAAAUAGUCCAGCAUGCUGUGAAUUUUUACAAAUUGCUGAGGGCAUGGAAAUGCUAAAGGCGGCGAUCAAAAGCAGGAAAUGUAUGCGUGUCUUUCAGUUCAUAUGAGGUGCCGCACUGUCUGUGAAGACGCUUUGAAAUACCAACCAGGGUUCGUCUUGUUAAUGAAGCUCAGCUGGCUUACAAACAAAAUGCAGGGUUUGUAAAAAGAGACAGAGAUCAGCCUUUCUUCAUCUUCUUCUUCUUCUGCGCUGGCUCUGUUCCUUCUCCUGAGGGAGCAGGUGAUGUUGUGGGCAGACAGACCUCAGGGAGCCUCUCUGGGGGCUUGAUAUGCAGCAGCUACAAGAGGCAAAAAGUUACUUUGAAGAGGAGGAGGUGGAACCCACAGGACGAGUUUGCAUUUUCCAGCAAGCUCCCGUGAGGAUGCUCAUAUGAAGGUAAAGUGAUGUGUAAAGGUCAUCCUUUUGUUGAAACUUAUCGCAGAGACCGCGGUCUCUUCGUGACUGAGAAAAAUGGCCUUUAGUGUUUGUGGCUGUUUGGACUCCUGGAGUACGUCUUAACUAGACUGUCUCCUCAUUCCUGCAGAGGUGAUUUUCAUACAGCUUUAAGCACUUUUAGCUAAGUUUAAAGCCUGAAGUUUGCCAUGGAUUCAGGGUUGAUUUAAUCUAGAUUUUUUGCUUGAUUACAGUUUGGCUAGCUCUUGAUUUGAAACCUGCUUGUGUGUGAUAUUUUGGCUAAUUAAAUUGCUUAAAUCAGGUCUUUUAACUUGUUCCUAGUUUGGCUUUCAAAGAUCUAAAGCUUGUCAAGUUUAUUUGUAGGGCUGGGCGAUAUGGGAAAAAGUUUGUCACAAUAUGUUUAUUUCACACCAGUAGAUAUCGAUAUAUAUCACGAUAUAAAAAUGAAAUUUAACAUUGCUUAUUGGUAACAUGUCUUUUGCAGUAUAACAAGCUACUGCAUCUGCGAGGUCUUUGUGUCUCUUUGACGUUUUGUCGUAAGCCAUUGUGCUAGAGAGAGCGGACUGAAUGGUCAGAAUGGUCGGCUGCACAAGCGCCAUGGGCUCCUUGCUCCGCUCUGGGUUUGUAAUCUUUUGCAUUGUGCGUGCUCUGCCGUAUGGCGCUGCUCCAGGUGGGGAAAAAGAUUUGAGGUAUACCCCGACUUUGCGAGAACAUGUACUCAACUCUCGUCGUCAUCUGUUGAGCCUUCAUCUGCAUUUCUGCUGGGGGUAGCACUCAUUUUCUUUUUUUCACUACACUGCUGUUGGCUUCACCUGUUAAAGUGCCAUGGUUGCAUGUAGCUGCUCUCUGCUACUACACAGUUGUUUGCUACUCUGUUCUAAUUCAGCACAUGAUUGGUUCAGUGCGAAGCGGACCUGGAGCACCUCCUUCUCAUUGGCUAUUCGUAUAGUCCACCAAAACAUGUCAGAAUGCCGACUAUUGAAAAGCAUAUUGACCAUGUUGAAAAAAUUAAUUUUCAAUGUAAAUCAUUUUCAUUUUAUCCCCCAGCUCUAUUUGUCGUUUAAACUUUAAAGUUUGUUUUGACUGAUAUUUUUGUCUAACAUUAUCUUAACUCUUGAAUAUCUAUUUCUAAUUUUGGUAUUCCUGGCUCAGCACUGGAAGCCUCCUUCACUGUUGUCAUGUAACAAAGUUGUGUGUCUUUUAUCAUUUGACAAACUGGUAUUGUCACAACACCUAAGAUGGAUUGUAUCCUGAUGAAGUUUUUUUUUAUUUUUUUGAUGAGACUUUCUUGACUUUAGCCUAACUUAACUAUCUUAAUAUCCUAAUUUUGAGAUGAGCCCUGGCUUGGCAUUUAGGUUUAUUUUUGACUCGACUUCAAGCAAGACUUAACUUGAUUUGAGCUUGACUUAUGCUUACAUUUUGCACCAAGACUUCUUAGAUUUUUAGCCUUACUUCUGCUUGGUUUGUAGUUUGACUCUCAGCAUUACACCAACUUGAAUUCUAGCUCGACUUAAUCACUACCUUUAACAAGAAGGACAAAAACACAUUAUUUAUUCAGCACUGAUCUUUCUCUUUUAUAGAUUCUCAGUUUUUUCUGUCAUCAUGAUUGAAACCAGCAGACUUUCGCUGUAUUUCCAUCAUCUCCAUUGUCAUCAUCUUUUCUUCAUUAUUAUUAUUUUUUAACUAUGUUCAGAUUCAGCUUUGCUUUUAAGAGCACAUUAAAGUCUUUGAAUUGGUGUUUUAAUUGUCAGCUUAUUUGUCACAUUUAAAAUCCAAAUGUGUUUAUCCGUCAAGGUCAUUGAGAAAAGUUAAAAUGAAGAAAAUGUUCUGCUGGAUGCCACUUACAACGACAGCCAGAUUAAAGCGAAGAGCCCCGGGGCUCAAUCUGCAGUCGCCUGAGAUAAUGAAAAAGUUCAAGUCAAAGAGAAGGAGAACUUCUGAUUUGCUGGAUGUUAUUGUGCCCACACUCUCUAAGGAGGCCAUUAAGAAGCAUAUAAGAUCAUGUCCUGUUUUCUAACAUCUUUUUCCCUGAGAAAAUUAAGACAUUCGCUGAUUAAAAACCCUCAUCACUGUAUUCCGUCAGGCUGGAUGGUGUUAUUUUCUCUCGGAGUAAUCUUUGUGACCUUUGCGGCAACUUGGUUUUGAAGGACUGGGCAAUUCAGAACUAAUUUAAAAGCAAAAUAUAAAAUUAACUUUUUUUUUAUAUUUGCAAAGGCGUCUGUCUAAAAAGGAGGAUUGGAUGCUUAUUGAGAAUUGUAGAGUCUCUUCGGCAAACCUGAGUCAUCACUCAGCCUUCAAGUUGUAGUUGGAUAAAAAAAACACACAAAGCAAGAUCAGAAAUGUAAAUUUUAAGGGUAUGACUUUAACAGAUGACCAGUUAAAUAAACUUAAACAUAAACAAAAAGGUGAAAAUGCUGAUGAUGUAAAACUGCAGUCAAAAAACGCCGGGGUUGAUAUUUUUCAUGGCUUGAAUGUAAAAUCCUGUACAAAUGUAUUGAUUGAAUUCAACCACUUGGCAUGCGCUGUCCGUGGUGCUGAACUGAUGUUGCUGCUGUUUGGCAGAGUGUACUAGUAUACUGCCUGUCAAGGCCUCAUGUUUCAAGGUGGAAAACCAGAAGUACAGGUCAGAAACAUCAGGCCGGGUUUGUUUAUCCUGAUGUAGAUGUUGAAAAUAUUAGUCUGUGAGGCUUUUGCUGCUGAAGUAUUAGACAUCAAGUGUUUGUAUACUGUAAGUUGUGGAUAAAGAAGACUUUGGUGAUUUAAAAUCAUUUAGACCCUGUAUUAUACAAAAUUGUGCAGAGGCAGCCUAUCGAAUGUUAUAUCUUAAAAGAUAUGAUGUUUUUUGAAUUAUGUGCUCUGUUCUAUUAAAAAUACGGUUUAAAUACUGCGUUUUUUGGACUAUAAGGCAUGCUUAAAAUCCUUAAACUUUCUCAAAAAUUGACUGUGCGCCUUAUAAUCCAGCAUGGCUGUGAAACGUCAUCGUCUGUCAGGUUAGGGUUAGGAUUAGGAUGAGGAUGAGGGUUAGGAGAUUCAGAAGUGCGAUAAUGUUCUGUAAUGUUCUGUUCAAUGUACGGAGCUGACAGCCUGCAUUUGGCUUAAGCGUGUGAUGACGUUAAGGCAAAGGAGGCGGGACUUUCCUCUACCGUCCUACAAAAAAAAAUAUCCCGGCCUGGAGUACGUGCUAGCAACAUUAUACCAAUCGAUGCUUAAUGCGCCUUACAAUCCGGUGUGCCUUAUGUGUAAACAAAAACAUGUUGAUUCACAGUGCGCACCUAAUCCAGUGCGCCUUAUCGCCCAAAACGGUACGGUAAUUUGCAGACUGUUGACGUCUGUUUUAUCAAUAUUUCAAACAGCAUCCCAUCAUUUAUGUAACUGGGAUUAUCAGUCAUCAAUCAUAACACCUGGUCUAUUAACUUCCUUUAAUCUAUAGACAAACAUUAACUAGAGAUUAAUGCCUUUCAUGUUAGCUACAAAACAUUAACAUUAAAAGCGUAAAAAUAACAAAUAAUUUUAAUGGCUGAACUUUGUAGAAAUGUAGUUUUCUGAGCUUGUUGAAUUACCACAUCAACUUUGAGUCCCACGUCCAUCUAGAGGCAAAAAGAAAACAUACCAAGCCCAGAAAUAUUGAGCUAGCAUUUUUAAUCCUGCCUACAGUUUCUAUACUGUGUCCAUGCUCAGUUUUAUUGAUAACAUUAUGCAGUGCAGAGGAGGAAAGCCCAUGAACACAAAAAACCUGCCAUCCUGUUUCUACGCCUAUCUGUCAAAAUGUCAAAGCGCCCCAGGUUGCCAGCGUCUUGUUUCCUCCUCUGCUCUGCAUGUGGUCAUCAGAGCGGCUUCGGGGGGAGAGCCAAAACAAAGCAGAAUCUCUCCAAGACAGGUUUAAAAAAAAAAAAAAGUUUUACCUGCAUGAGUACUUUUUAGCCUCCUCAUAUAAUGUUUCAAGGUUCAACGCAGAGUCAGCGAGAAAUCCAGCUCGCUCUGGAGUGGGAUGAUGGUUUCCAUCAGCUCUUAGAAGAUUGUGAGGACAUUAGUGAGGGCUGUUAAGGUGAAAGAACACCUUUACUUUAACACAGCAAGCAUUUUUACAACAAUAAAGCCUUAGCUAGGAGUAGGUCACUGUGAUCAUCCAUCAUUACUUUUUGUGCGGACUUUUUAUCCAACUCAGUCAUGGAAAAUACGAUAUUCAUGCCUCUCUCUAACAGGGAUAAGUUCAGCAGAUAGCAAAGGCAACAGUGAGAAGUCAGGCCUUUUAUUCUGUGUUUUAAUAAAAUCUUAGUAUUGAUACAUUUAUUGUACUAAAGGACUGCAUCUUUAGUCUGUUAAUAAAGCACGGAUGAGUAAAUAUCCUGAUAAAUCAUGAACUAAAUCACUAAAGUACUGCACAAACUCAGAUUUAGAAAGCAGAUGAAACGUUUGGUUGAAUUUUAGGAAAAGUAAAAUUGCUGAAAAAAAGCUGUCCUUCUACAAAUCGGAGAUCAAAUGGAUAUAAUCCACACACAUGCCGCUGUUUUCACUCUCAAAUCCCUGAACUCAGUUAAUCACUCUGCCCUCAGAUUAAUUACCGGAGAUCCCUCUGAUACUUAGAUUGCACUCUGAGUACAGAGUUGGUCGGUCUCCUCUGGCACAGAUAAGACAUGAUAAACACUUGGAUUUUUCUGUCACCACUCCUCCGCACCUACGCCGCACAUCCACAAAUGCACAGUACAUGUACACCACAUAGAAACACGCACCACUCCAUCAAACUAACUAAAUCACACAACACUGCCACAACACGUGUUCAUCACAUUAGCUCACACUCAUCAGGGUACCAAAUGCACACAAUAGAAGUGCAUUAUAUAUACACUAAAGGGCAAAGCGCACAUUUGAUUCAGCAGUUUUCAUGUGUCACAUGUGUUCAGGUACGUGCAGUAUAUGAGUGGAGGUGUAAUGUACACGUGAUUAUGAGAUAGCGGGGUGUUUGCUCGGUGGUUGGUCUUCUCCAGGUCAGCAGAGUCCAGAUAAACACUUGAGUCUUUUUUAUCUUUUGCUUCAGUUCCCACAGGUUUUAUGCUCAGAUUGGAAAAUUGUUCACAUCACACUCCUAAGUUUACUAUUUUUAUUUCUCUGAAAGCAGUUCAAGGUGAUCCCACACCACUUGACCUCAGUGCGCCGUUUAAUUCACUUCUCUAUUACUCAUUUUUUUAUGUUUUUUGUCAUGUUUUUUUUUUCUGUAUUUCGAAAUCAUGGAGAGGAAGCAAAAUAAUUGUGAGAAGCGUCUGUUAGAAUGAAAAAAAAAAAAAACACAAAAACACCAAGAAAUACAAAGUGCAUAACCAACAGCAAUGCUAUGUUAAAGGUGGGGUAGGCAGGAUCUGAGGAAGUGCCCGUUUUUGGGAGAAAUCUUGAAUGUAAACUCUACCCUCCUCCUCCUCUCCCCUCCCUCUCUGCUCCAGCAAGCCCCGCCCACAAACAGACGCUUCUGUUCACUCGUACCGCUUCAAUUAAAUUCAAAUAUAAUGCAGAUAAAUACUUCAGAUAAUUACAAAUGGGGCCCAGUCAACGUAAAAGUAAAAAGCAUUGGUGCUACUGUAGAUGCCAACAGACUACCAGCAAACACAGUGUUUGCAGGACUUCUACAACUCUGAUAAAGCGACAUAGUCCAGGACCUGAGGGAAACAGUUUAGCGGCGCUACAACACGCAGCAGGUCCCGUUUGACAAGAACACUUCUGUUACAGACACUUGUCCUACUUUGUUAAAGCAGUUUACCUGUCCAGCAGAAAGGUUACAGGGUCGGUAAGAUCCUGAAGCGUCCCCCAACGUUUAUUCCUUAUUGAUGUUGACCCAGCUUUUCAUCUCUUGUCCGGUCUACCUCUUUUUUAAGCGCCCGUUAUUCCGCCAGAGUCUCUGGUAUUUACUUUGUUUUCUUGCUUGUGUCGGCAGUCGUGGCCAAAGGAGGAUUCAGACAAUUUUCGGUAUUUUCUGGUUGGUUUCUACCGUCCAAUAUUGUAGCAAGCUAACUUUGUUUAGGCUCGUCAAUGUUAUUCGGACUACACAGACAAAACACAGCGAUAUCAUUAUAUUACUAAAUGUCAUCAAUAAGUAAUAGCUAUUGACUGAUAUUAAAGGCUUUUUUUGUAUGUCUUUGCAUAUAAUAGCCAGUUAGAAAACAAGAGAUCAUAAUACAAACAAAUAUGACAAAGUCAGAGUGUGUGUGCUUGUUUAUUUUCAUUGCAGAUCCCUAAUAUAAUGGCCACUAGAAGCAGACGAGUGUAGGGCGAAUGAGUGGCCUAUAAAGUGUUCCUUCAAGUGCAUCUAAAAACUGAUCCUCCUCACA